GGUUCUUUUUUUUGACAGUGUCUGUGAAGUUGGAGAAUUGUUUUUCAUCAGAAGGUGAUAAAGAGAGCUCGUAGGAAGUUGAGUUGACAUCAGCAAAACCACACAUAAGGUGAGUGAAGAGAGCAGAAUUUACAUCUGAAAUGAAGAACUCAUCGCCUGAAUCCCAGUAACCAGCUCUGAUUAAAGUUUGUGCUCUUGUAGGAAGCGAUUCUGAAAAUAUAAAAAUGUGGAGGACAAGAAUGAUAAUUUUGGAUGCCAUUGUGGGAACCUGGCUGCUGGAGGCAUACCUAGUAUGUCAUUAUAUAUGUAAUAUUCUAGGUAAAUCCCACAUCGGCAAAAUAUGGGUGAGAUACUGGGUUUAUAAGGGGUGAUUCACACUUUAAUUGGCAAGGCGCAUUUUGGGGGGUAUGGGCACCCCAGAAACAAAACCGUAAAGUGGAUAAUAUCCUAUCAUGUUUGGGUUGGAUCAUGACACUAUGGUAUCAGAGCGGCUCCGCGUGUCCUCUUGAGCGAUGGCGAAUCAGAGCGGCCCCAUGUGUCCUCUUGAGCGAUGGUGGGACAAACGUCCUCGCUCGUUGAGUCCCCAAGGGGGGUGAAUGUAACACCCUAGAUAAAUCUCACAUCGGAAAAACACGAGAGAGAUGCUGGGUUUAUAAAGAGUGACCACACUUUAAUUGGCAAGACACAUUUUGGGGUGUAUGGGUGCCCCAGAAACAAACUUGUGCGGGCCUUCUAAAGGCCCAAAGCGGAAGACACGUUUUGGGAUGCAUGGGCACCCCAGAAACAAACCUGUGCGGGCCUUAAGAAGGCCCAAAGAGGAAGACACAUUUUAGGGUGUAUGGGCCCCCCAAAAACAAACUUGUGCAGGCCUUCUUAAGGCGCAAAGCGGACAAUAUCUUGCUAGGUUUAGGUUAGGUCAUGACAUUAUUACAUUAUGGUAUUAGAGCGGCUCUACAUGUCCUCUUGAGCGAUGGUGGGGCAAACCUCAGCGAGGACGCUGAGUCCCUAAGGGGAUGUAUGUAACACCCUAGGCAAAUCUCACAGGGGGUGUAUGUAACACGUUAGGCAAAUCCCACAUCGACAAAGCACGGGAGAGAUGUUAGGUUUAUAAGGGGUGAUCCACACCUUAAUUGGCAAGACAUGUUUUGAGGUGUAUGGGAGCCUUAGGAACAAAAUUGUGCGGGUCUUAUUAAGGCUCAAAACGGACAAUAUCUUGUCAAGUCUGGGUUGAGUCAUGACAAUAAAUAUGUACACACACAAAAUGUAAUGAAGAAAUUAUCUUAUACCGAUUGAGAUUAGUUAUUGCACUAAUAAUACAAACUUGAGUCAACUUUCAACUUAUGAGCUUAGUCCAUAAGUUUUUAUACGAUAUCAAAAUCAAGUUACGGAUGAGGGACCCUAUAAUACCUUCCAACCUAACUUAAUAAUUAAUCUUAACCAAUGUGACAUACUUUUUCUAUCACUUUAUCACGUCCAAGUUGAUCUUUUGGCUUUGUCUUUUUUUCAUGAUAAUAAGUGAUAAGAUUGAAGUUCUUAAAUUAAGCUAUGACUUUUUACCUCCGCUUAGCUUGACUUCUGAAGUUGGAGACUCGUUCUUUUGUAUUGAGUUUGUUGGUAUUUAAAUGAACUCGGAGUCUUCGACGUGUUUCUGAAGCAAAGUCAUUAUUCCUCAAUGACUCCAUCCAUGCAGUUGGAAGGCAAAAUCUUGUGAAAAUAUUUUCUAAGUUGAUUCAGUCCAUGAUCAAUGUGCACAAAACGCAAAAUCUUGCGAAAAUCAAACCCGUCCUCACUCAUGAGCUCGAUUUCUAGCUUAAACUCCUCCUUACUCAUGACAUACUAUAUAAAAUAUCGAGUUGACCUCACUUUAUUAAAUUACAGCUUGUUAUUGAAUUGAGUGUUGCCUUAAUUAAGCUAUCAACUUAAUAAAGUGAUUGUCAUUAAGAAAUACACUUAGGUAGUGUUUACUUUUUGGAUUGGAGUGGAAAUUCUGAGAAGUGUGAAUCCUAGGAUUAGGAGUGUGGAGUGGGAGUGGGAGUAGGUUGUUUACUUACACUGGAAUGAAAAUAUGGAAUGAAUAUUAGAAUCUAAUUUAUGUGUUUACUUUGUCUUGGAUUGGGAGUAAAUAGUUUCAAAUUACAAUUUUAUCCUUAUUUAAAGAAUUAUAGUUUUUAAUUACAAAGUUAAUAAAAAAUAUAUUUAAUGAAUAAAAAUUUAUUUUAUUAUUUUAUUAUAUUUGUAAAUUUAUAAUAAUUAUUAAUAUUCUUAAUUAUGUACAUCACAUUUUUUAUAAUUUUAAUUAUACAAAAUAAAAAUUAUUGAUAAGGGAAAUAUAAAUUAAACAUUUUUACUAUUAACAUAGUACAAAAUUAAUAUUUUCUUAGAAUAAACUAUUUAUUAGUAUUAAUUAUUAAUAUUAAAUAAAUAUAAUACUAUUAUGUUUAAAUAAAUAUAAUCAUAUUAUAUUUUCAAAUAAAGAUGGUAUAUAGUAAUAUUAUUAAUUCUCUAUCUAUAUAAUAAUAUUAUUUUUAAGUAAUUUAAACUUAAAAUCAAACCAAAUUAUUAUUUAGUUAAAUAUAAUAAUAUUAUUUAAAUAUAAUUAGAGUAAAUUUAAUAAAAGGAGGGUAAAAAAGAAGGGUAAAUAUAAAAUGAAACAUUAUUUUAUUUUAUUUUAUUAUAGUAAAUUUAAAUAUAAUUAUAUUAAAUUUAUUAUUAUAUAAAACAAUAAUAUAACAUUAUUUAGUACAAAAUUAAUAUUUUAUUAGAAUAUAAAUGAAGAUAGCAUAUAGUAAUAUUUAUUAAUUCUCUAUUAAUAUAAUAAUAUUAUUUUUAAGUAAUUUUAACUUAGAAUUAAUGUAAAUUAUUAUUUAGUUAAAUAUAAUAAUAUUAUUCAAAUAAAUAUAAUAUUAUUUAUUUUAGUAAAUAUUAAAUAUUAAAUUAAAUAAGAAAAAGGGUAGAAAAGGGAGAGGUGGGAGUGGAUUCCCACUCCCACUCCCCACUCCAAAAAUGGGUGAGGUCCACGAAGUGAAAUUCUCAAUCAUUGCUCAAAUUAUUGAAGUAAAUACUGGAGUAGAAGAAAUCAACACUCCUCACUCCUACUCCAGAAAGUAAACACAGCUUUAGUUACUUCCUGAUGGUAAGAUUCAAUAAUAUUGUAAUUUUUAUAAAAAAAAUUAAGACUCAUAUACCUUUUCCUUGUGUAAUUUAAUUUCCAGUCAAGUCCACCCUCCCGUUUUAUUAUAAAAGUCUAUACGAACAUACGUUUUACUCAAUGUUUACUUAGAAACAAAUGGCGCGCGUACGAUUGCCGAUCUAGUACCACUCUCGUAUACUUGGUGGGAUUCGGUUUCACCAAAUUUGUAGCAUAUAUUUUACUUUAAUGAGAAAAUCAAAUAAUGAUUGAACAAAUAAAUUUUCUUUUCUAUAUACUUUCUUAAAAUGUAUGGAGUUGGUAAAGUGCAAAUUCAUUUUUUAGCCCUUUGACUCCUCCAAAAUCCAAACUCAAAUUAAUGGUCAGUUAAAUAAUGUUACUUGAAAAUCAUUCGGCCAAAUAUUUAAAAACUAUCAUUUCACAAAGUCAAAGUUUCACUGGUUAUUGAAUUAUAGAAUGUGCUAUCAUUUCCUAGCUAGAAUUUGUUUAAUUCUAUUAAUUUACAAUCGUUUUUCAUUUUACUUAAUUAAUUAAAGUGAAUUUAUUAUGUAUACAUUCUACGUACGUAAAAUUUUAAAAUUCAGUGUUGAAUUGAAUUGUACUAAAUUUUUUUAUAAUUUUUUGUCGGACCUGCGUUUUUAACAGUUUAAUAUUAAUAUUGAUAGCACAUAAUAUACAGGAUUAAGAGAGAUUGAUUUCGAGUGCUACAAUAAUUUUAGGAUUGCAUGCACAAGGGUUUAAAAACAAAGUGUGCACUUAAUUACACUAAACGAGGGUGCAUUUUUAUGAUGAAAUAAAAACUGUGUACAUGGUUCUAAAAGUGGCUCCAUAAUUAGUGUACAUUAACAUUCAUCUAGCUACCACUUCCGAAAAUGAUAAAUCACAAGCCGAACAUUUUUCCAAUUGUGUUGUAGAUAAUAGUUCAAUCCCAAUUUCAUCAACUUGUUUUGAGAAAGCAGGCUUCUUGGGAGUAUUUGUAUUUGUGGUUUCAUUCUUGAGCAUUGAGGAAACUUGUAACAUUGUAGGUCGAUCGUUUGGAUUCUCCUGGACACACAACAAAGCUAUUUCCAGACAUCUCAUUAAUUUACAAGGGGAAUUUGUAUCAUCUAGUGAUGAAUCCACAAACUCCACGCCUUUGCCACCUUUCCACAACUCAUAUGCCUGAAAUUAUCAAGUACCAUUUUGUUACAUAAUUUAUACUUCUUAAUUAAGUGCGCAUAUGUGUACUCAGGGUUACUAUAGCCGAAGAAACUUACGUGCUCUAGAAUGCUUAAAUUUUCAUUGAUGCCACAUAACAUUGAAAGCCUCUUUCCACUUAUAAUUUGUAGAAGUAAAACUCCGAAACUAAAAACGUCUGAUUUGGUAGAGUAUACACCUUGUCUGGCGUACUCAGGAGGAAUAUAGCCGCUGCAUUCAAAAUAACCAACAAUAAGUAUAUAUAAAUAAGGGAUUUCACAAUUUAAUAAAUUUGUAAAACCCAUUUUAAAUUGUGGUAAAAGUCCAUUAUGCAUUUUAUUAAAGAGCUGAAUUCUUUAUUCGAAACCUAUAUUUAUAUAUAUAUAUAUAUGCACACACAUGUAUAUACACAUAGGCAUAUCAAGUAAACACAUCAUAUAUGUAUUAAAAUUCUGUGUUAGCUUGGUCCCCAUAUACAUACAUGCGUAUAUAACAAACAGAAGCUUGAGUAAAGGAUAUCAUUUAGAUGUAAUAUACUUACAUUGUUCCCACAACUUGUUCUGUAUUCGCUUCGAGACUCUCUUUUGCAAAAAUCCUAGCCAAACCAAAAUCUGAAAUUUUAGGUUUCAUAUCUUCACCUAACAAAAUAUUACUGGCUUUCAAGUCUCGAUGAAUAAUAGUCAGUCUUGAAUAUUCUUGGAGGUAUAAAAGCCCUUGAGUUAUCCCUUCAAUGAUAUGAACACGUUUUUUCCAAUCCAAAAUAAGUCUUCGGAUGGGAUCUACAACAAAUAUAUAGUUUUGGACAAUAAGUGAUAUGCAAAUGAAUUUUAUACACGAUUAAUAUUAACUUGAUUCCAGAACAAACCAAAAAGGUAGCAAUCCAAGCUUUUGUUUGGCAUGUACUCGUAAACUAGCAUCCGUUCCUCACUGUCAAUGCAAAAACCUAAAACUAUGAUAAGAUUUACAUGUUGGAGUUUGGCAGUAAGCAUAACCUCAUUCUUGAACUCCUCAAAUCCCUGUGUGGAUGUUUUUGAAAGUUUCUUCACUGCUAUCACCUUUCCGCAGGGUAAUACACCCUGCAAUCCAAAAAAAGAAACCAUGUUCAUAUAAAGCUUUCACUAAUUAAAUAAGCUGAGAAAUGUUAGCCAAACAAUAUGUUACCCUCCAAAGUUGAGGGCACCAUUUUUUAAGUCCUUUAAGUCCCCAUGGACGCAUAAAUCUCCUCUCACAAAAUAUGGAUAUGGGUAGAGACAUAUUCCUAAAUAUUAGUAGAAGUAGUUAUAUCUCUCUAGUGUGAGGUUAGAAGUCUCAUCUCUAAUAUGUAUAGAUUUUAAACUAUAUGUUUUGGGCCUCUGAAUUUUACUGUGGAUUUUGUGUGCGCGCGCGCGUGUUACCUUGUAAACAGGACCAUAUCCACCUUCCCCAAGCUUAUUUCUAACUGAAAAUCCCUCGGUGGCCACCUCAAUAUCAGCAAAAUUAUAUACUCUGAGGUUAGGAACAUUUCUGUUAAAGUCUCCAGCUUCUGCUUCAUUAUUUGCUCUCUUGUUUGAUGCUUUAGCAGAGCCCUCUGUUCCUAACAUCAACCAAGAGUAAAUAUUAGAUAAUUAAUUAAAUGUCAGUCUCAGUUACAUAUAUAUGAAUGAAAUACAUACUUAAUUAUAAUUGAUAGCUGAAAAUUGUUACCUUCAAUUAACUUGAGCCUUUUCAUCCUGGUGUAUUUAUAUGCACAAAAGCCUAGAAGGAGAGUCAAAGCUGCCGCUGCAGUCGAAAUGAGUACCAAGGACAGACGCCGGUUAUUACUAUGUUCAUCUUUGUCAGCUGAAGCAGAAGUAGUCCUGUCUUUUUGUGCUGGAAAUAUGCAUAGUUCACAAAUUAAUAAUAACUAGCAAGAGAUGCCGUAACAAUCAUUAUUAAUCAGAGAGAACAAUUAUUGCAUAUAUAAGUACCUGCAGCUUGAGAAAGCUCCCAAUUAUGAUCAUCAAAAGGAACUCGCAACACAUAGUAACCAAGCAAUCUCUUCUCUUUGGCAUAGGCGAUCUUAGCUCUAACAGCCUCCACAUCAUCAAAACCAAACCAAACCGUCCCAGUGGAGAAGUAAUUCACCACAUAAGUUGAAUUGUACAUAACUUGAACAUUAGGACCAUAGGUCUUGAUGUGAUUCUUGAUAUCCCUAUAGGUCACAAAGCCACCAUUACUCAAAGCUGGUCCUGUUGCUGCUGCUCCAAUACCAUUGUCUUCAGAUUUCACAAGCGUCCAUGCAUAGCCGUAGAAAGGCAAACACAAAACCAACUUAUCAGCCGAUAACCCUCUCUCAAUCCAUGCCUUUAAAACCUGAUCGGUACUUCUAGCAUAGCCGCCGCUACUUGAGCCAUACAGAGCUGCAUGUGCCGCAGUGAAGUUUGUUGACAUAGGCUCGUAGUAGUUAGAAGUAACAACAUGAACCCAAUUCAAGUUUCGUUGCAUCGAAUUCACAAGGUACGAAUUGUCUGGUGGUGAAUAAUGAAACCCUGCGGUCAAGAUCAGCUGGGAUUGCUGGCGGCUAGAGCUUUUUGCCUCUAAUUGUGUGGCAGCAGCUCGCCACUCGUCAAAGAGUAUGCCCAUAUUGAGCAUAUCGGUGCUUGUGUUAGGAGCUGUCCAAGCAAAAUCUAGGCCCUGAAAGCCAUAAAGCCUAGCUAUUCUUAUUGAAGAGUCGAUGAAAGAUUUUCUGUGAGAAGAAUUUCUCACCAUUGAAGAAUAUAUAGAAUUGUUUGUAUAUAUUCCUCGUCCAAUGGAGAGAAGUGUAGUGAUUGAUGGGUUCUUUUGUUUCACAGCGUCUAUAAAUUUGGGGAAUAUUUGAUUUCCAUCAAACGGUGAUGAUAAAGAUAGCUGGUAAGUGGUGGAAUUGAUAUCAGCGUAAGAGCAAAUAAGGUGAGUGAAGAGAUCAUAAUUUAUGCGCGAAAUGGCGGACACUUCGCCUGAAUACAAGUAACCGACCCUGAUCCACGGUUUUGCUUUCGCGGGAUGAAGUUCUGAAUAGAACAACAUGUGGAAGAUGAUGCUGAUAAUUAUGGAUGCCAUUUGAGAGGCUUAAGCUUCUUAAUUACCACUUCGAUGGGAAUGGAAAUGAAUGCACACUAAGAGAAAUUAAAUAAACACAAGUUUCACAGUUCAUUAAGUUCUCAUGUGUACUACACAUACAUUGCAUGUUAAGAUGAUGAUGGGCGAUGCGACCAUUGCCGGAGAACUAAGAUUUUCUUCUAUCGCCUGUGUGACUUUUCAUGAAGAAACAUGAUGUUUUGAUUGACAUUUGGUUAAACUGAUGACAUAUUUCGGGCUACAAAUAUUAGUAUUGUUUUAUUAAAUAAAAAUAAUAAUAAUUAUACGUGCAUGUUGAAGGUAAUAUUGCAGUCUUUUGAGCCUGUGUUGAAUUUCAUUCAUUAUUACGAGCGUUCAUUUAUUAUCCAUCCCCUUUUUUCUCUGUGAGUCUGCUAGCUGUAGUCAUCUUAAAAGGAUAACAUGUUUAAUGCGUGUAAAUGCACCUCAGAAGUAGUUAAGAAAGACUUGAUCAAACCAGAUAAUUUUCCUCUUAACACAGAAGUAGUUAUCGGACUAAUUAAGAUUCUAAUCCAUUUAAGAAAUAUUCAAAAAGGGUUAUUGUCACUACUUUAGUCCUUGUUGUUUUAUUAAAGAAAGAAACAAAGAAAAAAAAAAGAAGAUAUUUAAAGAAGCAUCACAUAAAUCCUUCCUAAUUAGAUUUUGUUUCAUUCAAGUUCUUGACUUAAUUUGACUGCUUGGAAAAAUUAGUAAAAAGGUAACAAUUAAAAAAAAUGUAAAUUCUAGUUAUUAGACUAAAUAUAUAUAAAUUUGCAACAAGUAGCAAAAGUUUAGAAUAUGAAAAACCCUAUUUUGUUUACGAAAUAAAGAAAAUUCGAAUCAUUUUUAAAAAAAAAAUCUCUAAAAGUUUGAAAACUAAGAUUUUAAGGUCCUUCUAGACUAACCAUAAAUAACAUGAAUUUACCAAAUUAAGCAAACUUGAAUUAUUAUUACACAAUAAAAUUUAACUAAUGGAAAUAAGAAAACAAAAUAAAUAACACUCAAAUUCGAUAUCUAAAAAAUAAAGAUAAAAAUAAUGAAAGCAAUAGAAAAAAUAAAAUAAAAUAAAAUAACUAAAACUUGCAAAAUGACCAUGAAAGAAAUAAUUUUUUUUUGCUGAACCAAAGGGCCGAUACGUAUAGCCCUAUUGUACUAGAUUCAUCUCGCCGCAAGUUUCAAAACAAUAUAUUAUAUGUUUUAAACGAACUCUUAUAAAUUAAGUUAUGACCUUAAAAAAAUUCCUACUCAUCUUACAUAAACAUCCUAUGUCACUAUAUAGUUAUACAAUAAUAAUAUAAUCCAAACACUCAUGAAGCAUAACUCAUGCACCUCCACUAAUAACCGUGAAAUUUAAUCACAUUUUACAAGAGAGAGGAAUGUUCUCAUUUAUUCGAUUUUCUGCUAGGUUGUGUUAGGUUGGGCUUUUUAGAAUUUCUUUGACGAAAAGUCAUUCUCUUCAACGGCCAAAACUUGGGCUAGUGGGCAAUUAUGAAAGUCCAUUGGAUGCAUUGGACCAAACUAAAAGUCCAAAUUUUUUUUUAUUCUUGCAAAAAAAAACUAUAUCUGUAUAUUCUGUUCAACAAUCCAAAACUUGGGCCAAUGGGCAAUUAUGAAAGUCCAUUGGAUGCAUUGCAUCAAACUAAAAGUUAUAUAUAUAUAUAUAUAUAUAUAUAUAUAUAUAUAUAUAUAUAUAUAUAUAUCAAUAAAUGAAAUGACACAAUACAGUUGGCUUGCCGUUGCAAAGCUUCUUUGUUUGUUAUUAUUUAUUGGCUUAUUGCAAUAAAGACUAAAGAGAGCUUUGAGCCAUGCAGCAUGGGAAGCUCCAUUAAAAAAAAUAAAAGAAUUUAAAGCUUCAAGGACAUAAAGCGUGCCCACCCAAUUAAAUUUUUCUUUAAAAAAGAAAAAAAAAAGGCUGAAAUUGCAAUGACUUGAAUUUAUCAUCAAUUCUGGCUUAAUUUGCCCCCCGUCAUUUUUUCAAGGAGAAUGUCCAACUCAAUUGUGACGGCUACUGCUUCAAUUUUAAUUUUAUUUUUCUCAAGAAUAGUCAUUUUCAUCCACCAUAUUCCUGCAUCCUGAUGCGUCCUUAUUGCUUAUAUUAUUAUAGACCACUUUUGGAAGCAUAACAAUUUUUGCACACAUGGUCUCCAUCUUGCGGACCCAAAUGUUGAUGAUAUACUUGCAUGCUCCAAAAUGAGCCCUUUUAAUAACUUAUCAUCUGGUAAAUGAUAGUUUAUUUAUUUAUUACAUUUAAUAACUUAUCAUCUGGUAAAUGAUAGUUUAUUUAUUUAUUACAUAACAAAUAUGUUAUGCCAUAUGCCACCUAUUAGUGAAAGAUGUUUAAAUAACUACUCUUGUAGUAAACUCCUGAAUGAUGGCAAGUUAGAUUUAGACUUAAUGCACUAACUUCGAUAUAUAUUUUUUUUUUUUACAUGGUAAUUAUUUUCUUCUCGCUAGGAAGUUGCAAUGAUUGAUAAUACGGGAGCAUUUUGCUUUAAUACAAUCCUUAAUUGAAGAGUUUCUAGAGAUGUUUAUUAUUAUUAUUAUUAAUACCGCGUUGGUCAGGAUUUGAUUACUAUAAUAUUGACGAUUCGAUUUCUAACAAUUUUGUUUAUUAUAAAAUUAAAACAAAUGAGUAGUCAUCUAGAAAAUCAUAAUCUCUUUAAAGGCAUCAAAAGGCAAUGGCAAUGUAAAAUGAAUGUGAAUCUAUUAGUAACAUGUUUACACGUGUAUUAAUCUUAAAAUAUUUAAAUAAAUAAACCAUAGAUUCUUGGUUCCAAUAUGAGCUUUAUAGUUAAGGAGACCCACUGCGUAUGAUGGACUAGUGAGUUGUGAGAGAAAUCUCUUAGGCCGAAAGAAUCUUAAUCAAAUCGUAUCAUCAUAAAAAAAUUCCAAAUUUUGUUUUCUUCUUUUGACAAAAACCCUCGUUCAAAAUGAUUCAUAUAAAUUUAUCAAUAAAAGAUUUUGAAUCAAUUAGAAAAUGGAAUUGUCUUGCGCACAUCUUUUGCUCGAUCGUUCAGUCCUUAAUCAUGUUUUAAUUAUAACCCAAACACGACAAUGACAUGUACGAUCUACAUAAAUCCUCGAUAUUAAUUGUCAAUUGGUUCUGCGAAUUCAAUGUGCAAAGUCUCACAAGUCAUAAUAAAUUUAGGAAUGAAAAGUACGAGCGGGUAGCAAGAAACCAUCACUCAAUUCCAAUUGAUAUGUACACUUCAUUCAUUUUGUCUUUUACAUAAAUGGAAAAACUAAAAAGCGUAACAAUUAUUAAACACAUGCCCACUGCCCUGCCACUCGGCCAAAGAGGGGCCGUUGCUCUCUUACAUUGGUUCAAUGAAGGGAUUCAUUGAAGGGUGUUUCGACGACGGGAGCGGCAUUAAGAUGAGUGAUCACUUGAAAAAUCUUUGAAUUGUACCUCUCUUUUUAAACCAACGAGCUCGUAGAUCAGUUGGUAUAGAGUUGUUUUAUUAUAAUUAAAAUUUUAGGUUUAAGGUUUGAAAAUGCUGUUAUGUUAAAAUAUUUGUUGGGAGAAUUUUGUCAUUCUAGCGUUCAUAUCGGAUUCGAAUCUGAAUUAAUCGGAGUUUAAUAUAGUCUUUGAAUAUCAUAUGAUUUAAUACACAAAAAAAAUGAAGGAAUUCAUCUCUCAAUUAUUAUUAAAAAUAAAAAUGCGGGAUGUGUAUUUCAGUGUAAAUAAUGACAAUAAUAAUAAUACAACACAUCCCCAUCAAAAUCUCCAUCAAAAACCUAGCUGAUGCUGAUGCUGAUGCUUCUGCAGAUUCUGAUUCCCCCUCCCUUUUAGCCCAGGAAGCAGAUGAUGACAGCAUCACGGUACAAGGAAAGAAAGAAAGAAUAUCAUUAUACUCCCACAUCUUCUUAAACGUUGUGCCCUCUAUAUGCACAUAUGCAUGUACAUAUUAAUUAUUAUCAUAUUGUAGUAAGUAAUGUUUUAGCUUUCGACAUUAACAACAUUGUGAUUAAUCAUAAUGCCACAUUAUACAGUUCAAAUAUGAAAGGUUAUGAAAUUAACUUCUAUAUACAAAUGCGUUACAUAAAGUGCGCGACAUCGUUCUUUUUAAUACAUACAGUAAAUUAAUGAAUAAUCAUUCGUAAAAAAAAAAUGUUGUCCGAUAGUGAAUUAGCUAUACAAGUAGAGCCUCUACAAAUUAACAGGGUGAGACCAUAUGAAAUCUAUUAAUUAAAAAAGAGAUUAAAUAAUCAAUAAUUUAUUAAUUUAUUAAUUUACAGAGUUAUUUAUAAUUCAAUUAACAUACAUCAACAAUACUUCAUAAUUUCCUAUUACAAUUUGAGAAGUCAACCGCAGGGCUUCUAGGUGUUAAGAAAAAUAAGAGAUUGAGGUCCAAUUAGAUUUAAAUUUUAAGAAAAGAACAAGUAACAAUAUAAUCAUAUUUUAUGUAAGUAAGUGAUAAUAGAGUCAUAUUUUAUUCAAUUAAAAUAUUAUAGUCAACUACAUUUAUAAUUUCAGUAAAUUAUUAAUUUGUGAUUUGAAUAAGACGAUAAAGUUAUAUAAAUUUUUUAAAAAAAAUUAUUAUCGCAUUAUUUUAUUAAAAUUAUUAAUUUUAAUGUAUUGUCAUAAAAUUGUGUGAAUUUGUUAUAUAAUAGAUAUUAUUAAUUUACCGAAUAUCAAUUGAUAGAGAUUUUAUAGCAUGAGUACCUAAAUUUUGACGAAAUAAAUGAACAUUUGUUUGUACCUUGCAGGUAUGUGUCCGUUUAAUAAUAGUAUAAUGUACUUUUUUUCUUUUUUCCUUCUUACGACAAAAAGUUAAGUAGAUUUUGAGGUCCAGUCGUAAAGAGACAACUUGGGUAAUUGUGUUUUUUUGUAAUGUGCGCAAUUGCUAGCUUUUCCGAUGAUUUUGAUUUGGGAUUGCGUUGUAUAAUUUGCACAAUCAUCUCCUUCACCUUUGGAUUCUGUAUCUCUCUAUUUUGUGCUCUUUCUCUCUGAAUGGUAGCCACAUAUACGACUCUCUUUGCUCUGAAUACAUGAAAUUAAGGGUGGGCGCGGUUCGGUUCGGUUCGGUUUUUUACUAAAUUUUUCAUAAUCGUUCGAUUACGAUUAUUUUAAAAUCAUAAUCGCGAUUAAUCAAAUUACUGAAAUAAUCAAAUACUCAAUUAAUUGAAAUAAUUUGAUUCGGUUCGGUUCGAUUAUUUCAAUUAUAGGCCUAUUGGGCCUAUUUUGAGCUUUUUUAAAUUUAAAACCUUAAAUUAAUAAAUCUACCACAAACAUAAAAAGUUAACAAACAAAAAAUCAAAAAUAUGUCUCGAACAAUGUUCAAAUAACAAGUUCAAAUCAAAAUAAAUCAUAAUCCCAAUUACUCCUCAGUUGCUUGUUCUUGUUGAGCUAGUAUUGGCCUACCAAAUUCUACAUUAACAAAUUAAAAAAAAAUGUUAGAAUGAUUAGUUAAAAGUGAAAUAAUCAAAACAACAUAUCAAAAUAUAGUAGUAACAUAUUACCUGCUUCAAUAACUUCAUAGAAUUCAGUUCCCUCUUGAGUAGGUUGUAUUAUCCGUUCUCCUAAUAGAGUUGAGCAAAGCCAAUUUUGAGUGCAAAUUAAUGACUCAACAGUUUUAUGAGUUAAAGAACUUCUAAAAGGAUCAAGAACACGCCCUCAUGUGCUAAAUGCCGAUUCCGAAGCUAUAGUAGACACUGGAAUUGCCAAAACAUCCUUGGCAAUCUGAGACAAAAUUAGAUACCUAUGCCCAUUCAACUUCCACCAAGUCAAAAUAUCAAAAUGGGCAUUACUAGUACUCUCAUUAGCAUCCGUCAAGUACUUUUCAACAUCAUUUUUCGAACUAAUGUCAUCAUUUGAACUUUGCUUCAUCAUUUUGAAAGAUGAAAAAAGAUCAAUUGACAUUAUACUACUACUAGCACUAGCACCACCACCACCACCACCACCACCACCACCACCACCACCACUACCACUACCACCAUCAUGGAUAUCACCAAAACAAACACCACCACUAUUCCUCACAUCACUCCCACCAAUAUAGCUAUUAUAUAGCUUCAUCAACAACUCCUUAAUAUUAGAUUUCAAUUCUUCAACCUUCCUAGAUUCAUACAUGUUACUAAAACAAAAUGUAACAAACUCUAAUUUACAUCUAGGAUCAAACACAUUUGCUACAAAUAAUAACAUGUUAACCUGAUCAAAAGAAUCACCACUACCACUACCACCAUCAUGGAUAUCACCAAAACAAACACCACCACUAUUCCUCACAUCACUCCCACCAAUAUAGCUAUUAUAUAGCUUUAUCAACAACUCCUUAAUAUUAGAUUUCAAUUCUUCAACCUUCCUAGAUUCAUACAUGUUACUAAAACAAAAUGUAACAAACCCCAAUUUACAUCUAGGAUCAAGCACAUUUGCUACAAAUAAUAACAUGUUAACCUGAUCAAAAGAAUCACCCCAAUAUUUAGCAAACAUUUGUUCCAUUUUUUCGACCAUUUUUCUUAACAAAUCAUCACUAGAAGUAGCAAGUGACUUCAAAUUAAUUAGAACUUUUGCCAUUUCAUUUAAGAAAUCAUUGGAAGUGACAACAAGAGAGCUACUAAAUUUCAAGGUCACAUAAUAAAAAACCGAUAAAAAUUUGACUAACCUCCUUGCAUUUCCCCAAUCGUCAUUGCUCGGUGGCCCUUCCCUCUUUUUUUCACCCUCCUCCUCAACAAACCAAUUAACAUAAUGUCCAUCAUCUUCCUUCAUCCUAUCAAAUGCUUUUUCAAAUACAAUCGCCUUAUGCAACAUCAAAUAUGUUGAAUUCCAUCUAGUAGGCACAUCCAACACCAUAAGCCCUCCAUAUGAGAUUUUCUCCCUAUCAACACAUGUUUUAAACUUUUGCAAUCUUACUGGAGAGGAUCUAACAUACUUUACUGCAUUGCAAAUACUAGCUAUUGAAUUAUUCACCUCCACCAACCCAUCUUGCACAAUCAAAUUUAUUAUGUGUGCCGAACACCUCACAUGCAUAUAUAUACCAUUCAAAAUCAUUGAAUUCACACUCCAAUUUGCUAACUUCUUCUUCACAUAAGUUAUUGCAACUUUAUUGGCACUUGCAUUGUCCACUGUAAUUGUGAACAACCUCUCAAUCCCCCAAUCAAUCAAAUAUGUCUCAAUUAGCUUCCCAAUACCAUCUACUUUAUGAGUAGCUAUAGGUGUGAAACUAAGAAUCCUUUUGUGCAACACCCACUCCGCAUCAAUAAAAUGAGCAGUAAUAACCAUGUAGUUAGACAUUUGAAUUGAUGUCCACGUAUCUGUGGUAAUACACACCCUCUGCUUGCUUGCACCCAAGACACUUUUUAACAACCCUUUUUCAUGUUGAUACAAUUCAAGAAUAUCCCUUAUAAUUGUUCUUCGCGAUGGCACAUCAAAUCUUAGGCAACAAGUUUGCAUAAACUCUAAAAACCCUUCGGCCUCCACAAAGCUAAAAGGUAAUUCAUCAUUGACAAUCAUCUUCACAAGUGCCAUUCUACAAGCCUCUUGACUAAAUCCGCCACUAACUUUAACAACUCCAUCAUCUUUAUCUUUUCCCUUUUGACGGAAAAGUACUUGUUGCUUCAGAUCCCCUUCAACCUUUACAUCUUGAUAUGACCUACAUCUAUCCAAAUGAUUCUUCAAAUUAGUGGUAUUUCCUCUAUUAGCUACAAAGGUUUUACGGCAAUGAUGACAUUUUCCUUUGUUUCCACAAGAUAGUUUGGUAAAAUGAGCCCAAAUAUUUGAUCUCAAAGGUAUUUUUCUUUUUUUCCCAUCAUCAACCUCCACCUCUUGCACUUCCUCCUCAUCAUAAUUUUCCAUUCUUCACAAAAAAUCAACAUCACAGCAGCAAUAAAUCAACACAAGAGCAGCAACAAAUAAAAAGAACCUGAUGCUCAAUAAUUCUACUAACUAAUAUCAAUUGUACGCACAGAGAACAAUAUAUGUACAAGAAUUGAUUCCCAUAUUAAUUGAUAAAUAAAGCCAAAUAGAUAAAAAUAUGGGAUUUGUAUAAUGCUUUACAAUGCAUAAGAUAGUAAAAAUAUUAAAUAAGGGCUUUGCACCCCAUUUUAUAUGUACGCACAACACUUCACUAGUACAUGAUACUUUUCCACAAGUUCCCACAAGGGGAUCAAGCAGCCAAGAAUGCACAAACUGGAGGAAUGAGGUUAAUAGCAAACAAACUAUGUAGGUACAGCCAAAAAGCCGCUGUGAAGAUAUCAGAAUUAGAUGACAACCCUAAUUAACAAGCUUUACUACACCUGUAUGGACAGUAACAAUAGCUGCAGCUAUUCUAAGUUUUGGAUUCCAUCCCCAAAUGAUGUCAACAGAGGUGCAAUAUUAGAUGGUCUAGGAACAAGUCUCCGUUAAGUAUGCAAAAGGAUCUGAAGACACUAAUGCGAAAAUCACAAAAAAAAAAAAAAAUGGAGCGAAAUGCGGUGCUACAAAGACAUUGAUGUUCCUGAACAUUUACUUUUCAUUUGUUUUGUUGUAGUUGUAGUAAUAGGUAUAUCUGUAGCUGCUACGUAGACCUUAGGCAACAAAUGCCACGAACAUGAACCUAGUGACUUUUUGUGUGUGCGGACUUGAACUUAUCUACAUUUCUAUAUCACAAAAGAAGACUACACAAGCAGAUACUUGUGAAAACAAAACACUUCAAAUGGUCAAUAUCACUAAGUCACUUCCCAGAUCUGAAAAAAGCCUCCAUUCUACUUCAACUCAACAUUAUCAUCACUUAGAACAUCAACUUACAACAAGCCAUCACAACACAUACACAAGAAAUUUAAAUCAAAGCAGAAUAAGUUGAAAUCACAAGGCACAACCAAAUGAAUAAUUUGCAUUCCAGCAAAAUUUAAGUUCGAAAAAUGAUUAAGGCUGCGAUACACAGCCUGCUGGGGAAAGUGGCCCUUCCAUGUUGCCCAUCACGUGGUGAAAAGAAAAAGAAAAAAAAAAGAGAGAAAGAAAUGAAGAAUCAACUCACAAGUUGUAGCUUUGUGGAGAUCACGAUAUUUCCAGAUGACAGCGGCUACGGCGACGAGCAGCAGCGACGGAUACUCAGCGACGAGCAGUAGCGACGGAGACUUGGCAACGAGCAGCAGCGGCAACAGCAAGGACCAGCAGCGCGGAGACAAGCGACGGGGGCGAGAUUCUAGCGGCUGAAGGUCACGAGUUCAGUGGCUCAAGAUCAGAACUCAGAACUGAAGGAAUCUGAAGUGGACAAUUGGUUUAGAGAAUUAGAGUCACUAGGUUCAGGGAUUUCGGAUUUCGGUUUAUUUGAUAAUUGGUUCGGUUUUGCGGUUUUUUUUUUAAAACCGAACCGACUGAUUUUACUAUUUUUACUAUAUUACUUAUUCGGUUUUUUGAGUGUAAAAAAACCGCAAAAAAAACAAAACCGAACCGAACGGUUCGGUUCGGUUUUUGAUUAAUCAACUUUUUUUGCCCACCCCUGAUGAAAUAGGCUUUAGUUAUUUUACAUGAUCAUGUAAAUUAUUCUUGUAUAGUUAUUAAAUAAAAAUUAAAAAUAAUAAAAAUAAUAAGAUUUUAUUAUUUUAUAUUUCCACAGCUGUUGAAUUUUCAUCAAACGAUUAUGAAAAAAUCAUAUAUUUUAUAUGAUUACCCUUUUUUUAUGAUAACAAUCUCUCGUAAAAUAAUUGAUCACCCUUUUUUUUUAUGAAAAAUUGAUAUACUUGCUUACACACAUGACAUAUUCUCCUUGGAAGUAAAGAAAAAAUUUCCAUUAUUCUGCAUUGUGCAUCACAGUCCUGACAGCGUUUUAGGCUCUGUAAAUAGCAAGAAAAUAAUUUGUUUUCUUAUUUCCUUUUGCUAAUUGACAAAAUGAUGAGAAAAAAAAUGAAAAAUAAGGAAAAAAAAGUUUCUAUUAUAACAAGAAAAUAAAGAUUAAAGUAAAAUGCCAUGACACGUAGAAUUCUCUAAAACGAUAUCUAAAUUGAAAAGUGUAAUAAAUAAUUCGGGGAAGCUUGAAAAAUGUAACAACAAAAUUUGUGUCAAAUAAGAAUAAAAAUAAAAACUUAUUGGAUGGAGCCAAUAAAGUUUAGAAAGAUUUUUAUUUCGCUUAAGUUUAUAAUUUAGAGUCACAAGCAACAAGUUCGUAAACAACAUGAAUUUUUGAGGAUUGCAAUAAAAAUUGUGAUUGAUAACAACAAAUUUACAAUUAAUAAUUAAUAACAAACAAUGGCUACGUGGGUAUUUUCCAAUUUACGGAGCCUCAAGGGCCAAGGUUGACCUAAUAUUGCCAUAUAAAAAUAUUUUUUUAAAAGAAAAUAAAAUAUGAUCUAAAAGAAUGUGUACCAUGAUAUAAUUGAUAAAAUUUUCAUUCUUUCAAGUUCUAAGAGAGUCUAAGAGAAACGUGAAAGGCUUAAAGUGCAUAAUAAUAAUAAUAAAAGGAGAAAUUUUAAAUACUUCAGAUAUAUUACAACCACCACUUUAAUACAACCACUAUAUUACAACCACAUAUAUCAUGUCAUUAUUUGUUUGUUGUAUGACUGACAUGGUACAUCAGAUGUAUUCUAGAAUUUCUCUAAUAAAAGAGACAUGUGAAAGUGAGAGCAAUAAAAAAAAUAAAAUAAAACCCCUAAAUUGGAAACUUUUAAAGAAUAGUGAUGAUUGUCGAAGCCAACAAAAAUAAAUACCUACUCUAAAUAAAUUGUGUAUAGUGAUUGAGCUGGAUCGUGUCCACAGAGAUUGGUAAUUAUUUAAAUCCUUUUAACACGUAAAACAUAAAAUGGGGGUUUUGUUGACAAUAAUAAAAAUCAAAUUAAAAUAACAAGAAUGCAAAUUAAAGUUGUAAUUCAAAUUGGAGAAAGCUCUGGUUGAAGGAAUUAACUCAGCUUGAUUCGACUACUGAUCAUUGAUUCAAAUAUAAAUUAUUACUACUUAUGAAUAGACCGGUUAUAGCUACUGAGACCCUCUAAUAGCCAAUCUCUCCUUAACUAGUCGAUAACCAAGGUACGAUCGUUGGUUAUUUCCCUAAUCAAUAGACAACCCUAGAUACGAUCAUAUGAUUUAAUCAAUUGACAGCCUGAAAAACCAGAGAGACCCAAAUCCUAAUCAACAAACGCAUACGAUGGUUCAUUUAAAUUAGAUUGUUUAUUCUCAUAACACAACUCACUGCUAUGUUAUUUGUCACAAACAUUAAAAUCUUCAUACGAUAAAUCCUUUAAUUGACAAUAGAUUAAGUUGAUAAUUAAAUAGUGGCCAGUUAUCUAAUUAACAAACAUAAUCAUGAAAAUAAUUCAGAGAAUAAACAAAUACCAAAAAAGUAAUAAAACAAUUAAAGCAUAAGAAAGAUCUCACAGUAGUGAUGAAUCAAAGCUUCAUUAACCUUCAACCAGAAUAAUAGAUUUAGUUCUUCAUAGAGAGAAUAGAAAAAUUUAGAUCUAGGGUUUCUUUCUUUUCUCCAAUCCCCCUUUUUUUCACAAUAGAUUCCUCCCUUAAAUACUCUCUCUCUCUUCUCCUCUAGAGUUCUAUUUAAAAUAAAAUACUAAUAUCUAAAAUAUUAAAUUCGUAAUUACAAAAAUAACCAAAAAUACAAAACACGUUAAACUAAAAACUGUAGGUCCGUAGUUGACAGCACGCGCCCACGCCUUAUCAAUAAAGUUCUUCUGACGCUCAUUAUUUCUUCAAAAGAACAAUCAUCCUUAAACAUCAUCUUGUAGCUCAAUUUUAGCACCAAUCAAUAGAAUUGCACCUAUAAAAGUAAAACACAAGUAAAUCACUAUUAUUAAGUGCAAAACAUCGAUAUUAAGGGAAGCAAACAAUGCAAAACUAGUGCAUAAAUUGCACUCUAACAAAUUCCCCCACACCAAGAUGAUGCUUGUCCUCAAGCAUAUAACUCAAGACUAAUCACAAAUCUCCGCUCAAUUCUCAUCUCAACUCAUCCAAAAACAAUUUUAAGCAAGCAUACCUCAAGAAAUUAAGUCGAUCAUCAUUCGAAAGACAAGGAUUUUAAAGCAUAGAAUCUCAUAAGAUAGAAGAAGAACAUUCAACCACCAAGAAGAUCCAUUCAAAAUUCAACUGCAAUAAGAUUUAAUAGCCCUCUCAUUGACUUCACUCCAUUCACUCAAAGUGUUUAGGGUAUCAUUUAUGCACUCAAAUCAAAUCAAAUAAUGCUAUUACCAUAAGCUUGCUCAUAUAUCACAUCUCAAUCCACAAAACAUGAAUAAAAUGCAAAAAUCUAAGGGUCUUAAAAAGGUUGUAAUGGGGUUAAAUAAGUUAAAUGAAAAAGAAAGGUCUACGAAAGAAAAAGAGAUCAAAAUGAGAAGAAUGAACUCAUUGAAUGAACUUAUGAUAUCAAAAUGCUUAUUUCUACUCAAGUCACCAAGAAUGUAAACAUUUUUUUUCUUUUUUUCGAUUUUUGUCUUUUUUUUCUUUUUUUUUAAUCAAAAGAAAAGAAACGAACCUUGCACAAUUUAAUUCAAGCAUAAUGCUUGUUGAUCUAAUUGAGAAACUUUAAUACAAGGUAGAAAAAGCAACAAAAUAUAUACAAAAUAUAUCCGCACAAUGAGUCCAAAAAUCUCCUUAAAUUGAGGCUCAAAAAGAAGAAAAAUUGUUAAGUAGACAAAGAGAAUUAGAUGGAUAAUGGUUAAGACUCAAACAAAGAUAGCAAAUAAAGGUCUUCGGGUAGAAAAAAAAAAGAAAAUGCGAGAAACAAAUGUUUACAUAGAAACAAAUGGCGCGCAGUCGAUUUGUCAAUCUAGUACCACUCUCGUAUACUUGGUGAGAUUCGGCUAUACCAAAUUUGUAGCCUAUAUUUUACUUUAAUGAGAAAAUCAAAUAAUGUUUGAACAAAUAAUUUUCUUUUUUCUAUAUACUUUCUUAAAAUGUAUGGAGUGGGUAAAGUACAAAUUGUUUUUUUAGCCCUUUGACUCCUCCAAAAUUCGAACUCAAUUUAAUGUCAAUUAAAAUAAUGCUACUUGAAAAUCAUUCAACCAAAUAUCGUAAAAACUAUAAUUUUACGAAGUGAAAGUUUCACUGAUUAUUGAAUUAUAGAACAUGCUAUCAUUUCCUAGUUAGAAUUUGUUUAAUUCUAUUAAUUUACAAUCAUUCUUUAUUUUAUUCAAUUAAUUAAAGUGAAUUUGUUUUGUAUAAGUUCUAUAUAUGUAAAAUUUUAAAAUUCAGUGUUGAACUUAAUUGUACUAAACCUUUUAUAAUUUUUUAUCACAUCUGCAUGUUUAACAGUCUAGUAUUAAUAUUGAUAGCACAUAAUAUAUAGGAUCAAGAGACAUUGAUUUCGGGUGCCACAAGAUUUUUAGGAUUGCAUGCACAAGGGCUUACAAGAUUUUUAGGAUUGCAUGUAGGGGUGGGCGCGGUUCAGUUCGGUUCGAUUUUUAACUAAAUUUUUCAUAAUCGUUCAAUUACGAUUAUUUUAAAAUCAUAAUGGCAAUUAAUCAAAUUACCGAAAUAAUCAAGUACUCGAUUAAUCAAAAUAAUUCGAUUUGAUUCAGUUCGAUAAUUUCGAUUAUGAGCUUAUUGGACCUAUUUUGGGUUUUUUUAAAUUUAAAACCUUAAAUUAAUAAAUCUACCACAAACAUAAAAAAGUUAACAAACGAUUUGUUUCUUAGUUAAAAGUUUUUAAUCUUUUACUGCUUUUAUUAUUAUCCCAUUUUCGUGAUUGUUGGUAAAUGUGUCAAAUCAUAGGUGGAAAGCCUCUACAAAAUAAAAAUUAACCAAAAAAUCAAUUAAGAUUAUAGUUUAAUUAAGGAUCCAUACAGAGUUAGUUAGCAGAACCAGCUGGAAAAUGUUUUUGUCUGAACCUGUUGCAGAAAAUUAAUACUUGCUAGCGUUUUUUAUUAAUUAAUUUAGUUAUGAAUAUACAAACUUAAAAAGUCAUGAAUGAGACGUGUUUGAACUUGCUUUAGUUUUCAUCAGUAGUAAAGAUAGCACCGGCAAUUCACAGCACCAUCAUUUAGUUAUGAACUUGCUUUACGUGCUCUGGAAAUAUCAGUCAUUUUACAAAUGAAAAAGAAAUCAAGAUUUCAUGUUUCACCAUGCUUGGGUUGCUAUCAAACAUAGCAACACCAAAAAAUCAAAUCCAGUGAAGGAGAAUUACCAAAUACAAGGUCAAGAUUCCACCAUAUUAUCAAAAUUGACAUUUGACCGUCAUUAGUAGCAUUAAUUGUUUUGUAGCGUACAGAGCCACACAAAACACUAAGACUAAAGAAAUCAAAGAUGAAAACAAACACCAUAUCACAUUAAACAUUUUCAAACACGGCUCUAAGAUAUAAAAAUCAUGAUCAAUCUCAACAGUAUCCAGUUUGCGAUUUGGGAAAAGAAACUGAAAAAACCAAUCAUUCAAUCAUCUUUCAGCCAAAGAAACAAACCAUAUCUCACCCAAAUGGGGGAAAAGAAAAAACAAAAGAAUGAAUCAUAAAUCACAAAUCAAUUUUGGUAUACAAAUUACUAGUCAUGGUUAUAACUAAAUACAACAUCUCAAGUGAACGAACCUCAACAAAUUAUGAAACGAAACACGAAACAAUCAGCAGUAGCUCAAGUUAUUGGUUUUUAUUCUCUGCAAAAACAGAACAAACCAGAGAAAUGAGAGACAAAAACAGCAGCGAUAUUUACAUAACUCAAGCACAUUAACAAAAACAUGGGAACGAGGAAAAAGAAAUGAACUUUAAACCAAAUUCAUAAAACCGAAACGAAAAAUGGAACUUUUUUGUUCGAUUUUUUGUUCUGCUGAGAGAUUUUGUUGACAAAAACAAAAGAACCCAGAAAUGCUAAAGAGGAAGAGAGAGAAAUCAAUACGUGAUCGUAGUGUUAAAAAAAAAAAAAACCUCACAACAGUAGUCAGAUGGCAGCAGGGGAGCACCGUGACAGCAGCAACAAUUGAUAGUAGGUGACAGCGGCAAGUGACAGUGGCAGCAGCAGCAGAUGACAGCGGCUACAGCAGGUGGUAGCGGCGGCGGAGAGUCGUGAAGGACAAGCAGCAGCAGCAGCGGGGACGAGAUUCCAGCGGCUGAAGGUGCUGCGGCUUCGGUUUUCGGCUGAAGAUCAGAAGAAAUGAAGAAUGUGUUUAGUUUAGACUUUAGGGAUUGUUAUUUGACAUUCGGUUUAUUUGAUAUUCGGUUCGGUUUUUCGAUUUUUUUUUAAACUAAAAACCGAAUAGACUGAUUUUACUACUUUUAUUAUAUUACUCAUUCGAUUUUUUGGAUGUAAAAAAACCGCAUAAAUGCUGUAGAAAACUUAAAUUUUAUAGUACUUAGUUAGCUGCACAUAUAUAUAUAUAGGGCUACUAUAGCCAAAGAAACUUACAUGCUCUAGAAAACUUAAAUUUUCAUUGAUGCCACGUAACAUCAAAAAACUUUUCCCAGUAACAUUCGUAAAAGCUAAAAAUGUCUGAUUCGGUAGAGUAAACACCUCUAUGAGUGUAUUUACGAGGAAUAUAUCAAUAUAACCUCUACAUUUGAAAAUAACCAACAGUCUUUCAGUAUGUCUGUAUAUAUAUAUAUAUAUAAUCAGCUUCAGGUCUGGAAUUUAAAUUUGAAAAGAGUCUACAAUGUUGUAAAUUGCAUUUAUCACUGUUUUACAAUGGUAUAAAUUUAAUUAUAAAUGACUGUCAAAAAAUUAAUAGAUGGUUAUUAUAUAUGAUUAUAAUUAGAACAUUAAAAUUCAAGUCGACUCAUUUAUCUUUACGUUGAUUUUAUUCUUUGUGGUUAUACUUAGAAUAUUAAACAAUUAAGUCGACUAGUUUAUCUUUAUGUUGAUCAUUACAGGCCUCUUAAAUAUUUUAUUUACCUAUAUUUUCUUUGAUUUGUUAUUUUGAGUUGUAUGAAAUGUAGCUUUACUCCUGUUUUCUUUACUUUACUUUGGUUUUCUUUAUUGUUGAUAGGAAUUUUCUUGUUAAAACUAUAUGAUUCAAAUUCAUACUACAACCAUGAUGAAAUAUUUAAUAAAACCUUCAAACUAAAUCCACAUAUUCCAUGAGUAAGGACCCUGAGAUCACAUUUGUUCAAGUUUAUGCUUUAAGUAAAAUAAAAGUAGAAAUGAGAGUUUUAAAGAAGAAAUUCAGUUAUAAAUAAUUGUCAAAUAAUUAAUUGUUCAGCAUUUAUUUUAUAGGUCCCACUGUUGGGACUCCAUGUGAUCUGCCAACUGGCAGGCCUUAUGUGGUUGGGUGAACCAAGGUGUGCCUACCCCAUAUAAGUUCCUCUCUUCUCAUAGAUAUAACUAUCAACGGCGCUAUGUCAUGUCCAACAAGGACUCUUCGAAACUUUUUAUGUGAAUUUUAAACAUUACCCCAUUACGCUUUUGAAACACCAAAACUACCUCUCUUAAAUUUUUAAAAAAGGAAAAAAAUACAUGUUAAAAGAAUGUUUUAUGUCUUUAGCUUAACAGUUAGCACACGUAUUGUACUCUUGACAUUUUUCUUCUGUAAAUCUUCACUUCUUUUUUCUUUGAUUUUUCACACGUCACUGCUCUUUUAUCUCUAAAAAAUUAAAUUGUCCGUAGAAGCUUACUAUUUAAUUUACGGAUCUAAUUAUUUAGCUCUAAAUAUUUAGAUAAGUUUUCUUAAUUAAUUACCACUUCUUUAAUUUAUUUGGUGAUUUCUCUUAGAUGAAAGAAUUAAGGUUAUGUCCUAGGAAAAAUAUUAACUCUCAUAUUAUAGUGUUGAUAAUGAGGUUAUCCUUAAAUUUUUAACACAUGAAAACACAUCGAGGUAACUAUAAAUUCAUUGAAGGAAAUAUUUUAAUAAAUUUAGAUUUUGGUACAUAUUAUUUGUUGAAUUUUUUUUCUUUCCAAAUUGAACGUAGCCCUUAUGACAUUCAAUUCGUGAGAGUGCCACUAAAUGUAAAGUGUUGAACUAGAUCAUAUUUCUCCCUUAUGCAAACUCCAUCGUUUAUUUAUAUUUCAAUUUUGUGGCCUAUUUUCGAGUUUUCUAGUUUCACAGAGGGCAUCUUGGAUUUCUCUACGCUGUCUAUAGUCUCUAGUCCAAAUGAAGAAAUCGAAUUCACCAUGUACUGUUUGGGAGAAGUACGUCGACGAGACCAGACAUGAUGAGCAGAUAUCUGAUGGCAGAGUUCUGCGAACAGGUGUGUCCUGUAAGAGACUGGUGACCGGGGAGCAGGAGUAGAAAUAUUUUGCUCGUCCGCGAGAAUGCCGUCCACGAGGCUGGGCUCCUGCUGUAGCAUGGAGCAUUCCUGCUAAAGGUUUUAAUCGAGGAGACCCGGUCAACGAGAAUUGGUGCGGCGGGCUCUGCAAUCCGAAAAUCAAGGUACUAAGGCCACGUAUCCACCCACGAUUACAGAAAUAGAGCAUCCACGUUCGAGAGGUGGGAGGAUAACGAGCGCAAAUGAGGGGAAGGUCUGGAGUCAGGAGGACCUAUAAAAAGGUAGCCAACGAAGGUAAAAGGGUUAGACUUUUCGCUAUUAGAACUAAGAAAAGAGAGCUCUAAGAACUGAGAUUAAAAAGAAGCCAUAAGAUUCGUGGCAUAGAUUCCCAAAACCUUCAUUUCUGACUUGAACGUCGGAGGGUUUGCGCCGGGGAACCAACCGGCGUACUCUGACCUGUCUGUGUACGCAGGAACUUCUGGAGAAGAAGCUUUACGAGGAGAGAUCCUGAUCGUGGUGACGUUGAUCGAGCAGAGCUCCUGGUCGUAUAACGAGGAGGACUAGAAUCUCGCAUCAACAUUUUGGCGCCGUCUGUGGGGAGCUGAGCAAAAAGCUUCUGUUGAUAGCAAGAAGAAAAGGGAAGCAACUGAAAAGCAAUGGAGACAGGAGGAAGUAGUGCACAAGGGGGUGAUAUGAGGCUUAACGAUUCCGUGACGCUGAGGGAGAUAGCCAGUGAAGCACGGGAAAAAGCCAUGUUCGACCAGAUGGAACGGAUGGAAAAGCAGAUGGAGACCUUGACAACCAUCCUGCAUGAGCUGCGGAGCGAACGAAGGGUAACCUAGGAGGAAAGGGUGAGAGGUGGUGGAGUGGCACCAGGUCCCGAUAGUGCGAGGAGAAGUCAAACCAUCGGGAGAUUUGGUGGCGAGAGAGGUAACAUACCUCUGCGGGGAGAAUUGCAUAGAGAGGAAGAGCAGUCCCCGACAAGACAGAUUUUUGACGAGGACAACGGGGUGGCGAAUGCAGAGGAAACACAGUUGAGGCAACACUUGCAUGAUGUAGUGCAAGAGCGGGAUCAAGUUGCAGCACGUGACCCUGGUCGUGCAGAGCAGCUGGAGGAGGAAGUGCGCAGACUAGCGCAGAUAAUUGACGACAUGCAAGGAAGGAGCAGAGCUCCUGGUUGGAGAAUAAUGCUGGACGGAGAAUCACCGCUCGCAGCAGAGAUCAUAGGGCAAUUAUUCCGAGAGAUUUUUGCCUCCCAGACUUUAGAUACUCGGGAAGAACUGAUCCGCUGGUGCACAUAGAGUGCUUCAACGACAUAACUGGGGUACAAGGAUUAUCUCAAUCCCAAAGGUGCAGGGUGUUCCCACUAUCCCUUGAGGGACGUGCACGAGAGUGGUACAAGAAACUUCCUCGGGGCAGCAUUAAAACCUUCGAGCAGAUGUGCCAGGAAUUUGUAGAGCAGUUUAGUGGGGCAACGGCACCAGAAGAUGACAUGAUGGAGCUGAAAAGCAUGAAACAGGGGGAGCAAGAAACCCUUCGGGAAUUCAUCAAGAGGUUUCAUCGUGCUGUCCUCGACUUGGGUGCCUUCAACCACCCUCAGGCGUUAAGGGGAUUGAAAGAAGGGGUGAAGAUAGGAAGGUUGUGGUACAACUUGAGAAGCCCAGUUAUUCAGACGUAUGCGGUCGCAUACGAGCAGGCUAAGAGAGACAUUGAGAUUGAAGAGGAGAAGGCAGCACGGAUUAAGACAGACCAGUUAGAAGGGUUGGGGAGGAAAGAGAAGAAAGCAUUACCAGGGAAUGGGCCGAUCAGGAGGAGGGACCACCAAGCCUCGGGUAGUGGAGCAGGAGGUCGGGUAACUGCUUACCAGCCUCAUCAGAGGCCACCACAGUAUCAGCGCAGUAGGGCGCAACUUCCUCGUUCCCCAGCUAGGGAGCCUUGGAGAAGGCAUGAUUCGGCAUAUGGUGGUCUCCAUCAACAUUCCCACGGUAGCAGAGGGAGCAGACCAGAAGUACUACCACAGCCCCCAACUCAGAACGGAGCAAACAGAGAAAGAGCAGUGCACCUGAUCGACCAGAACCAGGACUAUGAGCAGUAUACUUCCUUGAAGAUGUCCCUGGACGAGGUGUACGAGGCCAUAAAGGAUCGGGGGUUGCUAUACCUCCCUGCUCAAAUAACAAAGCUACCCAGCAGGAGGGAUAGGGGACGCUAUUGUAAGUUCCAUGGCACUCAUGGCCACACCACAGCAGAUUGCAGAGAUCUUAAGACCCAGGUCGAAGAUUUGGUGAGAAAUCGGUAUCUGGACGAGUUUGUAGAUGGGACCUUCCCAAUGGUAGCCUCAACAAGUGAAGGGGAGUAGAGUGACAGGAACUUGAGGCGCGAGCAGCCUGCAGUAAGGGUUAUAGCUGGGGGCCCAACAUUGGCGGGAGAUUCCAACAGGUCGAGGAAGAAUUAUGCUAGAUACGCCAUGACCAGCAAAGAGGUAUUCUUCAACACCCCAGCAGCCAAACGUGCAAGAGUCAGGCAAGUGCCAAUCAUGUGGACAGAUGAGGAUGAGGAAGGGAUUCUAUACCCUCACGAGGAUGCUUUGGUCAUCAAGGCCACCGUUGCUAGCAAGAAGUUUGACAGGAUACUGGUUGACACAAGGAGCUCAGUUGACGUAUUGUUUAAGUCAACCCUGGAGGAGAUGGGGAUAGCAGACCUGAAGUUGGAUUACACCAAUACCUUCUUGAAGGGGUUUGGAGGACGAAGGCUGGUCCCUCUGGGCGUGGUCGAGCUGCCUAUCACGAUCGCGAGUUCCCCGACAGAAAGGACAAUGAUACUAGACUUUGUAGUAGUAGAUGAGGAAGGUCCUUACCAGAUGAUCCUAGGCCGGCCAUUUCUGAGGAUGAGCAAAGCGGUGCUGUCCAACCAUUAUCUGGCCCUCAAGUACCGGGUGAAUGAAGUAGUUGGAGUGGUACGAGGAGACCAGAGAAUCGCAAGAAGCUGCUACUCUUCGGCAGCAAGGGAAGCAAUGCAGAUAACAUCCAUUGACACCCGAGUGGAAAACGAGAAUGGCAGACAAGAACCUGUAGAGGAGCUGGAGACAGUAAGCCUGGGAUCAGAGAAUCCGGGAAAGACGAUCAGAAUCGGGUCGAGACUUAAAGAAAAGCAGAAGCAGGAGUUGGUGAAAUGCUUACAGGCUCAUGCAGAUGUGUUUGAAUCUUGAUCUGCUAACGGAAAAAAGGGAGCAAGCAGCUGGUCAAUCAGCCAUUUACCAGCAAAGGGUCACUCGUUAUUAUAACCAGAAGGUUAAUGUACGACAAUUCAGGGUCGGAGACUGGGUACUGAGAAGAGUGAAUCAGAGUACCAAAGAUUCGACUCAAGGAGUGCUGGGACCGAAUUGGGAAGGGCCAUAUAGAGUCAAGCAGAUAGUGGGACACGGAGCUUACAAGCUGGUUCGCACGGACGGCCGCGAGGUGAAACGCCCUUGGAACGCAGCACACCUCCGCAAAUACUUCCAGUAAGAUCUGUUCACAUUUUAAAGCUAUUUCCGCUCGUGCUCGUUAUCUUUUAUUUUUUAUAUUUUAUGUCAAAGCAAGUUCAUGUAAAACCAACUCCUGCAAUUAAUGGAACGUCGAGGAAUUUCAUUCAGUUGAAACUGUGAUAAAUUUUCUAAGGCAUGCGAAGGCUCACCAAGUCUCAAAGCCUGUUUAUGGCGAGACCAGAAGCCAAGCGUGCCGGGAUCUGCUCGACCACGCGAAGGCGAGCAGAAUCCCAAUCAUUGAAGAAAAUAACUAAGGCAUGCAAAGGCUCACCAAGUCUCAAAGCCUGUUUAUGGCGAGACCAGAAGCCAAGCGUGCCAGGAUCUGCUCGACCACUCGAAGGCGAGCAGAAUCCCAAUCAUUGAAGAAAAUAAUUAAGGCAUGCAAAGGCUCACCAAGUCUCAAUGCCUGUUUAUGGCGAGACCAAAAGCCAAGCGUGCCAGGAUCUGCUCGACCACGCAAAGGCGAGCAAAAUCCCAAUCAUUGAAGAAAAUAACUAAGGCAUGCAAAGGCUCACCAAGACUCAAAGCCUGUUUAUGGCGAGACCAGAAGCCAAGCGUGCCAGGAUCUGCUCGACCACGCGAAGGCGAGCAGAAUCCCAAUCAUUGAAGAAAAUAACUAAGGCAUGCAAAGGCUCACCAAGACUCAAAGCCUGUUUAUGGCGAGACCAGAAACCAAGCGUACCAGGAUCUGCUCGACCACGUGACGGCGAGCAGAAUCCCAAUCAUUGAAGAAAAUAACAAAGGCAUGCAAAGGCUCACCAAGUCUCAAAGCCUGUUUAUGGCGAGACCAGAAGCCAAGCGUGCCAGGAUCUGCUCGACCACGCGACGGCGAGCAGAAUCCCAAUCAUUGAAGAAAAUAACUAAGGCAUGCAAAGGCUCACCAAGUCUCAAAGCCUGUUUAUGGCAAGACCAGAAGCCAAGCGUGCCAGGAUCUGCUCGACCACACGAAGGCGAGCAGAAUCCCAAUCAUUGAAGAAAAUAACUAAGGCAUGCAAAGGCUCACCAAGACUCAAAGCCUGUUUAUGGCGAGACCAGAAGCCAAGCGUGCCAGGAUCUGCUUGACCACGCGAAGGCGAGCAGAAUCCCAAUCAUUGAAGAAAAUAACUAAGACAUGCAAAGGCUCACCAAGUCUCAAAGCUUGUUUAUGGCGAGGCCAGAAGCCAAGCGUGCCAGGAUCCGCUCGACCACGCGAAGACGAGCAGAAUCCCAGUCACUGAAGAAAGUAUCUAAGGCACGCAAAGGCUCAUAAAGUCUCAAAGCCUGUUUAUGGCGAGACCAGAAGCAAAGCGUGCCAGGUUCUGCUCGACCGCGCGAAGGCGAGCAGAAACCCAAGCAUUGAAAAAUUUUCUAAGUAAUGUAGAAAGACCAUAUUCUUAACCAGAGCCUGCUCGGCCAAGCGAAGGCGAGCAGACCCUCAACAGAAAAUUUACUUGUAAAUACAAAACACAAGAAAGUAAUCAAAAACAAUUUUCAUUAAUUUAUCAAUAACCAACAAAGUUGUUCAUUACAACGCAUGAAAUAUGUUCAAGAAGAUGGCGGAUCAGUAAGCCGAGUAGCGUCGGUCGGCUGGACCUCCUCGGGUACAGGGGGGUAUCACCAGUUGCGUCCGGGGGGGUGCUCGCCUCGCCGACGUCAGCAGGGAUUGCACGAGGAGGAGAGUUUUCCUCCUCAAUCACGAUCGGCUCCACCCCUUCGGCAUCUUCCUUGGCCGCCUCCUCGUCCAUAUGUUGAGCAACACCAGCUGCAAGGUCAUCCAUCUUCAGAUCAGGAUGCUGCUUCCCGAGGACGGCCAUGAUGCAACGAUAAGAAUGCCGGAGUCCCUGGUCGUACUGGUUGUCGGCCUCCUUCUCUAAGUUUUCGACCUGAACCCGGUGGGAAUCGCGGAGAGAUUCGAGCUGAGCCUCGUACAAAGCUUUCUGACUCUGCAGAUCCUCCUUGACCUUGGCCAGCUCUUCCUCGAGAGUGAUAGCCUUUGCUUGGGCAAGAGACUCUCGCUCAAUCAACUUCAGAUUCUCGGGGUUCAAGUCCCCUGCUUUCUUUUCGGCAACACCAGCUCUGGUCGUCGCCGACUGAAUGUCCUCCUUCAUCUUCCUAUCAUAGCGGCCAACUUUGGCCUUAUAGUAGGUGGUCAUGCAGCUGAGAUGGAAGGCGCUAUACUGCAUGGCCCCCACCAGCUCGCCUAGACUACAUCCAUCAAAGUCCUCCAGAUCCUUCUUGCUCACGAGUUUGGAAAGCUCGUUGAGAUAGGGAGCCAAGUGUUCUGCUCGGCUAUCAGGCAAACGAGAUCUAGGCCCGACAGGUGGAGAAGAGGAAGCAGGAUCAGUGGCUGCUCCACUGGUCUCGCCGAGUUUGGCAGGAGGAGGAGGUAAAGUCUUCAAGGGAGAGACCUGCUGCACGAUGUUGGCCCGCUUUGCAGUAGGGGCGUCCUUGUUCUGGUCCCUCUUCGUGGUUUGAGGUCGAGAACGUUUCCUGUUCAGAGCCCCAAUCACAGCGUCCUCCAUCUUAUGGCCAGGGAGUACCAAGCGAGACUCGAGCAAGUUGUAAGUAGUUAGCAGUUCUCGGCUCGGGCAGGUAUUGGGUAGUACGGCCUCAACCUGUUUGAGCUGGUCAGGUUGGAGUGGGAAAUGAACACCCCAAGAAACUACAACACAAACAGACACUUGGUUAGAGGUAAGCCAAUAAAGCAGGAACAAUUAUGCAUACAAGACAUCUAAGCGAGCAUGCAACCUGGGACCGUGAAACGGGGUGGGAUGCGACAAUCCUUCCCGUCUAUUUGUGCAACUUGACCCCAAGGACCCCCAGCAAAAAAGAAUUUUCUCUUCCAAGUCCCACCACCACCAGUUGGAAGAUCAGUUAUGGGUUUCCUGCUCUUGGUACUAGAUUGGAAGUAGUACCAGCCGGCAUCUUUGGGGCUGUUCUUUAGCUGGUACAGGUGUUUCACCUCGUCGACCGUGGGCUCGCUUUGACAACAUCUGUCCCACAAGAUGAAUAGACUAGAGAGCACUCUCCACCCGUUGGGGUUCAGCUGACCAGGAGCUAGAUUCAACCCGCUAAGAAUCCGGGCAAAGUAGGGUUGCAAGGGACACCUCAGCCCAUGCUUAAAACUCUCCAAAAACAAGGUAACAUAUCCCCUAGGAGGCCGGCUAGAGGUAUCCUUCUUUCCUGGGAUCUUAAGAAGUAUCUCACCAGGAAUGCUAUACCUAAGCCGGAGGUUAGCGAGCUCGUCAAACGUGGUCGUGCACGUCAUAUAAUCAAUAGCGUAAUCCCGCGAUAGGGCUCUACCUCCUGCUGUACUCUACCCUUCUGGUCGUGACGCUCCUGAUGGUGAUGCCUCACCAGAAUCAUCUCCACGAUCCUCACUCAGGGUGUUCUCCGAUCCAGAAGACCCUUCCUCAUCGCUAUUUCCGCUCGAGGAGGUUGUUUGGGGGGACAUCCUCCUAGUGCUAGUGCCAACACUAGAUCUAAUGGGCUCUAAGGGGAUCCCGGGGUCAAAAGCAGGAUCGGUGAGCAGACUAGGCAAGAAGUCCAACUCAUCGUCAUCAACCUCAAUGACCUUCUCUUUACCUCUCGACAUUCCCUAAGCUCUAACCACAACACCACCACCAACUACUACCCAAACAAAAGAGAAGAGAAAUUAUCUACAACUAUCCGAGACCAGGGAGAUAGAAGAAGUACCUGAAGUAAUGGUUCAGUCGGAGAAAGACAGAGAUGGAGGCCCCUAUGCCGGAACUUCUUUCCGGAGAGACAGAGACGAAGACGGAGUGAAUGACGAAUUUGUCGUUCGAAAGGAUUUGGGUUUCCUAAUGGAGACGGACUCUUGGGUUGCCAGCAUUUAACGACACCAAAUCUCAAGGGCCUCGUAACCGUUGGUUUGAAAUUCGAAUAGAGGGGCAGAUGUCUGCCACAUCACCUCGUCCGCAAUUAAAUGCGACAUGACUCUUGGCAGCCUUUUCCCAUCCCACGCGAGCAAGUACUGUUGAGUUUCUACUGCUGGUCCACUACAUUACCCAAACACUAGAAACUGGGGGACCGAUGUUUGGGAGAAGUACGUCGACGAGACCAGGCAUGAUGAGCAGUUAUCUGAUGGCAGAGUUCUGCGAACAGGUGUGUCCUGUAAGAGACUGGUGACCGGGGAGCAGGAGCAGAAAUAUUCUGCUCGUCCGCGAGCAUGCCGUCCACGAGGCUGGGCUCCUGCUGUAGCAUGGAGCAUUCCUGCUAAAGGUUUUAAUCGAGGAGACCCGGUCAACGAGAAUUGGUGCGAUGGGCUCUGCAAUCCGAAAAUCAAGGUACUAAGGCCACGCAUUGUUAGAGUGCAAUUUAUGCACUAGUUUUGCAUUAUUUACUUCCCUUAAUAUCGAUGUUUUGCAUUUAAUAAUAAUGUUUUACUUGUGUUUUACUUUUGUAGAUGCAAUUAUAUUGAUUGAUGAUAAAAUUGAGCUAAAAGAUGAUGUUUAAGAAGGAUUGUUCUCUUGGAGAAAUUUCUGAGCGUCAGAAGAACUUUGUUGAUAAGGCGUGGGUGCGUGCUGUUAACUGCGGACCUGCAGUUUUUAGUUUAACGUGUUUUAUAUUUUUGGUUAUUUUUGUAAUUACGAAUUUAAUAUUUCAGAUAUUAGUAUUUUAUUUUAAAUAGAAUUCUAAAAGAGAAGAGAGAGAGAGUAUUUAAGGGAGGAAUCUAUUGUGAAAAAGGGGGGAUUUUUGGAUUGGAGAAAAAGAAACCCUAGAUCUAAUUUUUCUCUUCUCUCUAUGAGGAACUAAACCCAUUUUUCUGGUUGAAGGAUAAUGAAGCUUUGAUUCAUCACUACUGUGAGAUCUUUCUUGUGCUUUAAUUGUUUUAUUGCUUUUUGGGUAUUUGUUUAUUCUCUGAAUUAGUUUCAUGAUUAUGUUUGUUAAUUAGGUAAUUGGCCACUAUUUAAUUAUCAACUUAAUCUAUUGUCAAUUAAAGGAUUCAUCGUAUGAAGAAUUUAAUGUUUGUGACAAAUAACAUAGCAGAGAGUUGUGUUGUGAGAAUAAACAAUCUAAUUUAAAUGAAUCAUCUUAUGUGUUGAUUAGGAUUUGGGUCUCUCUGGUUUCUCAGGCUGUCUAUUGAUUAAAUCCUAUGAUCGUAUCUAGGGUUGUCUAUUGAUUAGGGAAGUAACCAACGGUCGUACCUUGGUUAUCGACUAGUUAAGGAGAGAUUGGCUAUUAGAGGGUCUCAGUAGCUAUAACCGAUCUAUUCAUAAGUAAUAAUAAUAAUCUAUAUUUGAAUUAAUGAUCAGUAGUCGAAUCAAGCUGAGUUAAUUCCUUCAACCAGAGCUUUCUCCAAUUUGAAUUACAACUUUAAUUUGCAUUCUUGUUUAUUUCAAUUUGAUUUUUAUUAUUGUCAACAAUUCCCCCAUUUUACGUUUUACGUUUCAAAAGGAUUUAAAUAAUUACCGAUCUCUGUGGACACGACCCUGCUCAAUCACUAUACACAAUUUAUUUAGAGUAGGAAUUUAUUUUUGUUGGCUUCGACACCCAUCAAAUUUUGGCGCCGUUGCCGGGGAUUGGUGUCAUUUAUUUAAUCCUUUUUACGUUUUACUUAGUGUAUGGUUCGUUCUUCUCGUACAUGUACACUUUCAUUUGAUCCUGAAAUUGAGAAGACAGCUCGCCAGCUGAGACAGCAGACAAAGCGAGCUAAGCAACGAUCCUCGUCGCCUUUGCUUUCUGAAACAGAUACGGUGCCUGAUUUAGUUGAAUCAUCUAGAGAUUCAGAAGAACAAGUGAUGGAUAGACCUGCACCUGUAGAAAGAACUCUUAGAGAGUUAGCUGAACCAGACUUGAAUCAACAACCACUCUGCAUUCAAUAUGUAGACUUGGAGGUAAAUUUUGAAUUAAAGUCUGGUCUUAUUCAUUUAUUACCCAAGUUUCAUGAUUUUGCAGGUGAAGAUCCCCAUAAACAUCUUAAGGAGUUUCAUGUUGUGUGUUCAAGUAUGAGACCACAAGGCGUGACUGAAGAGCAGAUUAAGCUGCGUGUUUUUCCGUUCUCUGUAGAUGGGCUAACUAAAGAUUGGUUGUACUACUUGCCUCCUGGAUCGAUUACAACGUGGAAUGGUUUGAAGAAGCAGUUCCUUGAGAAGUACUUUCCUGCUUCAAGAGCUGCCAACAUCAGAAAAGAUAUUUGUGGGAUCAGACAACUUCCUGGGGAGACUUUGUAUGAGUAUUGGGAGCGAUUCAAACAAUUGUGUGCCAGUUGUCCUCAGCAUCAGAUUUCUGAUCAACUUCUUAUUCAAUAUUUUUACGAAGGAUUGUCAUUUAUGGAUAGGAGUAUGAUAGAUGCUGCUAGUGGAGGCGUGUUGGUGAACAAGACCCCUACUCAAGCAAGGGAGUUGAUAUCAAAUAUGGCUGCCAAUGUACAACAAUUUGGCAGCAGGCAAGAUCUCACUUCAAGGAAGGUGAAUGAGGUAAAUAUUUCUUCUGUUGAACAACGUUUAGAUAAACUCACUUCUCUUGUGGAAAAGUUUGUUGUAGGUAAUGUACAACAGGUGAAGACUUGUGGUAUUUGUUACAAUAUGGGUCAUUCAACUGAUAUGUGUCCUACACUUCAAGAAGAACCCGUUGAACAAGCCAAUGCAGUUGGAGGAUUUCCAGGCAUGCCUCAGAGGAGGUAUGAUCCUUAUGCACAAACAUACAAUCCGGGAUGGAAGGAUCAUCCCAACUUCAGCUAUGGAGUUAGGCCGUCAAGAUUCCCACAACAGUAUCCACCAAGACAACCAACACCUCCACAGUCAAACUCCAAGUCAGGUAUAUCUCUUGAAGAAAUUGUUAAAUCACUUGCGACUAACACUCAACAAUUUCAGCAGGCAACUACAGCAAGCAUUCAGAACUUGGAAAACCAAGUGAGUCAAUUGGCAACUACGAUGAGCCGUCUAGAGUCUCAAGUAUCUGGGAAAUUGCCUUCACAAACUGAGGUGAAUCCAAAGCAAAACGCCAGUGCCGUCAUCCUUAGAAGUGGGAAGGAGUUGCAAGAGCCUAGUAAGAAAGUGACAGAGCAUGUAGAAGAUGAGCUUGAAAAGAAUGAAUUGAUGCCUAAAUCUCAGGAUGCGCAACCCACCAGAGCGAAACCCCUACCUAUUGUGAUACCUCCUCCUUUUCCAAGCAGGUUUGCAAAAUCCAAGAAGGAGGAACAAGAGAAAGACAUCCUUGAGACAUUUCGCAAGGUUGAGGUAAAUAUUCCCUUAUUAGAUGCUAUAAAACAAAUACCUCGAUAUGCUAAAUUUCUUAAGGAACUGUGCACCUCCAAGAGAAAAUUAAGAGGAGAUGAAAGAGUUCAUAUGGGGGAGAAUGUUUCAGCAGUUCUCCAAAAGAAAUUACCUCCCAAGUGCAAGGAUCCAGGUAUGUUUACUAUCCCUUGCAAAAUUGGUAGUGUUAGAGUUGAGAAGGCUAUGUUAGAUCUAGGAGCUUCUAUUAAUGUCAUGCCUCGUUCUAUUUAUUCGUCUUUGAAUAUUGGUGCAUUAAAAGAAACUGACGUGAUAAUUCAACUAGCUGAUAGGUCUAAUGCAUAUCCUGAUGGGGUAUUAGAAGAUGUCUUAGUACAAGUUAAUGAGUUGGUUUUUCCUUCUGAUUUUUAUGUACUUGAUAUGGAAGAUGAUAACUCCUCUAAUUCUAUCCCAAUUUUGCUAGGAAGACCUUUUCUUAAGACUGCUAGAACUAAAAUGGAUGUACAUAAAGGGACUCUUACUAUGGAGUUUGAUGGAGAGGUUAUAGAGUUCAAUAUGUAUGAUGCCAUGAAAUAUCUCAGUGAGGAACAUUCGGUAUUUUCUAUGGAUGUUAUUAACCCUAUAGUGCAGGAAGUUUUUUAUUUGGAUGUUGAAGAUUCAUUAGUAGCUGCUUUAAAUAACAGUUUGGGCCUCAAAGGAUUGCAAAAGGAUGAAAAUGAGUUUGUUUUAAAUUCUGUAUUGCAAGAGACAAUUUAUGAAUUAAAUUCUUUGAGAACUUUAACUCAUUAUAUGUCUAAUAAUGAAUUACCUUCAUCUAAUGCAAAACUUCUUCCAUCUAUUUUGCAGGCACCAAAAAUAGAGCUUAAACCAUUGCCUAGUCAUCUAAAGUACAUGUUUUUAAGAGAUGAUGAGACACUUCCGGUGAUCAUCUCUUCAAAGCUUAGUACUUUAGAGGAAGAGAAACUUAUUAGAGUGCUACGAGAUUACAAAAAGGCUAUUGGGUGGACAAUUGCAGAUAUUAAAGGGAUAAGUCCGUCCACGUGCAUGCAUAGAAUACUGCUGGAGGAAGAUGCCAAACCUUCAAUUCAAGCUCAACGCUGUUUGAAUCCACUCAUGAUGGAAGUAGUGAAGAAAGAAAUUCUAAAACUUCUUGAUGCAGGUAUAAUCUAUCCAAUUUCGAAUAGCAAAUGGGUAAGUCCGGUACAAGUGGUACCAAAGAAAACUGGUAUAACAAUUGUUGAGAAUUCUUAUGGUGAGUUAGUUCCUACCCGAGUUCAGAAUGGGUGGAGGGUUUGUAUUGAUUUUAGAAAGCUUAAUUCACUCACUAGGAAGGAUCAUUUUCCUAUUCCUUUUAUUGAUCAGAUGCUUGAAAGGUUGGCAGGAAAAUCUCACUUUUGUUGUCUUGAUGGCUAUUCAGGUUUUCAUCAGAUACCAGUUGCGCCUGAGGAUCAGGAGAAGACUACCUUCACAUGUCCUUUUGGAACCUUUGCAUACCGACGUAUGCCAUUUGGUCUUUGUAACGCUCCCGCCACUUUUCAGAGGUGCAUGGUUAGUAUUUUUUCAGACUAUGUAGAAAACACUAUAGAGGUAUUUAUGGACGAUUUUACAGUCUAUGCUGAUUCUUUCGAUGAUUGUCUCUAUAAUCUGAAGAAAGUGCUUGAAAGAUGCAUUGAAACAAACCUUGUCUUGAAUUAUGAAAAAUGUCAUUUUAUGGUAGAUCAAGGCAUUAUUUUGGGUCAUGUAGUCUCUGCUAGAGGAAUUGAGGUAGAUAAAGCUAAAAUAGAUGUUAUUAAAUCUUUACCUUAUCUCACAUGUGUGCGGAAAGUUCGUUCUUUCCUUGGUCAUGCAGGUUUCUAUAGACGAUUUAUCAAGGAUUUUUCGAAGAUAGCUCAGCCUUUAUGCAAGCUUCUUCAGAAAGAUGUGACGUUUGAUUUUAAUAAAGCAUGCAAGGUAGCAUUUGAUAAACUUAAGGAGUUGUUGACUUCAGCUCCAAUUAUACAGCCACCAGACUGGAGCCUCCCUUUUGAGAUAAUGUGCGACGCCAGUAAUUAUGCUGUUGGUGCUGUUCUCGGACAAAGGGUUGGAAGAGCUGCUCAUGUGAUAUAUUACGCAUCAAGAACACUUGAUAGUGCUCGGUGCAAUUACUCAACAACAGAAAAAGAACUUUUAGCUAUUGUUUUUGCUUUAGAAAAAUUCCGUUCAUAUUUAUUGGGUACUAAAGUGAUUGUUUUUUCUGACCAUGCAGCUCUCAGAUAUUUGCUCGCCAAGAAGGAAGCAAAACCGAGACUUAUUCGCUGGAUCCUAUUGCUUCAAGAAUUCAACUUGGAGAUCCGUGACAAGAAAGGAACAGAAAACUUAGUUGCAGACCACCUUAGUAGAUUGACCACGAGUGAAGAAGCAGCACCUUCGAAAGAUGAUUUUCCAGAUGAGCAUCUCUUUAUAACUCAAGGUAUGGUUCCUUGGUACGCUGACAUUGUCAAUUACUUAGUUACAAGAAUACUACCUAGUGAUCUGACGAGGGCUCAAAAGGAUAAAAUUAAGAGCGAUGCUAAAUACUAUGUUUGGGAUGACCCUUACUUGUGGAAACAUUGCUCUGACCAAGUCAUCAGAAGGUGCGUAUCUGAGUUUGAAAUUCCUUCUAUUCUUCAAUUUUGUCACUCAUAUGCAUGUGGUGGUCAUUUUGGUCCCAAAAGGACAGCAUCCAAGGUGUUAGAAUGUGGUUUAUUUUGGCCUACUUUAUUUCGUGAUUCAUAUAUGUUUUGUAAGUCGUGUGAGAGUUGUCAAAAGACUGGUAAUUUAAGUCAUAGAAAUCAAAUGCCACUUACCCCUAUUCUUGUAUAUGAAAUAUUCGAUGUGUGGGGCAUUGAUUUUAUGGGACCUUUUCCCUCAUCUUUUGGCAAUUCUUACAUUCUUUUAGCAGUGGAUUACGUUUCUAAGUGGGUAGAGGCUAAGGCCACCCGGACUGACAAUGCUAAAGUUGUUGUAGAUUUUGUCAAGUCUAAUAUUUUUGCUAGGUUUGGUGUACCGAGAGCGAUGAUAAGUGAUAGAGGCACUCAUUUCUGUAAUCGAGUGGUGGAAGCUCUGUUCAAAAGAUAUCAUGUUACCCACCGAGUGUCUACCGCCUAUCAUCCACAGACAAGUGGACAAGCUGAGAUAUCAAACAGAGAAAUCAAGUCUAUUCUUGAAAAGACAGUUAGUCCAAAUCGAAAGGAUUGGAGUUUGCGAUUAGAUGAUGCAUUAUGGGCGUAUCGCACCGCUUACAAAACUCCCAUAGGUAUGUCUCCUUAUCGUUUAGUAUUUGGUAAGCCUUGUCAUUUACCUGUAGAACUUGAGCACAGAGCAUACUGGGCAGUUAAGCAAUGCAAUAUGCGGAUGGAUGAAGCGGGAAAGCAGAGGAAGUUGCAGCUGCAAGAGUUGGAGGAGAUUAGAAAUGAAUCCUACGAGAGUUCGCGAUUUUACAAGGAAAAGACGAAGACAUUUCAUGACAGAAUGAUUUUGAGAAAGGAGUUCUCUGUUGGUCAAAAAGUUCUUCUCUUUCACUCUAAACUUAAACUUUUUCCUGGUAAAUUACGUUCUCGUUGGGUAGGACCUUUUAUUGUUACUAAUAUUUUUCCUCAUGGUGCAAUUGAGAUUCGGAGUCCAAUCUCGAAUAAAGCCUUUAAGGUUAAUGGUCAUCGUUUAAAACCUUUUUACGAAGGUUUUUCGGUGAAUAUUGUGGAGGAAUUGGCUCUCGAGAAUCCUAUUUAUGGAGAUUGAUACAUAAAUGUGUCUAGCCAAAGACAUAAAACAAAGGCGCUUUUUGGGAGGCAACCCAAAUGAUUUGUUUAUUUUGGUUUUUGUUUUAUCUUCUUUAAAAAAAAAAAAAAAAAAAACCAAAAAUCGAAAAUCACUGUUUACAAAUCCCUAAUUCAAAAAUUACUGUUGAUUAUCGUUUUACAGCAGCAUCAGCUCCAGCCUUCACCGCGCAACCAGCAGCAGCAGACGAGUACGCCCAGAACCAGCAGCAAGCUCCAACAUCCCCAGCCCGCGCGCGCAGCGCGAAUCAGCCCCAACCGCCGCGCACAGCAUCGCGUACCCCAACCAGCAGUAGCGCGAAUCAGCCUCAGCGCAGCAUAUCAGUCCCGCGCGCGUAGCGCAACAGAUCCGCAACGCAGACCCGCAACGCGAACUGGCUCUCGCGCGCAACAGCCCCGCGCGCGCAACACAACAACGAACCAGCACCCGCAAAGCAAGCCUCAGCAGCGCGCACAACCAGCCCCAACUCGCGCAACAAGCUCCAGCCGAGCAGCAAGCGCAACACAACCAGCCUACGCCCUGUAUUCCAGCCGGGUAAAUCGAAAUCCGUGAGUGCAAUUAUUGUAACAAUGCCGAAGAGGAAAGCAUCUACUUCCAAGUCGUCGAAAAAGACACCCGUCGCAAAGAAAUCUAAGAUUGCCGCUCCCACUACGGUUCCAUGGAACAUAAUUUCAGAUUCACGCCAAGCCGUGAGACAAAGAUCGAAGCAUGGAAAAGGCAUGAGUGUUUUGCCACUUGCGGAAUCCAAUCUCGGAGGGUGCCUCGCAUUCGCGACUCAACAAGAGAAAGAGAGGUACAAAGAUAUUUCCACGCGCAAAAUACUUCCAGCUAAGUAUAUUCAUUACCCGACUCUUGAAAAAUUAAAUGUUAAAGAUAAUUUUGAUUCUUUGAUAGAUAAGAUUGGGUUGCGUAAGUUUGUUGAUGUUGAUUGCUUGGGUUAUGUUGAGUUGAUUAGGGAGUUUUAUGCUACUUUUCAAUUCACUAUGCCGAAUGAUUUUACUUUGCAUACCCCGGAUGUCAUUAAGUUUAGGUUAAUGGGACGAAAUUUUUCACACUCUAUCACGGAUUUUAACCUAGCUUUAGGAUUCAUUGAUGAUGAUUAUUCUACUAGUGAUGAAUAUUUAGGAACAACUUGUGACUUUAGCGAAAAUUUUGAGCCUUAUGGUCUUUGGCGUAAUUUAUCUGUUGAUCACAAUGCCUAUGACCCGAGUAAAUCAAAGAGUUCUUUCUUACGUGAUCCUGUUUUGAAAUGUGUGCAUCGAUUCUUAGCAUAUAAUUUUUUAGGCAAGAAAGAUCACUCAGGAAUUUUCUCUAAAACUGAAUUUUAUUUUAUCUGGUGCAUGUUAAAUGAUGUGAGGCCUAAUUUAGGUUUUUGGUUAGCGGAUCAAUUUCAAAGUGUGCUUAAACGGUAUAGGACUUUAUUUCUUGGUCCAUACAUUACUCUGUUAGCUAUAAACCUAUGUGUGCUUGAUCCUGACAAUAAUGAUUUGCAUCCUGCUUGCAAAAAGGAAUUUUUGGAUAUGUCUGUGUUUGAAAGAACAGGUGUGGUCGAAUUCAAGGAGGGGAGAUUUCAGUUUACUGAACCAGGACCCACUCAACUUCCGAAGAAGCUUUAUGCUAGGAGUGGUGCUACCUCUGAUGACGAGUUUGACGACGACACUGUUGCCCCGCCAACUAUUCCUUCUACAUCCGCACCACCUUUGAGCAUUCAGUUAGAGAAAAUGGAGCACAAGUUGAACAAAAUGGAGCAGAAUUUGGCCGCAUACUUCGAGAGUGUGGGAUUUACCCCACCAUUUCCGCCAAGCCCAUAGACGUUAUGUGGAUCAAAGCUCACAAUUCAGGGAAGUUUCUUUUUGCCCUUAAACUUUUAUCCUUAUGCUUUAAUUUUUAUGUGAGCUUUGAUUAUCUUACAUUGGGGACAAUGUAAGUUCUUGGUGUGGGGGAGGGAUUUUUGCAUUAUUGAUGUCUGGAAUUAUUGUUUUCACUCUACUUAUCUUUUUUUUUUUCUUCACUCUACUCAUCCUUAAAUGAUUUUGGAGUUAGUAUGCUUUAUAUAUUAUUAUUUUUUCUUUUCUUUUAUUUCUCACUACUUUUUUUUUCCCAUCUAUCUCAAAUUAUUUACAUCUAUUUUUAUUCUAUCAUACUCUUUCAUCACUCACAUUUUAUCUUUCACUUUUCAUCUUUCUCACUUCUUAUCAUUUUUACCUUUCCUUUUAUAUAUCACUCAUACCUUCUUCUCAUUCUACACCACUAUUGAUGGUUGAUUCAUUUGAAGAGUGUACAUGAUUUGAUGGCAAAUUUACCAACUUUGUGAGGAUUUGAGCCUAUGAGCAACCACUUUGCUCUAAUUAUUUUUGUUAUGUGAAUAUCAAUCCUAGUUUGUUUAUUCUAGAACUUGCUUUGUUAUGCAUGUUGAAGCCACAUUACGGGAUUUUAGGCAUUAAAAUGAUAAGGGCAAACCAUUUACCAUUUUUCUAUUCUCGCAUUUUCAUUUUUCUUUACCCGAAGACCUUAAUUUGCUACCUUUGUUUGAGCCUUAACCAUUACCCAUCUAAUUCUCUCCGUCUACUUAACCAUUUUUCUUCUUUUUGAGCCUCAAUUUAAGGAGAUUUUUGGACUCAUUAUAUGGAUAUAUUUUGUUGCUUUUUCUACCUUGUAUUAAAGUUUCUCAAUUAGAUCAACAAGCAUUAUGCUUGAAUUCAAUUGUGCAAGGUUCGUUUCUUUUGUUUGAUUCGAAAAAAAAAAAAAACAAAAAAAAAAAUGAAAAAAAAAAAGAAAAAAAAAGAAAAAAAAAAGAAAAAAAAAAGAAAAAGAAAAAUCGAAAAAAAAAAUCGAAAAAAAAAAAUGUUUACAUUCUUGGUGACUUGAGUAGAAAUAAGCAUUUUGAUAUCAUAAGUUCAUUCAAUGAGUUCAUUCUUCUCAUUUUGAUCUCUUUUUCUUUCGUAAACCUUUCUUUUUCAUUUAACCCAUUUAACCCCAUUACAACCCUUUUAAGACCCUUAGAUUUUUGCAUUUUAUUCAUGUUUUGUGGAUUGAGAUGUGAUUUAUGAGCAAGCUUAUGAUAAUAGCAUUCUUUGAUUUGAUUUGAGUGGAUAAAUGACACCCUAAACACUUUGAGUGCAUGGAGUGAAGUUAUUGAGAGGGCUAUUACAUCUUGUUGCACUUGAAUUUUGAAUGGAUAUUCUUGGUGGUUGAAUGUUCUUAUUCUAUCUUAUGAGAUUCUAUGCUUUAAAAUCCUUGUCUCUUGAAUGUUGAUCGACUUAAUUUCUUGAGGUAUGCUUGCUUAAAAUUAUUUUUGGAUGAGUUGAGAUGAGAAUUGAGUGGAGAUUUAGGAUUAAUCUUGAGUUAUAUGCUUGAGGACAAGCAUCAUCUUGGUGUGGGGGAAUUUGUUAGAGUGCAAUUUAUGCACUAGUUUUGCAUUAUUUACUUCCCUUAAUAUCGAUGUUUUGCAUUUAAUAAUAAUGUUUUACUUGUGUUUUACUUUUGUAGGUGCAAUUAUAUUGAUUGAUGAUAAAAUUGAGCUAAAAGAUGAUGUUUAAGAAGGAUUGUUCUCUUGGAGAAAUUUCUGAGUGUCAGAAGAACUUUGUUGAUAAGGCGUGGGCGCGUGCUGUCAACUGCGGACCUGCAGUUUUUAGUUUAACGUGUUUUGUAUUUUUGGUUAUUUUUGUAAUUACGAAUUUAAUAUUUCAGAUAUUAGUAUUUUAUUUUAAAUAGAAUUCUAAAAGAGAAGAGAGAGAGAGUAUUUAAGGGAGGAAUCUAUUGUGAAAAAGGGGGGAUUUUUGGAUUGGAGAAAAAGAAACCCUAGAUCUAAUUUUUCUCUUCUCUCUAUGAGGAACUAAACCCAUUUUUCUGGUUGAAGGAUAAUGAAGCUUUGAUUCAUCACUACUGUGAGAUCUUUCUUGUGCUUUAAUUGUUUUAUUGCUUUUUGGGUAUUUGUUUAUUCUCUGAAUUAGUUUCAUGAUUAUGUUUGUUAAUUAGGUAAUUGGCCACUAUUUAAUUAUCAACUUAAUCUAUUGUCAAUUAAAGGAUUCAUCGUAUGAAGAAUUUAAUGUUUGUGACAAAUAACAUAGCAGAGAGCUGUGUUGUGAGAAUAAACAAUCUAAUUUAAAUGAAUCAUCUUAUGUGUUGAUUAGGAUUUGGGUCUCUCUGGUUUCUCAGGCUGUCUAUUGAUUAAAUCCUAUGAUCGUAUCUAGGGUUGUCUAUUGAUUAGGGAAGUAACCAACGGUCGUACCUUGGUUAUCGACUAGUUAAGGAGAGAUUGGCUAUUAGAGGGUCUCAGUAGCUAUAACCGAUCUAUUCAUAAGUAAUAAUAAUAAUCUAUAUUUGAAUCAAUGAUCAGUAGUCGAAUCAAGCUGAGUUAAUUCCUUCAACCAGAGCUUUCUCCAAUUUGAAUUACAACUUUAAUUUGCAUUCUUGUUUAUUUCAAUUUGAUUUUUAUUAUUGUCAACAAUUCCCCCAUUUUACGUUUUACGUUUCAAAAGGAUUUAAAUAAUUACCGAUCUCUGUGGACACGACCCUGCUCAAUCACUAUACACAAUUUAUUUAGAGUAGGAAUUUAUUUUUGUUGGCUUCGACACCCAUCACGCAUCCACCCACGAUUACAGAAAUGGAGCAUCCACGUCCGAGAGGUGGGAGGAUAACGAGCGCAAAUGAGGGGAAGGUCUGGAGUCAGGAGGACCUAUAAAAAGGUAGCCAACGAAGGUAAAAGGGUUAGACUUUUCACUGUUAGAACUAAGAAAAGAGAGCUCUAAGAACUGAGAUUAAAAAGAAGCCAUAAGAUUCGUGGCAUAGAUUCCCAAAACCUUCAUUUCUGACUUGAGUGUCGGAGGGUUUGCGCCGGGGAACCAACCGGCGUACUCUGACCUGUCUGUGUACGCAGGAACUUCUGGAGAAGAAGCUUUACGAGGAGAGAUCCUGAUCGUGGUGACGUUGAUCGAGCAGAGCUCCUGGUCGUAUAACGAGGAGGACCAGAAUCUCGCAUCAACAUGUACAUUAGUGUUUUUUUUUUUUUUUGGGGGGGGGGUGGAAUUUUUUUAUUGGCACAGGAAGAAAGCUCUUCGGCACUACUCGGAAGAAGAAUAUGAGCAACACAUGGUCCAAUUCGCAUUGUAUGGAAGUAAAACCGAAGCAUUAGACCAAAAGCAAACCUUAUUCAUAUUUUUAGUUACUGAUAACAAUUUCUUUCCCCUCUUAUUAUCAUCUUAAUUAAGAAAUAUAGUAAUUCGUUAACUUUUUGGGAAAUUAAAAAGGAUGGCAAUAUACAAUAUUCUUGUGUUGAUGACCUUAAAAGCUAGUUCCCUUGAAACAGGAAAACUGGUAUCGUUUUUCAAAGCACAUAAAUGAUAUAUCCCAGCUUUCAAUGUGAUCGAAAGAUUUCAUAGCCACACUCAAAAUUAAUAAAUGAUCCCUAAGAAUUACGAAAAUGAUAUCAAUGAAAUUACAAACUCUUCAAGAGUUUAUAGAACAUUAAUUGAUCCAAAGCCAAUACAAACUGCUUACUAGUACAGCAUCAAGAGAGCCAUUUAUUUUUUCAGUAGGCAAAUUAAACAACUGCAGCAGUCACUAGCGAGCUAGUAUAGACCAAUUGUUCAUCUACCAACUAAUUGUGAAAUUGUUACAUCAUUGCUUGAACAUAUUUCUGAUCCAAUCGUGGCUUUAUUUUGUUCGUCUUCAUAAUCUUUGUUUGAGAAAUCGGAGUCCAUUCGAUGAGUCUAUCAGCAUUCUUUAACUAAUUAUUAGAUUAAAUGUAUAAAUUUAAAACUAGUAAAAGUUUAGAAUAUGAAAGAACCUUGAUUCAUUCAAGAAAUAAUUAAAAUUUUAAUCCUUUUCAAACUGAUUAAUAUUAACCUUAUCAUUAUAAGAAAACACGAUUUAAAAGAAAAAAAAAAUCUCACAAAGUUGGUGUGUGGAAUAGUCAAUACGUUGUGUCCUUGAUUUUUUACAAACUCUUAAGAGUCUAUAGAUGUAGUUAGUGAUAUUACAUUACAUUAAUUGAUCCAAAUCCAAUACAAACUGCUUACCAGUACAGCCUCAAGAGAGUCAUUUAUUAUUCAAUUGGCAAAUUAAACAACUACAGUAGUCACUAGCAGCUUGCCAAGAGCUAUAGCGUAGAUCAAUUGUUAUCUACCAACCAAUUGUGAAAUUGUUACAUCAUUACUUGAACAAAUUUCCAAUCCAAUCGUGGCUUUCCUUUGUUCAUCUUCGUAAGCUUGCUUUGAGAAAGUUUCAGGCUUCUUUGGAGUCAUUAUAUCAGCCGUGCUCUCAUUUUCGAGCAUCGAAGAAACUUCCAGCAUAGAAGGUCUAUCGUCUGGGUUCUCCUGAACACACAACAGAGCUAUUUGCAGACAUGUUAGCAAUUUCCACGAGGAAUGCGUAUCAUCUAGUGAUGUAUCCAUUAACCCCAUGCCUUUCCCAUCUUUCCACAGCUCAUAAGCCUGUAAAUAUCGAAUAUGUUAUUGAGUUACAUUCAAUUAAUUAGCACUAUAAAGUUUUGAUCCAGUGUGCAUUAUAAAGGGGGUUAUGAAGAAACUUACAUACUGUACAAGGCUUAAAUUUUCAUUCUGGCCAGAUUGAACGAACAAUCUUCUUCCACUUAUAAUUUGCAAAAGUAAAACCCCAAAACUGUAGACAUCAGAUUUGGUGGAGUAGAUGCCUCUCGUCACAUACUCAGGAGGGAUAUAGCCACUGUUGUACCAAGUACUUACAAAUAUCAGUUAAAUUGUUUGACCUAAAAGGUUAAGCUGAUUGGUAAAGGCUCAACAAUAGUAUUAAAGACAAGUCGAAAAAUAGACGUAUAUACACUUACUGUGUUCCAACAAUUCGACUGGUGUUUGCUUCAAGGUCGUCUUUCACAAAAAUUCUAGCUAAGCCAAAAUCUGAUAUUUUAGGCUUCAUAUCUUCAUCCAAUAAAACGUUACUAGCUUUCAAAUCUUGAUGAAUAAUUGUUAAUCUAGAAUAUUCUUGAAGAUAGAGAAGCCCUUGAGUUAUUCCUUAAAUGAUAUGAAUGCGUUUUUUCCAAUCCAAAAUAAACCUUCGGAUGGAAUCUACAUCAAAUAUAAGUAUAGUUGGACGGUCGGUAGCAUUAGCAUUUGGAGAUGAGAAAGCAAAUGGAGGCACAUAAAUUAAAAAUUAAGCAGUUAAGCUCAUACCAAAAAGGAAAUAGUCCGAGCUUCGUUUUGGCAUGUACUCAUAGAUCAGCAUUUGUUCUUCUCUGUCAAUGCAAAAACCUAAAACCCUAAUAAGAUUUACAUGUUGGAGUUUUGCAGUAAGCAUAACCUCAUUCUUGAACUCCUCAAAUCCUUGUUUGGAUGUCUUUGAGAGUUUCUUCACAGCUAUUACCUGUCCAUCAGGUAAUACACCCUGCAAACAACCCCAAAACAUUAAAAAGAAAAAAAAACGCAAUGUUCAUAUACAUGUGUGUGUGUGUAUUUCGCUAAUUAAUUAAUAAGAUGAGAGAUAGCCAAGCUAUCGAUAUAUAACCUUGUAAACAGGGCCAUAUCCACCCUCCCCGAGCUUAUUUUCAAUUGAAAAUCUAUCCGUGGCCACCUCAAUAUCAGCCAAGCUAUAUUCUCUAAGAUCAGGAUCAUUGCUGUUAAAAUCUCCAGCAUGUGCUUGACUGUUUGCUCCGUCCUUUGAUGACUUGGCUGAGUCAAUUACUAUCCCAAUUAAUAUCAACCAAGGAAAAAAAAAAAAAAAAGCUAAUUUAAGUAAAUUGCCCACUUCUUCAACUGCGCUAAAUAGAAUAGAAGUAAAAAUAAUCCUAAACCAGUGUAGAAGAAGUUACCUUUUAAUUUGGGGUUUUUCAUCCAGCAGUAGUAAUAUAGACAAAAACCUAGUAGAAGAAUACAAGCUGCAGUUGUAGGCAAAACAAUUACCCAUAAUGGUCGCUUAUUUUGACCAUUCUUGUCAUCCUCUUCAGCUGAAAAGUCAAAUCACUUUGCGUUGGUUAGCCAUUGAUGCUGAAAUAAAGAUCUUAAUUCAAGUCAUUAUCCAGAAAAGUGAUCAACGGAUUGCAGUGAGUGCGGAAUUCCAUUUGCUUACCUGCAGCUUGAGAAAGCAUCCAAUCAUGAUCAUAGGAAACUAGCCACACAUGGUAACCGCGUAGCUUCUUCUCCUUGGCAUAAGCAACCUUCACUCUAAUGGCCUCCACAUCAUCAAAACCAAACCAAAUCUUCCCAAUCGAGCAGUAGUUCACCACAUAAGUUGAAUUGUACAUAACUUGGACAUUAGGACCAUAGCUCUUGAUGCGAUUCUUGAUUUCCUUGUAAGUCACAAGACCAUUUUCACUCAAAGCUGCUCCCGUUGCUGCUGCACCAAUACCAUUGUCCUCAGGUUUCACAAGCUUCCAUGCAUAGCCAUAGAAAGGCAAACAUAAAACCAAUUUAUCAGCCGAUAACCCUUCCUCAAUCCAUUCCGUGAUUCCGUAUUCAGUACUAUAGUCACUAUUUGGAUCAUACAGAGCCGCAUGAGCACCAGUAAAAUUUGUCCACGUAGGGGCUGAGUAAUCAGUAGUGAAAACAUGGACCCAAUUCAAGUACUGUCUUAUAAAGUCGACUGGAUAAGUUGCUUCUGUUAAGAAUGGUGAAUAUGAAACCGUUGCCGUCAAAAUCAACUGUGAUUGGCUCGAGUUAUUUCUUGCUUCUAAAUCUACGGCAGCUCGCCACUCUUUAAAGAGAAUGGCAAUAUUGUAAUUAUCCCAGCUUGUGUUUGCCUUAGACCAAGACAGAUCUAAGCCUUGAAAGCCAUAAAGCCUUGCUAUGUUUAUUGAGGAGUCAAUGAAGGAUUUCCUGGAAGAAGGAUUGCUUGCCAUGGAAGAAUAAGUUGAAUAGCUUACAUCAUUUCCUCCUCCGAUGGAGAGAAGUGUAGUGAUUGAUGGGUUCUUUAUUUUGACUGUGUGCGUGAAGUUGGAGAAUUGUUUUUCAUCCGAAGGUGAUAAAGAGAGCUCGUAGGAAGUUGAGUUGACAUCAGCAAAACCACACAUAAGGUGAGUGAAGAGAGCAGAAUUUACAUCUGAAACAGGGAACCCAUCGCCUGAAUCCCAGUAACCAGCUCUGAUUAAAGUUUGUGCUCUUGCAGGAAGCGAUUCUGAAAAUAUAAAAAUGUGGAGGACAAGAAUGAUAAUUUUGGAUGCCAUUGUGGGAACCUGGCUGCUUGAGGCAUACCUAGUAUGUGAUUAUAUAUUUGUACACACACAAAAUGUAAUGGAGAAAUUAUCCUAUACCGAUUGAGAUUAGUUAUUGCACUAAUAAUGCAAACUUGAGUCAACUUUCAACUUAUGAGCUUAGUCCAUAAGUUUUUAUAAUACGAUAUCAAAAUCAAGUUAUGAAUGAGGGACCCUAUAAUACCUUCCAACCUAACUUAAUAAUUAAUCUUAGCCAAUGUGACAUACUUGUUCUAUCGCUUUAUCACGACCAAGUCGAUCUUUUAGCUUUGUCUUUUUUUCAUGAUAAUAAGUGAUAAGAUUGAAGUUCUUAAAUUAAGCUAUGACUUUUUACCUCCGCUUAGCUUGACUUCUGAAGUUGGAGACUCGUUCUUUUGUAUUGACUUUGUUGGUAUUUAAAUGAACUCGGAGUCCUCGACGAGUUUCUGAAGCGAAGUCAUUAUUCCUCUAUGACUCCAUCCAUGCAAUUGGAAGGCAAAAUCUUGUGAAAAUAUUUUCUAAGUUGAUUCAGUCCAUGAUCAACGUGCACAAAACGCAAAAUCUUGCGAAAAUCAAACCCGUCCUCACUCAUGAGCUCGAUUUCUAGCUUAAACUCCUCCUCACUCAUGACCUCACUUUAAUUACAGCUUGUCAUUGAAUUGAGUGUUGCCUUAAUUAAGCCAUCAACUUAAUAAAGUGAUGGUCAUUAAGAAAUACACUUAGUUACUUCCUGAUGGUAAGAUUCAAUAAUAUUGUAAUUUAAAAAAAAGAAGAAAAGAUCCAUAUACCUUUUCCUUGUGUAAUUUAAUUUUCAGUCCAGUCCACCCUCCCAUUUUAUCAUAAAAGUCUAUACAAACAUACGUUUUACUCAAUGUUUACUUAGAAACAAAUGGUGGGCGUACGAGUGCCGAUCUAGUACCACUCUCGUAUACUUGGUGGGAUUCGGCUUCACCAAAUUUGUAGCAUAUAUUUUACUUUAAUGAGAAAAUCAAAUAAUUAUUGAACAAAUAAUUUUUUUUUCAAUAUACUUUCUUAAAAUGUAUGGAGUUGGUAAAGUGCAAAUUCAUUUUUUAGCCCUUUGACUCCUCCAAAAUCCAAACUCAAAUUAAUGGUCAGUUAAAUAAUGUUACUUGAAAAUCAUUUCCUAUCUAGAAUUUGUUUAAUUCUAUUAAUUUACAAUCGUUUUUCAUUUUACUUAAUUAAUUAAAGUGAAUUUAUUAUGUAUACAUCUACAUACGUAAAAUCUUAAAAUUCAGUGUUGAAUUGAAUUGUACUAAAUUUUUUAUAAUUUUUUGUGAGACCUGCGUUUUUAACAGUUUAAUAUUAAUAUUGAUAGCACAUAAUAUACCGGAUUAAGAGAGAUUGAUUUCGACUGCUACAAGAUUUUUAGGAUUGCAUGCACAAGGGUUUAAAAACAAAGUAUACACUUAAUUACACUAAACGAGGGUGCAUUUUUAUGAUGAAAUAAAAACUAUGUACAGGUUGUAAAAGUGGCUCCAUAAUUAGUGUACAUUAACAAUCAUCUAGCUACCACUUCCGAAAAUGAUAAAUCACAAGCCGAACAUUUUUCCAAUUGUGUUGUAGAUAAUAGUUCAAUCCCAAUUUCAUCAACUUGUUUUGAGAAAGCAGGCUUCUUGGGAGUAUUUAUAUUUGUGGUUUCAUUCUUGAGCAUUGAGGAAACUUCCAGCAUUGAAGGUCUAUCGUUUGGAUUCUCCUGGACACACAACAAAGCUAUUUCCAGACAUCUCAUUAAUUUACAAGGGGAAUUUGUAUUGUCUAGGAAUGAAUCCACAAACUCCACGCCUUUGCCACCUUUCCACAACUGAUAUGCCUGAAAUUAUCAAGUACCAUCUCGUUACAUAAUUUAUACUUCUUAAUUAAGUGCGCAUAUGUGUACUCAGGGUUACUAUAGCCGAAGAAACUUACGUGCUCUAGAAUGCUUAAAUUUUCAUUGAUGCCACAUAACACUGAAAGCCUCUUUCCACUUAUGAUUUGUAGAAGUAAAACUCCGAAACUAAAAACGUCUGAUUUGGUAGAGUAUACACCUUGUCUGGCGUACUCAGGAGGAAUAUAGCCUCUGCAUUCAAAAUAACCAAGUAUAUAUGAGUAAGGGAUUUUGCAAUUUAAUAAAUUUGUAAAACCCAUUUUAAAUUGUGGUAAAAGUCCAUUCUGCAUUUUAUUAAAGUGCUGAAUUCCUUAUUCGAAACCCAAUAUAUGUAUAACAAACAGAAGCUUGAGUAAAGGAUAUCAUUUAGAUGUAAUAUACUUACAUUGUUCCCACAAUUUGUUCUGUAUUCGCUUCGAGACUCUCUUUUGCAAAAAUCCUAGCCAUACCAAAAUCUGAAAUUUUAGGUUUCAUACCUUCACCUAACAAAACAUUACUGGCUUUCAAGUCUCGAUGAAUAAUAGUCAGUCUUGAGUAUUCUUAGAGGUAUAAAAGCCCUUGAGUUAUCCCUUCAAUGAUAUGAACACGUUUUUUCCAAUCCAAAAGAAGUCUUUUGAUGGGAUCUACAACAAAUAUAUAGUUUUGGACAAUAAGUGAUAUACAAAUGAAUUAUAUACACAUUUGAUAUUAACUUGAUUUCAGAACAAACCAAAAAGGUAGCAAUCCAAGCUUUUGUUUGGCAUGUAUUCGUAGACCAGCAUCCGUUCCUCACUCUCAAUGCAAAAACCUAAAACUCUAAUAAGAUUUACAUGUUGGAGUUUUGCAGUAAGCAUAACCUCAUUCUUAAACUCCUCAAAUCCCUGUGCGGAUGAUUUCGAAAGUUUCUUCACUGCUAUCACCUCUCCACAGGGUGAUACACCCUGCAACCCAAAAAAAAAAACCACGUUCAUAUAAAGCUUUCACUAGUUAGAGAAGCUGAGAAAUGUUAGCCAAACAAUAUGCUACCCCCCAAAGUUGAGGGCACCAUUUUAAGUUCUUUAAGUCCCCAUGGACGCAAAAUGUAAAUCUCCUCUCACAGAAUAUGGAUAUGGGUAGAGGUAUCUUCCUAAAAUGUUAGUCGAAGUAGUUAUAUCCCUCUAGUGUGAGGUUAGAGGUCUCAUCUCUAAUAGGCAUAGAUUUUUAAAUUAUAUGUUUUGGGCCUCUGAAUUCUACGACGAGUGUACAAAUUCAAACUUCCGAUAGGAUCCAAAUUGAAACAUUGUGGAUUGUAACAAAUUAAAAUAUAGGUACACACACACACACACACACACAUGUUACCUUGUAAACAGGACCAUAUCCACCCUCCCCAAGCUUAUUUCUAAUUGAAAAUCCCUCGGUGGCCGCCUCAAUAUCAGCCAAACUAUAUACUCUGAGAUUAGGAACAUUUCUGUUAAAGUCUCCAGCUUCUGUUUCAUUAUUUGCUGUCGUGUUUGAUGCUUUAGCAGAAUCCUCUGUUCCUAACAUCAACCAAGAGUACAUAUUAGAUAAAUAAUUGUAUGUCAGCCUCAGAUUUAUGUGUAUAUAUAUGAAUGAAAUUCAUGCUUAAUUAUAAUUGAUAGCUGAAACUUGUUACCUUCUAUUAAAUUGAGCCUUUUCAUCUGGUUGUAUUUAUAUGCACAACAGCCUAGAAGGAGAGUCAAAGCUGCCGCUGCAGUAGAAAUGAGUGCAAUGGACAGAUGGCGGUUAUUACUAUGUUCAUCUUUGUCAGCUGAAGCAGAAGUAAUCCUUUCUUUUUGUGCUGGAAAUAUGUAUAGUUCACCAAUUAAUAAUUACUAGCUAGAGAUGCCAUAACAAUCAUUAUUAAUCAGAGAGAACAAUUAUUGCAUAGAUAAAUACCUGCAGCCUGAGAAAGCACCCAAUUAUGAUCAUCAUAAUCAACUCGCCACACAAAGUAACCACGUAACUUCUUCUCCUUAGCAUAUGCAACCUUCAUUCUAACGGCCUCGACAUCAUCAAAACCAAACCAAAUCUUCUCAAUCGAGCAGUAAUUGACCUCAUAAGUUGAAUUGUACAUAACUUGGACAUCAGGGCCAUAGGUCUUGAUGUGAUUCUUGAUUUCCUUAUAAGUCACAAGGCCGCUAUCAUGCAAAGCUGGUCCUGCUGCUGCUGCAACAAUACCAUUGUCUUCAGGUUUCACAAGCGUCCAUGCAUAGCCAUAGAAAGGCAAACACAUAACCAACUUAUCUGCCGAUAAUCCUCUGUCAAUCCAUGCCUUUAAAACCUGAUCGGUACUUCUAACAAAGCCGCCGCUACUUGAGCCAUAGAGAGCCGCAGGUGGCGCCGUGAAGUUUGUUGACACAGGCUCGUAGUAGCUAGCAGUAACCGCAUGAACCCAAUUCAAGUUUCGUUCUAUCGAAUUCAAAAGAUAUGAAUUCGCUGGUGGUGAAUAAUGAAAUCUUGCGGUCAAGAUCAGCUGGGAUUGCUGGCGACUAGAGUUUUUUGCCUCUAAUUUUGUAGCAGCAAUUCGCCACUCGUCAAAAAGUAAACCAAUAUUGAACAAAUCGGUGCUUGUGUUUGGAGCUGUCCAAGCAAAGUCUAGGCCCUGAAAGCCAUAAAGCCUAGCUAUUCUUAUUGAAGAGUCGAUGAAAGAUUUUCUGUGAGAAGAAUUGCUCACCAUUGAAGAAUAAAUAGAAUAGUUUGUAUCCAUUCCUUGUCCAAUGGAGAGAAGUAUAGUGAUUGAUGGGUUCUCUUUUUUCACAGUGUCUACGAAUUUGGCGAUUUGAUUUUCAUCGGAUGGUAAUGAUAAAGAUAGCUGGUAAGUGGUGGAAUUGAUAUCAGCGUAAGAGCAAAUAAGGUGAGUGAAGAGAUCAUAAUUUAUGCCCGAAAUGGUGGACACUUCGCUUGAAUCCAAGUAACCGACCCUGAUCCACGGUUUUGCUUUCGCGGGAUAAAAUUCUGAAUAGAAUAACAUGUGGAAGAUGAUGCUGAUAAUUAUGGAUGCCAUUUGAGACUUUGUUAGGAAUGGAAAUGGAUCCACACAAGAGAAAUUAAAUAAACACUAGUUUCACAGAUCAUUUAAGUACUUAUGUAAACUAUUAACUUAUAGGUUCAUUUCGUUCCAAAAAAAUCUUAUGUGCUUCUGAUAGGGAAACAUACAUUGCAUGUUAUGAUGAUGAUAGGCGAUGCGACCAUUGCCUGAGAACUAAGAUUUUCUUCCAUCGCUUGGGUGACCUUUCACGAAGAAAAAUGAUGUUUUGAUUUACAUUUGGUUAAACUGAUGACAAAUUUCGGGCCAUAAAUAUCACUAUUGUUUUAUUAAAUAAUAAAAAAAUUAAUUUUACAUGUACGUUGAAAGUUAAUAUUGCAAUCACCAACAAGUGCGUAGAUCAACUGACAAGGGGUUGUUCUAGCUUAACCAAGGUCCUUGGUUCGAGACUUGAGAAUGCAGCUACGUUAAAUACUUGUUGGGAGAGUUUUGUCAUCCUAAUGGCCUUACACGGCUCGAAUCUGAAUUAGAGUUUUGUCACCCUAAUGGUCCUACACGGCUCGAAUCUGAAUUAGUCGAGACCCACUGAUACCAAAUGGCUUCAUAUACCAAAGAAAAAGUUAAUAUUGCAGUCUUUUGAGACUGUGUUGACGUUUAUUCGGUUCGUUUAUUAUAUAUUCCCGUUUUUCUCCCUGUCUGUUUGCUACAGUGCUCUUACAAGGAUAGCAUCUUUAAUGCACCUCAGAAGUAGUUAAGAAAGUCUUGAUAAAAAACCAGACAUUUUCUAUCUACUCAAAACGUAGUUAUUGGACUAAUUAAGAUUCUAAUCCCUUUAAUAAAUAUUCAAAAAGGGUUACUGUCACUACUCAGUCCUUGUUGUUUUAUAAAAAAAAAAAAAAAAGAUAUUUAAAGAGGCAUCACAUAAAUCCUUCCUAAUUACAUUUUGUUUCAUUCAAGUUGUUGACUUAAUUUGACUGCCUGGAAAAAUUAGUAAAGAGGUAAAAAUAAAAAAAAAGGUAAAUUCUAGUUAUUAGACUAAAUAUAUAGUAUAAAUUUGCAGCAACUAGCAAAAAGUUUAGAAUAUGAAAAAUCCUAUUUCAUUUAAAAAACAAUGAAAAUUCUAAUCAUUUUAAAAAAAAAAAACUCUGAAAGUUUGAAAAACUAAGAUUUUAAGAUCCUUUUACAAUAACCAUAAUUAACACAAAUUUCCGAAUUAUUAUUACAUAAUAAAAUUUUACUAAUAGAAAUAAGAAAACAAAACAAAUAGCACUCAAAUCGGAUAUAUAAAAAAAAAUCUUGAAAUAAAUAGAAAAAAUAAGAAAAUAACUAAAACUUGCAAAACGACCAUGAAAGAAAUGAAAUUUCCGGCCGAACCAAGGGGCCAAUGUGCAUAGUAUUAUUGGACUAGAUUUAUCAGACCACAAGCUUCAAAACAAUAUAUUAUAUUUCCUAAAUGGACACAUGUAGGUUAAGUUACUCAAUUGUAUUAGGAGCUGUCCAAGCAAAAUCUAGGCCCUCAAAGCCAUAAAGCCUAGCUAUUCUUAUUGAAGAGUCGAUGAAAGAUUUUCUGUGAGAAGAAUUUCUCACCAUUGAAGAAUAUAUAGAACAGUUUGUAUAUCUUCCUUGUCCAAUUGAGAGAAGUGUAGUGAUUGAUGGGUUCUUUUGUUUCACAGCGUCUGUAAAUUUGGGGAAUAUUUGAUUUCCAUCAAAUGGUGAUGAUAAAGAUAGCUGGUAAGUGGUGGAAUUGAUAUCAGCGUAAGAGCAAAUAAGGUGAGUGAAGAGAUCAUAAUUUAUGCGCGAAAUGGCGGACACUUCGCUUGAAUCCAAGUAACCGACCCUGAUCCACGGUUUUGCUUUCGCGGGAUGAAAUUCUGAAUAGAACAACAUGUGGAAGAUGAUGCUGAUAAUUAUGGAUGCCAUUUGAGAGGCUUAAGCUUCUUAAUUACCACUUCGAUGGGAAUGGAAAUGAAUGCACACUGACACCAGACACAAUAGAUGAGAAAGUACAACGUCACACACUCAAGAAAUCACAAGCUCACCACCACAGCAAACAACAAAAGGAUACAGAAAAAUAUUCACCACCUAAAGUUGUUAAGCUACGGAUACAGAGCUUAAAACACUCACCACUCAAUGGAAUCCACCAAAGAGAUACAGAGUUUGAUAAUAGCUCAAAGUUCAUUCAAUUUCUAAAAUUAAUCUUCGUCCUUUUGUUACAACUACAUAAGCUUAAAUAAUUUUCUUGGAACAAUCCUCCAAGCAUAGAUUUACUACAAAGAAACCCUUCAAAUAACUUGACUUUAAAGACCAACAUUAAAGCUAGACAUUAAUAAAACAUUAGUAUGCUUAAAACACAACAAAGAACAUUAAAAAAAAUCUAAGUCCCGAAAUAUUCUUCUUGACUCAAAACUGAACAGUCUGCACUUAACUGAUCAUAACUUACUGUAGAAAACUCCAAAUUUAGAUUAGUAAAAUUCAUUGGAAAGCUAACAGAAAUAUCUUUCCAAUGAUGUAUGGCUCGAAAAUUAAUUCGAUCUCAUGCAGUACAGUUUAAUUCCAAAAGAUGCCCCUUCUGCACAGAAAUUCUGCUCACUUGAUUAAUGUAAGAACUUGAGCUGCACUUGGUAUAACUUGAUUACCAAAUAUUUCAAACACUCCUGUGUUACACACUAAGAGAAAUUAAAUAAACACAAGGUUCACAGUUCAUUGAGCUCUCAUGUUAACGUAUAGGUUCAUUUCGUUGCAAAAAAAAAAAAUCUUACGUGCUCCUGAUAGUGACACAUACACUGCAUGUUAAGAUGAUGAUGGGCGAUGCGACCAUUGCCUAAGAACUAAGAUUUUCUUCUACCGCCUGGGUGACUUUCCAUGAAGAAACAUGAUGUUUUGAUUGACAUUUGGUUAAACUGAUGACAUAUUUUGGGCUACAAAUAUUAGUAUUGUUUUAUUAAAUAAAAAUAAUAAUAAUUUUACGUGCAUGUUGAAGGUAAUAUUGCAGUCUUUUGAGCCUGUGUUGAAUUUCAUUCGUGUGCGUUCAUUUAUUAUCCAUCCCCUUUUUUCUCUGAGUCUGCUAGCCGUAGUCAUCUUAAAACGAUAACAUGUUUAAUGCAUGUAAAUGCACCUCAGAAGUAGUCAAGAAAGACUUGAUCAAACCAGAAAAUUUUCCUCUUAACACAGACGUAGUUAUCGGACUAAUUAAGAUUCUAAUCCAUUUAAGAAAUAUUCAAAAAGGGUUAUUGUCACUACUUUAGUCCUUGUUGUUUUAUUAAAGAAAGAAAAAAAAAAGAAUAUAUUUAAAGAAGCAUCACAUAAAUCCUUCCUAAUUACAUUUUGUUUCAUUCAAGUUCUUGACUUAAUUUGACUGCUUGGAAAAAUUAGUAAAAAGGUAAAAAUAAAAAAAAUGUAGAUUGAUAUUAAGGAAUUCAGCAAGCAAGCUACAAGAAUAUCCAAAAGCGUGUAAUUUAUGUUUAAGGAAAUAAGUGGAGAUAGAGAUGAAAUUGUAAAUUCAUCCCAAUCUUAAGUGGUUUAAUUCAAGAUGUAUGUUAGCUACAAGCACAGUAAGCAUGGUGAUGUCUCUCUUUAACGCAGGGGACACAACAAAAACACUGUAUUUCUACCCUUUUAAAAAAUUCCAAUAAUAUGUACACGUUAUAUAUAAGAUAUAAAAAUCAUUACUUUUAGUAUAAGAUAUAAAAAAAAAAUCAAUUAAUAACCAUUAGAGAAUAAAAAUUUAUGUAAUUGAUGCAGAUAAAUGGAAUCAAGUAGUAACAUUUCCUUCUCAUUGAAGAGAAAAGAUUUAAAAAAAAAAAGGGGAACGCAAACAUGACAAUUUUUUUUAUCCGCACACGCCAUGAUAAUCGAUAAUCCGAUAUACCAACCGCGUCUAAUUGUCUGAAUUCUCCAGCUUACCAAGCUUGCUCAAUCGCACCGACAGACACUGACAAUGGGAGAUUAAUCACCACUCGCAGUAUUCGACGCGUGAAGGACACAUUCACCAAUAAUUUAUAGCGGACAGUAGCAUUCCCGAUGCUGCACGGAGAAAAAUAGUUGGAUUUGCGUAAGUUAAAUUGACUUGACUCGAGAGAGUGAAGAAUGGUGGUGGUUGCUGUUAAGCAGUCAGUACUUCUGGCGACUGCUUGGCUUACACGCAGUUCUUGGGGGUGUCAUUUGACUGUGAAAAAGAAUUUUGGCUUUAUUGAUAUCAUGUUGGAUUUGGAAUUUUGGAUGGCUUCGUUUGGACCAUAAGACGCUAUCUCAUCCAUAACACGUUAGCAGUCCUUCUCACGGGAGAAAAACUGGGGUGGGAUUGAGCAAGAUUAUAUGAGUCCUCGAAGUGUCACUUACAAAUUUUUAAUUAUAAAUGACUGCCGAAUAAUUAAUCAAAAUUUUAUUAUUUAUGGUUAUAAUUAGAAUGAUAAGAAAUCAAUUCGAUGUUAUUCUUUGUGGCUCUGCUUAGAAUACUAAAAAAUCAAGUCGACUUACUUAUCUUUAUGUUGAUCAUUACAGGCCUUUUGAAUUUUUUAUCUACUUUAGUUGUAAGUAAUAUAACUUCACUUUUUUUUCUUUACUUUGGUUUGGUUUUCUUUAUAACUCAUAAAAAUUUUCUCGUUAAGAUUGUAUGAACCAAUUGAAACUUCAGAUUUGUAUGAACCAAUUGAAACUUCAGAUUCAUACUAGAAUUAUGAUGAUUCAAUAAAACCUUCAAAUUAAAUUCACAUAUUCCAUGAGGGAGAACCCUUGGAUUACAUUUGUUCAAGUUUAUGCUUUGAGUAAAAUAAAAGUAGAAAUAGGAAUUUGAAAGAAGAAAUUUAGUUAUAAAAAAUUAUCAAAUAAUUAAUUGUUUGGCAUUUAUUUUAUGGGUCCCAACCCAUGUGAUCCGCCAAAUGAGACGUCUUAUGUGAUUGGUUAUGCCAUGGUGCGCUAGCCACAUUUAAGUUUCUCUCUUCUUAUGGAUAUAACUGUAUAUGGGUGGCGUUAUAUAGUGCCCCACAUGGGCUCAUUAAAAUUAUUUUAUGUGCAUUUUAAACAUACCCUCUUUAUUGAUUUGAAACACCAAAAAUACCUCUCUUAAAUUUUAAAAAUAUAAAAAAAAAUUACGUGUUAAAACAAUGCUUGAUGUCUCUAGCCUAACAGUUAGCACACCUAUUGUAUACACUUUUACUUUUUUCUUCUCUAAUUUUUUACUCCUCUUUUCUCUAAUUCUUCACACUUCACUACUCUUUUAUCUCUAAAAAAAUUAAGCAAUCUCUAGAAGCUUAUUACUAAUUUUUUGAUCAAAUUACUUAUAUAAGUACUCUUGAUUGAUUAACACUUCUUUAAUUUUUUUUGGGGAUUUCUCUUAGAUGAAAGAAUUAAGGUUAUGUUCUAAAAAAAAUUUAACUCCCAUAUUAUGGUUUUGAUAAUGCGAUUAUCCUUAAAUUUUUCAACAUAUUAAAAUACUUUGAAACAACUGUAAAUGUGUUGAAUGAAAUAUUCUAAUAAAUUUAUAUUUUGGUACUUAUUAAUUAUUUAACUUUUUUCUUAAAAUUACAUUACUAUUUCAGCUUAGCCCUUGUGACAUUAAAUUCCUGAUAGCGCCACUAAAUGUAAGUUUUAAACUCAUGUUCGAUUUCUCCCAUGUUCAAACUCUACCUUUAAUUUAUAUUUCAAUUUUGUGGCCUACUUUUGAGUUUCUAAUUUCACAUAGAAGGCAUGUUAAACUUACCUUAGAUGCAAUAUUAAGAAAUCAAAUACACCAUGUGCAUUAGUGGGGGCGAAAAAAAAAAGAAAAGAAAAAGUCUUUUAUUGGUAAAAGAUGAAAGCUCUUCGGCACUGAUCAGAAGAAAAAUCAUUCUCCAUACAAUGAGCAAAACAAAGUCCAAUUCGCAUUGCAUAGAAGUAAGACCGAAGCAUUGGACUAAAAGCAUACACUAGUCUUAUUUUUCGUUACUGAUAACAUUUUUUUUCCCCUUAUAUUAUCACCUUAAUUAAGAAAAAUAAUAAUUUGUUUAACUAUUUGCGAAAAAGGAUGGCAAUAUACAAUAUUAUUGUGUUGAUGACCUUGAAAGCCAAUUCUUUUGAAACAGAAAAACUGUUUUUGUGUUUUGAUUAUGUUAAGCAAAUGAAUGGUCUUUAAGAGUUAUGAAAAUGUUAUCAAUAAAAUUACAAACUCUUAAGAGUUUAUAGAUGUAGUUAGUGAUAUUACAUUACAUUAAUUAAUACAAUACAAACUGUUUACUAAUAGAGCCUCAAGAGAGUAAUUCAUUAUUUAGUUGGCAAAUUAAACAACUGCAGCAGUCACUAGCAGCCUUCCAUGAGCUAGCAUAGAUCAAUUGUUCAUUUACCAACCAAUUGUGAAAUUGUUACAUCAUUACUUGAACAUAUUUCCAAUCCAAUCAUGGCUUUGUUUUGUUCAUCUUCAUAAGCUUUGUUUGAGAAACUUGCAGGCUUCUUUGGAGUCAUUAUAUCAGCUGUAUUCUCAUUUUCGAGCAUCGAAGAAAUUUCCAGUAUAGAAGACCUCUUGUUUGGGUUCUCCUGAACACAUAGCAAAGCUACUUGGAGACAUGUCAAUAAUUUCCACGAGGAAUUCGUAUCAUCUAGUGAUGGAUCCAUUAACUCCACGCCUUUCCCAUCCUUCCACAACUCGUAUGCCUGAAAACAUCAAAUAAGUUAUCGAGUUACAUUCCAUUGAUUAGCACUAUAAUGUUUUGAUUCAGUGUGUAUUAGAAAGGGGGUUAUGAAGAAACUUACAUACUCUACAAGGCUUAGAUUUUCAUUUUGACCAUAUCGAAUGAAAAGUCUUCUUCCACUUAUAAUUUGUAGAACCAAAACUCCAAAACUGUAGACAUCAGAUUUAGUGGAGUAGACUCCUCUUCCAAUAUAUUCAGGAGGAAUAUAGCCUCUAUAGUAUCGAGUAAUUACAAAUGUUACUAAAACUAUUUGACGUAAAAGAUUAAGUUGAUUGGUAAAGGUUCAACAAUAAUAUUAAAGACAAGUCAGAAAAAAAAUAGAAAAAUAUAUACUUACUGGGUUCCAACAAUUCGAUUUGUGUUUGCUUCAAGAUCAUCUUUCACGAAAAUUCUAGCCAAGGCAAAAUCUGAUAUUUUAGGUUUCAAAUCUUCAUCCAACAAAAUAUUACUAACUUUUAAGUCUUGAUGAAUAAUUGUUAAUCUAGAAUAUUCUUGGAGAUAGAGAAGCCCCUGAAUAAUUCCUUGAAUGAUAUGAAUACGUUUUUUUCCAAUCCAAAAUAAACCUUCUGAUGGGAUCUGCAUCAAAUGUAAAUUUAGUUGGACGGUCAGUACCAUUAGCAUUUGGAGACGAGAAAUGCAAAUUGAGGCACAAAAAUUAGAAAUUAAGCAGUUAAGCACAUACAAAAAAGGAAAUAGUCUAAGCUUCGUUUUGGUAUAUACUCAUAGAUGAGCAUAUAUUCUUGUGUGUCAAUGCAAAAACCCAAAACUCUGAUCAAAUUUACGUGUUGAAGCUUUGCAGUAAGCAUAACCUCAUUCUUGAACUCCUCAAAUCCUUAUGUGGAUGUCUUCGAUAGUUUCUUCACUGCUAUUAUUUGUCCAUCAGAUAAUACACCCUGCAAGCACCCCCCAAAAUAUAUGUUUUUUUAAAAAUCAGUGUGUUCACACAUGUUGAAAAGUCAUGCACGUGACAUUGAAAUUCAAAAAUGAAUGCAAAAUUUCAAAUGGCUACCAAACAUUUGAAGAAAAAAUGGAAAGUUGGCAAAUUUGUCAAAUUUGCCAAAUGGACACCAUUGACUAUUGGCUUAGGUUAUGUGGAAUAGUAAAAGGGUUGGUGCAAUAGUGCCAUUAUUUUCCCUAUAAAUAGAUGGCACUUCUUCCAUUCUAAAUCAUCCCAAAAUUGUUAAGCUUAUAAGUUUCUAAGCUUUUGAGAGAAGUGAGAGAAGUGUGUCUGAGGAAUUUAUCUUUCCUGCAGAGUGUGAGAGUACUGGGUAUAUUUGGGUUUCUGGGAAGUGAGAUUCGUUACUCAAAUAUUGUAUUCUAUUAAUUGUUAAAUAAACAAUUAUUCUUUCUUGCCUUCGUGGAUGUAGGUUUAAUUACCAAACCACGUAAAUUCUUGUGUCCUUUAUUUUUCAGUAAUUAUUUGGUGCGCUUGAUUCCGCAUUCCGCGCACAACAAGUGGUAUCAGAGCCGACGGUUCGUACUUGGGGGGAUACGGUACUAUUCACGUAUACGGUACUGUUCACGUAUACGGUAAUGUUCAUGUAUACGGUACUAUUCACGAAUACGUUGGAGACGGCCAUUUGUACUUGGGAGACAGUCUAUUGUAAGUAGUGUGUAUUUUUGCAUGUCUAGGAAAGUUCUGUCAAAAAAGGCGAUAAGAGUCUAAGGAUUCUGGUUUUUAAUUGGGACCGAAUUCCCGUCCAGUUUUCUGGGAACUUUCCUGGUGCAUUUAUUCACGCGAAAUUAACAUCAUAGAGGCUGUUUUUCAAGUGGAAAUAGUUCGUUGAGAAAAAUCGUAGAAGGUGAAACUUCCAGAAUUGGGGAGAGAUCUACCGAGACUAUUUCAGGAGACAUUUCAGGUGGGAGGCGAGAUUUGUCAAAUCGCUAUUCAGCACCUGUUAUAGGAGGCCAGAAGAUCGAUGUUGAAAAGUUUGAUGGGAAAAUCAACUUCGGCAUGUGGAGGCGCGAAGUUAUGGAUGCCCUUAUUCAAAUCGAUCUCGAUGUUGUCCUGAAAAAUAAAAGACACUUGUAUGAUGAAGAAAUUUGGGAUCGUAUGAACGAGAAAGCCUGUGGUCAGAUCAGAUCUUGUUUGACCAAGGAGGUGAAAUACUUGGUGAAAGAUGAGGAGUGUGCAGUGACUUUGUGGCGUACAUUGGAAGAGAAGUACCUGGUGAAAAGUCCUGAAAAUCGUCUUCAUGCAAUGAGCCAAGUAUAUGGCUUUCGAAUGAAGUCUGGGGUGUCAAUGCACGAUCAUGUUUCAAGAUUUAAAAAGUUACUUGCUGAUUUGAAGAAUCUUGAUGAAGAUAUUAAAGAUGAAGUCAAUGCUAUGAUUCUGUUACACUCACUACCAGAGGAAUAUAGCCAUUUUGUGACUACUUUGAUAUAUGGGAAGAGUGUGAUCGUCUUUAAAGAUGUUUGCACAGCAUUGACUAGUUUGGAGAUUCGGAAUAAUGAUAAAAAUUCUGAACGAGCAUCGUCUGAAGCUUUGGUGAGCAGAGAUUGGGCGAUGGAGAAAAAGAUAAAUGGUGGUGGAAAGAAUUCUCGAUCCAAAUCGAGAAGCAGAAAUAUAGCUCGAGAUGAGUGUGCCUUUUGUCAUGAAAAGGGCCAUUGGAGGAAAGAUUGUCCAAAGGCUCAAAAGAGAGAUGGGAAAAAACCAGCAUCAGCAAACAUGGCACGGAAAGAUGAGGACUCUGAUUAUUCACUAAGUAUCACUCCUGCAGCAUAUGUGGCUAGUUCGAGUGAGUGGAUACUUGAUACUGGAGCAACCUAUCAUUUGUGUCAUAUUAAGGAAUGGUUUACGGAUUUUCGUAAUCUGGAAUCCGGUGCAGUUAUGAUGGGGAAUAAUCAACCUUGUCGCACAAUGGGGAUAGGAACAAUUCGGCUCAAAAUGUUUGAUGGAAUGGUCAGAGAACUCAAAGAGGUUAGAUUUGUUCCAGAGAUAAAGAAAAAUCUAAUUUCUGUGGGUGCUUUGGAAGCUAAAGGUUACAAAGUUACCAUUGAAGAUGGCACAAUGAAGUUUACACAUGGGGCUAUGGUGAUUCUGCAAGGGGUUCGGCGUCACAAUCUGUACUAUUUGAAAGGAGGUACAACUGAUGAAGCAAAUGUUGUUGAGGCGCACAGUGACACCACCAAGCUAUGGCAUGUACGACUGGGACAUGCAGGAGAGAAGUCUUUGCAAACUCUGAUGAGGCAUGGACUCUUAAAAGGUAUCAAAACCUGUAAAUUAAAUUUCUGUGAGCAUUGUGUAGUAGGCAAAAAAACAAGGGUCAAGUUUGGUACAGCUAAUCACGAUACUCGUGAGAUCCUUGAAUAUGUUCAUAGUGAUGUAUGGGGACCAACCAAGACUGCAUCAAUUGGUGGAAGCCAUUAUUUUGUUAUAUUUGUUGAUGAUUUCUCUAGACGUGUAUGGGUGUACACCAUGCGAGCAAAGGAUGAGGUUCUAGAGAUUUUCGUGAAGUGGAAGAAAUUGGUGGAGACUCAAACUGGCAGAAAGAUCAAAGUAUUACGAUCUGAUAAUGGGGGUGAAUAUACUUCUGAUCCAUUCUUGCAAGUAUGCCAGAACGAGGGUAUUAAAAGACAUUUCACAGUGAGACAUACUCCGCAACAGAACGGUGUGGCUGAGCGUAUGAAUCGUACUUUACUGGAGAAGGUACGAUGUAUGUUAUCUAAUGCUGGUUUAGAUAAAAAGUUUUGGCCUGAAACUGUGAGCUACGCAAGUCACUUGGUAAAUCGGUUGCCUUCUGCUGCAAUUGGAGGUAAAACUCCUAUGGAAAUGUGGUUUGGAAAGCAUGCACAAGACUAUGAUUCCCUUCGUGUAUUCGGGUGUCCAGCUUAUUAUCAUGUCAAAGAUGGUAAACUGGAUCCUCGUGCUAGAAAAUCUAUCUUUGUGGGAUUCAAAGGUAGAGUAAAGUGCUUCAAGCUUUGGGAUCUCGAAGACAAAAAGUUUGUGUGUAGCAGAGAUGUCACAUUUGAUGAAGCUUCAAUGAUAAAAGCUUCAAGUUCUCAGCAGGUGGAGAACAAGACCACAUAUGUAUUGCAGCGGGUGGAGUUUGAUGCAACUCCAUAUGUACCAGUUAGUUCUACAUCAAAGAAUGGUUCAACUAUGGAGGUGACACCUAAAGUUGAAGAAGAGGUUGUUUCUUCUGAUGUCCCACAAAAUGAAGAAACAAUUGAUGAUGUAGAUGAUGAUGAUUUUAUAGCAACAAGGAGGCCAAGAAGAGAGAUAAAGAAACACGGAUGGCUUACUAAAGAUAUGGUGGUAGCCUAUGCACUUUCAGUUAUUGAUGAUGACAUCCCCAAUACUUUCGGUGAAGCAUUACGCAGUAAUGAAAGUGAUCAGUGGAAGCUAGCCAUGGAGGAAGAGAUGAAAUCUCUCCAUCAAAACCAGACUUGGGAACUUGUAAAGUUACCAAAGGGGAAAAGGGCUAUUGGCAAUAAAUGGGUCUACACCAAAAAGCAAGGAUCUCCGAAUCAAACAACUCCUCGAUACAAGGCAAGGCUCGUGGCAAAAGGUUUUGCUCAAAAGGAAGGUAUUGACUACAAUGAAGUUUUGUCUCCAGUUGUAAAACAUACUUCCAUUCGUAUCCUACUUGCCUUAGUUGCAGAAUAUGAAUUAGAGUUGGCUCAGUUGGAUGUUAAGACGGCGUUCUUACAUGGAGAUUUGGAGGAGGAAAUCUACAUGAUUCAGCCUUGUGGUUUUAGAGUUGCUGGAAAGGAGAAUCAUGUGUGUAGGUUGAUUAAAUCUUUGUACGGACUGAAGCAAUCGCCAAGGCAGUGGUAUAAAAGAUUUGAUCAAUUUAUACAAGGGCAGAAAUUCACCAGAAGUGAACACGAUCAUUGUGUUUACUUUAGAAGACUACCAGAUAGAGCUUUCAUCUAUUUGCUACUCUAUGUCGACGAUAUGCUUAUAGCUUCGAAGAAUAGAGAUGAGAUCGAAAGAUUAAAGAAGCAGCUGGCUUCUGAGUUCGAGAUGAAAGACUUGGGUGAUGCACAGAGAAUACUUGGGAUGGAGAUUUGUAGAGACAAGAAGAAUGGGAGCGUAUGGUUGACUCAAAAGUCUUAUUUGAAGAAAGUGCUAGAAAGAUUCGGUAUGGAUGACAAAACUAAACCGGUAUGUACACCUCUAGCUCCUCAUUUCAAAUUAGGCUCUUCUUCAUGUCCUAAAUCUCAAGAGGAGCGCGAUUACAUGGCUCGUGUUCCAUAUGCUAGUGCUGUGGGUAGUCUUAUGUAUGCUAUGGUAUGUACAAGGCCCGAUAUAUCUCAAGCAGUAAGCAUGGUUAGUAGAUACAUGCACGAUCCGGGUAAAAGUCACUGGCUUGCAGUAAAGUGGAUUCUUCGAUAUCUGUAUGGGACAGUUGAUGUUGGGUUAUUGUUCAAGAAGGAUUGUGGUCAACAAUGUGUUGGCUAUUGUGAUUCUGAUUUCGCUGGAGACCUUGACAAGCGAAGAUCAACAACGGGCUACGUAUUCACAUUGGGUGGAGGUCCAGUUAGCUGGAGGUCAAUUUUGCAAUCGACAAUUGCUCUGUCCACUACGGAAGCAGAGUACAUGGCAACAACUGAAGCUGUAAAGGAAGCUAUCUGGUUGAAAGGCUUGUUAGGUGAUUUGGGAGUAAUCCAGGAGAACAUUACGGUCUUCUGUGAUAAUCAAAGUGCGAUAUUCCUUGCGAAGAAUCAAACAUAUCACGCUCGGACAAAGCACAUAGAUGUGAAAUAUCAUUAUGUGAGAGAGAUUAUCGAGAGCGAUGUUGUGUUGUUGAGAAAGAUCGAUACCAAAGAUAAUCCAUCAGAUAUGUUGACGAAGGUAGUUUCUGGAGUUAAGUAUCAACAUUUCUUGAAAUUAAUUCAAAUCCUUCGAUUGUGUUAAAGAUAUGUCCUUCGGGAAUUUUGAACUACGGUUGGCUUGAUCCCAAAUUUUGGGUACGUAGGCAGUCGAAACGACACAGCCAUUCUGGAUCCUUAUUGAAGGAUCACUUUGGGGAUGAGGGUUCGUUGGUAGUCGGCUCAGAUUUGGACAAAUUUUCGCCGAGGUGGAGAAUUGUUGAAAAGUCAUGCACGUGACAUUGAAAUUCAAAAAUGAAUGCAAAAUUUCAAAUGGCUACCAAACAUUUGAAGAAAAAAUGGAAAGUUGGCAAAUUUGUCAAAUUUGCCAAAUGGACACCAUUGACUAUUGGCUUAGGUUAUGUGGAAUAGUAAAAGGGUUGGUGCAAUAGUGCCAUUAUUUUCCCUAUAAAUAGAUGGCACUUCUUCCAUUCUAAAUCAUCCCAAAAUUGUUAAGCUUAUAAGUUUCUAAGCUUUUGAGAGAAGUGAGAGAAGUGUCUGAGGAAUUUAUCUUUCCUGCAGAGUGUGAGAGUACUGGGUAUAUUUGGGUUUCUGGGAAGUGAGAUUCGUUACUCAAAUAUUGUAUUCUAUUAAUUGUUAAAUAAACAAUUAUUCUUUCUUGCCUUCGUGGAUGUAGGUUUAAUUACCGAACCACGUAAAUUCUUGUGUCCUUUAUUUUUCAGUAAUUAUUUGGUGCGCUUGAUUCCGCAUUCCGCGCACAACAACACACACACACGUAGCUUGCACUAAUUAAUUAAUAAGCUGAGAGAUAACCAAGCUACCGAUACAUAACCUUGUAAACAGGACCAUAUCCACCCUCCCCGAGCUUAUUUUCAAUUAAAAAUCUAUCCGUGGCCACCUCAAUAUCAGCCAAGCUAUAUUCUCUCAGAUCAGGAUCAUUGCUGUUAAAAUCUCCAGCAUCCGCUUGUCUAUUUUCGCUGUCCUUUGAUGCUUUGGCUGAGUCAAUUACGGUCCAAUUAAUAUCAACCAAGAGAAAGAAAGCUAAUUUAAGUGAAUCGCCCACUUCUUCAUCUGUGUUAAAUGGAAUAGAAGUAAAAAUAUUCCUAAUCCCGUGUAGAAGAAGUUACCUUUUAAUUUGAGGUUUUUCAUCCAGCAGUAGUAAUACAGCAAAAAGCCUAUUAGAAGAAUACAAGCUGCAGUUAUAGGCAAAACAAUUGCCCAUAAUAGCCGCUUAUUUUGUCGAUUCCUUUCAUCCUCUUCAGCUGAAAAGUCAAAUCACUUUGUGUUAUUUAACCACUGAUGGUCAAAUAAAGAUCUUAAUUGAAGUCAUUAUGCAGAGAACUGAUCGAAUGGGUAGCAGGCAGUGAGUGAGGCUUUGCAUUUGCUUACCUGCAGCUUGAGAAAGCAUCCAAUAAUGAUCACUGGAAACUUGCCACACAUAGUAACCACGUAGCUUCUUUUCCUUGGCAUAUGCAACCUUCACUCUAACAGCCUCGACAUCAUCAAAACCAAACCAAAUCUUCCCAAUCGAGCAGUAAUUCACGACAUAAGUUGAAUUGUACAUUACUUGAACAUUAGGACGAUAGUUCUUGAUGUGAUUCUUGACUUCCUUAUAAGUCACAAGGCCAUCAUCAUGCAAAGCUGGUCCUGUUGUUGCUGCGCCAAUGCCAUUGUCCUCAGGUUUCACAAGCGUCCAUGCAUAGCCAUAAAAAGGCAAACAUAAAACCAAUUUAUCAGCCGAUAACCCUUCCUCAAUCCAUUCCGUGAUUCCAUAUUCAGUAUUAGAGACACUAUUUGGAUCAUACAGAGCCGCAUGAGCACCAGUAAAAUUUUUCCGCGUAGGGCUUGAGUAUUCGGUAGUGAUAACAUGAACCCAAUUCAAGUACUGUCUUAUCGAGUCGACUGGAUAAGCUGCUGCUGUUGAGAGUGGUGAAUAUGCGACCUUUGCUGUCAAAAUCAACUGUGAUUGGCUCGAGUUAUUUCUUGCUUCUAAAGCAACGGCAGCUCGCCAUUCUUUUAAAGAGAAUGCCAAUAUUGUACUUAUCCCAGUUUGUGUUUGCCUGAUUCCAAGACAGAUCUAAGCCUUGAAAGCCAUAAAGCCUUGCUAUUUUUAUUGAGGAGUCAAUAAAGUAUUUCCUGAAAGAAGGAUUGCCCGCCAUGGAAGAAUAACUUGAAUAGUUUGGAUUAUUGCCUCCUCCGAUGGAAAGAAGAGUAGUGAUUGAUGGGUUCUUUAUUUUGACAGUGUCUGUGAAGUUGGAGAAUUGUUUUUCAUCAGAAGGUGAUAAAGAAAGCUCAUAGGAAGUUGAGUUGACAUCGGCAAAACCACACAUAAGGUGAGUGAAAAGAGCAGAAUUUACAUCUGAAACGGGGAACCCACCGUCUGAAUCCCAGUAACCAGCUCUGAUUAAAGUUUGUGCCCUUGCAGGAAGCGAUUCUGAAAAUAUAAAAAUGUAGAGUACAAGAAUGAUAAUUUUGGAUGCCAUUGUGGGAACCUUGCUGCUUUGAGGCAAACCUAGUAUGUGAUUACAUAUAUAUGUACAGACACAAAAUGUAAUGGAGAAAAUAUCCGACACCGAUUGAGAUUUGUUAUUGGACUAUAAUACAAACUUGAGGCAACUUUCAACUCAUGAGCUUAGCUCAUAAGUCUUUAUACGGUAUCAAAGUCAAGUUUCGAAAGAGUGACUCUAUACUACCUUUCAAUUUAACAAAGAGAAAGAAAAGAGAUCAGCCUACACGUGGUAGGAAGAUAGAAAAAGUAUAUCACAUUGGCUAAGAUUAAUUACUAGGUUGAUAAUAUAAGCUCAAAACAACAUUUAACUGUUGCGGAAAUGUGGGUUGAGCAAUUACUAAUACUGCAACUUCUGAAGAAAUAUAAAUGUGGUGUUAAACAAAUGCAAAGAAAAUAUAACACAAUGAUUUACGUGGUUCGGCGUAAUGCUUACAUCCACAGGCAAAAACUAAAAGAUAAUUUUACUAACAAUGAAAAUUUACAAAAGUGAGAAAAAUUCACAAAACCCACAACCCCAAUACACCCAAAUGAAACCUAACUAGAACACUCAAAUGGAAGCUCUCGUAAAUUCUCUCAAAGAACUCACUUGCAAUUGCUCUCUCCAUUUCUUUCAAAUUGGGAUGAUUUACAAAUGCAUUUUGCUUCUCUAUUUAUAGGCAAAGCAUGCUCACCCACCACACGGCUUCAAUUUGACUUUAAUUGGCUAAAUUGACAAAUUUGGCAAUUGGUGCCAAAUUUGUCAUGCAAUGCAUGCUAGCUGUUCCAUGCCAUUUAUUCAAUUUGCAUAUUUUCAAAACCUAACUUUGCUUUUUUGAAAUUGGUAAGCCGACCAUUUGACUUUUCAACAUCAACUCCAUAACAAGCUGUAAUUUAAUAAAGUUAGGUCAACUCGAUAUUUUAUAUAGUACGUCAUGAGUGAGGAGGAGUUUAAGCUACAAAUCGCAGUCAUGAGUGAGGACAAAUUUGAUUCUCUCAAGAUUUUGCGUUUUGUACACGUUGAUCAUGGACUGAAUCAAAAUAGAAAAUAUUUUCACAGGAGUUUGCCUUCAAAUUGCACGAAUGGAACCAUAGAGGAAUACAUCGAAAAGUUUGUCUUCUUGCCAUGAUGUUAAGUGAGAAGAUUGAAGUUCUUAAAUUAAGCUAUGACGUUUUACCUCCACUUAGCUUGACUUCUGAAGCUGAAGACUCAUCCUUUUGCAUUGACUUUGUUGGUAUUUAAAUGACCUCGGAGUCUUGGACGUGUUUCUGAAGCAAUGUCAUGGUCUAUGAGUAGAUUUUAUUUUUUGGGUAAGAAAGGGAAAGUCUGUCGUUAGGAAAACAUCCUGACAACGAGAUGGUGAGAGGGGAUGAAAAAGAAAUUAUACACUUAGUUACUUCCUCAUGAUAAGAUUCAGUGGUAUUGUAAUUUUAAUAAAAAAUUAAGACCAUUUUGCCUUUUUCCUUGUGUAAUUUAAUUUUCAGUCAAGACCACCCUCCCAUUUUAGUACAGGGAAAUUAUCAUUUGUAUAUUCUUAGUUUACUCCAUUAUCAAAAAUAUUACAACACUUUGAGGGUGUAUCAAUCGUCUACCCUAAGUUGACAAAAUGUAUUAGCUGACCACCAAACCGUUAGUUGCCGUUUAAGUAUGAUGAUAUCAGAAGGGUAAUUUGGUUUUUUCAUAUGAUACAAGUGAUAAUUUAAGGGUAUACAAGUGAUAAAAAGAGAAUUUAAGGGUAUACAAGUGAUAAUUUUCAAGGGUAAAAUCGUCAAUUCACUGUAAUUCCGUUAACUUUCAAACGGCAACUAACGGUUUGGUGGUCGGCUGAUACAUUUUGUCAACUAAGGGUGGACGAUUGAUACACCCUCAAAGUGUUGUAGUAGUUUUGAUAACAGAGCAAAUAUAAGGUAUACGAAUGAUAAUUUUCCUUUAGUAUAAAAGCCUAUACAAAUGUACGUUUUACUCAAUGUUUACAUAGAAACAAAUGGCGCGAAGACGAUUUGUCAAUCUAGUACCACUCUCGUAUACUUGGUAAGAUUUGGCUUCACCAAAUUGUAGCCUAUAUUUUACUUUAAUGAGAAAAUCAAAUAAUAUAUGUUUGAACAAAUAAUUUUCUUUGCUCUAUAUACUUUCUUAAAAUGUAUGGAGUGGGUAAAGUAUAAAUUGAUCUCUUAGCCCGUUGACUCCUCCAAAAUUCAAACUCAAUUUAAUGGUAAGUUAAAUAAUGCUACUUGAAAAUCAUUCCACCAAAUAUCAUAAAAACUAUAAUUAAGUUUCACUGAUUAUUGAAUUAUAGAAUGUGCUAUCAUUUCCUAGCUAGAAUUUGUUUAAUUCUAUUAAUUUACAAUCAUUUUUAUUUUAUUUAAUUAAUUAAAGUGAAUUUAUUAUGUAUAAGUUCUAUAUAUGUAAAAUUUUAAAAUCUAAUGUUGAAUUGAAUUGUACUGAACUUUUUAUAAUUUUUUAUCACGCCUGCAAAUUUAACAGUUUUGUAUUAAUAUUGAUAGCACAUAAUAUAUAGGAUUAAGAGAGAUUGGUUUCGAGUUGCUACAAGCAUUUUGGGAUUGCAUGCACAAGGGUUUAUAAACAAAGGGUGCAAUUAAUUACCCCAAACGAGGGUGCAUUUUUAUGAUGAAAUAAAAACUACGUGCGGGGUUGUAAAAGUGGCUCCAUAAUUAAUGUACAUUAACAUUCAUCUAGCUAUCACCUCCGAAAAUGAUACAGCAUAAGCCGAGCAUUUUUCCAAUUGUGUUGUAGAUAAUAGUUCAAUCCCAAUUUCAUCAACUUGUUUUGAGAAAGGAGGCUUCUUGGGAGUAUUAAUAUUUGUGGUUCCAUUCUUGAGCAUUGAGGAAACUUCCAGCAUUGAAGGUCGGUCGUUUGGAUUCUCCUGGACACACAACAAAGCUAUUUCCAGACAUCUCAUUAAUUUACAAGGGGAAUUUGUAUUGUCUAGGAAUGAAUCCACAAACUCCACGCCUUUGCCACCUUUCCACAACUGAUAUGCCUGAAAUUAUCAAGUACCAUCUCGUUACAUAAUUUAUACUUCUUAAUUAAGUGCGCAUAUGUGUACUCAGGGUUACUAUAGCCGAAGAAACUUACGUGCUCUAGAAUGCUUAAAUUUUCAUUGAUGCCACAUAACACUGAAAGCCUCUUUCCACUUAUGAUUUGUAGAAGUAAAACUCCGAAACUAAAAACGUCUGAUUUGGUAGAGUAUACACCUUGUCUGGCGUACUCAGGAGGAAUAUAGCCUCUGCAUUCAAAAUAACCAAGUAUAUAUGAGUAAGGGAUUUUGCAAUUUAAUAAAUUUGUAAAACCCAUUUUAAAUUGUGGUAAAAGUCCAUUCCGCAUUUUAUUAAAGUGCUGAAUUCCUUAUUCGAAACCCAAUAUAUGUAUAACAAACAGAAGCUUGAGUAAAGGAUAUCAUUUAGUUGUGAUAUACUUACAUUGUUCCCACAACUUGUUCUGAUUCGCGUCGAGACUCUCUUUUGCAAAAAUUCUAGCCAUACCAAAAUUUGAAAUUUUAGGUUUCAUAUCUUGACCUAACAAAACAUUACUGGCUUUCAAGUCUCGAUGAAUAAUAGUCAGUCUUGAGUAUUCUUGGAGGUAUAAAAGUCCUUGAGUUAUCCCUUCAAUGAUAUGAACAUGUUUUUUCCAAUCCAAAAGAAGUCUUCUGAUGGGAUCUACAACAAAUAUAUAGUUUUGGACAAUAAGUGAUAUACAAGCGAAUUAUAUACACAAUUGAUAUUAACUUGAUUUCAGAACAAACCAAAAAGGUAGCAAUCCAAGCUUUUGUUUGGCAUGUAUUCGUAGACCAGCAUCCGUUCCUCACUGUCAAUGCAAAAACCUAAAACUCUAAUAAGAUUUACAUGUUGGAGUUUUGCAGUAAGAAUAACCUCAUUCUUAAACUCCUCAAAUCCCUGUGCGGAUGAUUUCGAAAGUUUCUUCACUGCUAUCACCACUCCACAGGGUAAUACACCCUGCAACCCAAAAAAAAACCACGUUCAUAUAAAGCUUUCACUAAUUAGAGACGCUGAGAAAUGUUAGCCAAACAAUAUGCUACCCCCCAAAGUUGAGGGCACCAUUUUAAGUCCUUUAGUCCCCAUGGACGCAAAAUGUAAAUCUCCUCUCACAGAAUAUGGAUAUGGGUAGAGGUAUCUUCCUCAAAUGUUAGUCAAAGUAGUUAUAUCCCUCUAGUGUGAGGUUAAAGGUCUCAUCUCUAAUAGGCAUAGAGUUUUAAAUUAUAUGUUUUGGGCCUCUGAAUUCUACGACGAGUGUACAAAUUCAAACUUCCGAUAGGAUCCAAAUUGCAACAUUGUGGAUUGUAACAAAUUAAAAUAUAGGUACACACACACACACACAUGUUACCUUGUAAACAGGACCAUAUCCACCCUCCCCAAGGUUAUUUCUAAUUGAAAAUCCCUCGGUGGCCGCCUCAAUAUCAGCCAAACUAUAUACUCUGAGAUUAGGAACAUUUCUGUUAAAGUCUCCAGCUUCUGUUUCAUUAUUUUCUCUCGUGUUUGAUGCUUUAGCAGAAUCCUCUGUUCCUAACAUCAACCAAGAGUAAAUAUUAGAUAAUUAAUUGUAUGUCAGCCUAAGUUUUAUAUAUAUAUGAAAUGCAUGCUUAAUUAUAAUUGGUAGCUGAAGCUUGUUACCUUCUAUUAACUUGAGCCUUUUCAUCUGGUUGUAUUUAUAUGCACAACAACUUAGAAGGAGAGUCAAAGCUGCCGCUGCAGUCGAAAUGAGUACCAAGGACAGAUGGCGGUUAUUACUAUGUUCAUCUUUGUCAGCUGAAGCAGAAGUAAUCCUGUCUUUUUGUGCUGGAAAUAUGUAUAGUUCAGCAAUUAAUAAUAACUAGCUAGAGAUGCCAUAACAAUCAUUAUUAAUCAGAGAGAACAAUUAUUGCAUAGAUAAAUACCUGCAGCUUGAGAAAGUACCCAAUUAUGAUCGUCAUAAUCAACUCGCCAAACAUAGUAACCAAGAAAUCUCUUCUCUUUGGCAUAGGCGAUCUUAGCUCUAACAGCCUCCACAUCAUCAAAACCAAACCAAAUCGUCCCAGUGGAGAAGUAAUUCACCACAUAAGUUGAAUUGUACAUAACUUGAACAUUAGGACCAUAGGUCUUGAUGUGAUUCUUGAUAUCCCUAUAGGUCACAAGGCCACCAUUACUCAUAGCUGGUCCUGCUGCUGCUACUCCAAUACCAUUGUCUUCAGGUUUCACAAGCGUCCAUGCAUAGCCGUAGAAAGGCAAACACAAAACCAACUUAUCAGCCAAUAACCCUCUCUAAAUCCAUGCCCUUAAAACCUGAUCAGUACUGUCAAAGAAGCUCAUAAUGCAUGGAAGGAUGCAGCACACGUGUGAGAUGAAUAUAGUCAGCUGAAUCAAUUGAAGAGUGGAGUGCCAGCUCAGCUGAAGUUAGUUAGACACGUUAAGAUCAAGUUUUAGUUAGUUCUUCAUUUUCUGUUAAGCUGAAAAACAGCUGAGUAUAAAUACAAGCAUAUUGUAAUCAUUUUGAGGUUAAGUAAAAAUAAAAUAAAGCAUUUGAUUCCAGAAUUUCUUUUACAAAUUUUCUUAGCACUUUAGAUACAUUUUCUCAGUAACCAAACAGUUUGUUCAUUCAAGCUUUUAAGCUUUCAAACAUGGUAUCAGAGCCUUACAGAGCUAGUUCCAGUAAUCAACAGUCAAGCCUUCGUAAUCAAACAACAAACAACACAAAUCAACCUACUCAAAUCAACUUCUCUUUUUCUAAUCCUAUCAAGCUAGAUCGAUCCAAUUACUUACUCUGGCGUUCUCAAGUUUUGGCCUCAAUAAGAGGCAAUCGUUUGGAAGAUUUCGUCACAAGAGCCAGAUCAGUACCUGAUAAGUGUCUUCUGUUAACUGAAGCAGAUGGAUCUACACAACAAGUUGAAAAUCCAGAAUAUCAGAUCUGGAGAUCACAGGAUCAGACACUUCUUGGCUGGCUACUGUUGUCAUUAAGUGAAGGUAUCUUAAGUCUUGUAAUCAAUUGUGAGAGUUCAUUUGAUAUAUGGAAAACUUUGGAAAAGAAAUUUGGAGUUCAAUCUGAAGCUCGAGUUCUUCAGCUCAGAUACGAACUAAACACUCUUAAAAAGGAAGCCCUUAGUGUUGAAGAUUAUUGUAUUAAAAUGAAAGCAAUAGCAGAUAAGCUGGCCAGUGCUGGUAGUUCAAUUACAGAGAAGGAUCUUAUGCUAACUAUUCUUAAUGGAUUAGGAUCAUGAUAUCGUGAUAUUGCUACAUUUAUAACUGGUUCACGAAUGGAGUUUGAUGAUGCUUAUGCACUGUUACUCACUCAUGAGACUAGAUUAGAGCAGGAGCAAGGUGACAAAAGUAUGUUUAAUGCAAACUAUGCAUACACAAAUGCAUAUUAUCCUAGAGCUUAUUUUGCACAGCCUAGAAGAAGUUUUAAACGAGGAGGUUAUUCUGGUGGUAGAACUCCUUUCUUUGGCAGAGGAAAUAUGAAUUACUCUCCAAGAAUGUUUAAUGGAGGCUUUAGAAAUGGAUAUGGCAGAGGAUUUUUUCCUGGAAAUAACUCAACUGAUUUCAAUCAUUUUCCAGCUCCUAGGAAUCCAGUACCUAGGAACUCAUCUUUUCCAGCUAGAAAUGGAUCUGCUAACAUGAGUGGAUCACAAGGAAGUUUUAAUAAUGCUGGAGAGAUGACAUGUCAGAUUUGUUUUAAGAAUGGCCAUACUGCUGAUGUCUGUUGGCACAGAUUUGUUGAAGAUUUUGUACCUGUUCCAAGAGGUUUUGGCAAGGGAAGAACACCAAGAGCAGCAUAUUUAUCAAACUUUGAUGGCUCCAUUUCUAAUCCAGAUUUUGGCUAUGAAAAUCUUAAUACUAUGUUUCCAGGUUAUGACUCUAUAUCUGGCAAUAGCUACUAUUCUGGAAUGGAUGGAUACACUUCUGGAGCAGCUAGAACAGCUUUCAUGGCAAAUUUUGAAGGGACUGCUGAUGAUGGAUGGUAUCUGGAUAGUGGGGCAACUCACCAUUUAACCAACAAUAUGGAGAAUUUGCAGAUCAAUGAAGAGUUUAAAGGUACUGAUUAGCUUAUCAUUGGAAAUGGUCAAGGUUUGUCUAUUACUCAUGUUGGACAUGCAUUUCUGGUAUUAAGAGCUUCUAAACCCUUAUCUACACAUGCUAGAAUAAAACUUAAAGAUAUGUUACUUGUCCCUUCAAUUACCAAAAAUCUAUUAAGUAUUUCUAAACUCACAUCUGAUAACCCUUUAUCUGUUGAAUUCUGUGGAAAUGCUUGUUUUGUGAAGGACAUGAAGGGUCAAGUUCUUCUGCAGGGUAUUGCUGAAAAAGGCCUUUACAAGCUGCUGCUGAACUCAAAUUCUCUUUCUUCAUCACCUACAUCUUAUCUUUGUAAAUCCCAGCCAAAUAAACUAGUCUCUAUGUUGUCUGCUUUCAAACACUCUGAUAAUGGUACUCGAGCUUGUUUUCAGUUUGUUUUAAAUAAGUGUAAUGCCAAACCUAAUGUAAUAACUUUGUUACAUAGAAAGUUUGGUCAUCCAAGCUCAAUGACAUUGAUGCAUUUGCUCAAAUCAUGUAAACAGUUUAAAGUCUCUCCAAAAGACAUGUUAUCUUCUGCAAGUACUUUAUGUGAAGCAUGUCAGCUAGGCAAAGUCCAUAAGCAACAUUUCUCAAUAACCGAAACAAAAACAAAAGAGGUAUUAGAAUUGAUCCAUACUGAUCUUUGGGGGCCUUCACCCACUGUGUCUAGAGAUGGAUACAAAUAUUACAUUAGUUUUGUGGAUGAUUACACUAGGUACUCUUGGAUCUAUCCUCUUAAGCUCAAAUCACAAGCAUUUGAAGUUUUCAAAUUGUGCAAAACUCAAGUUGAAAAUCAGUUUGAUACCAAAAUUAAGAUGCUACAAUCUGACCUUAGGGGAGAGUUUAGAGCAUUUACUGAUUUUCUCAAUCAAAAUGGAAUAAUCUUUAGGCACUCAUGUCCUUACAUCCAUCACCAGAAUGGUCUUGUUGAGAGGAAGCACAGGCAUAUAGUUGAACUAGGAUUAACCCUCAUGGCUCAAGCAAAUCUUCCUCUUCAAUUCUGGUGGGAAGCUGUUCAUACAGCAGUGUAUCAUAUUAAUAGAUUGCCUACCCCUGUUCUGAAAUUCUUAUCUCCUUAUGAGAAACUUUUCAAACACAAACCAGAUUACACAUUUCUAAAGUGUUUUGGUUGUCUUUGUUAUCCAUACUUGAGAGACUUUAACAAACAUAAGUUUGAUUUUCACACUUCUAAAUGCAUUUUUAUUAGAUACAAUCCCUCUUAUAAAGGAUACAAAUGCUUAGCAAGUUUUGGUAAAGUCUAUGUUCUUAGACAUGUCAUUUUUUAUGAAACACAUUCCCUUAUCCAAUAAACAUUGCAUUCUCAACAGAAAAUCACAUAUCUUCUAAAACCUCAGUGUCUAAUUUCUCUCAGCAACAUAUCUAUCAUCUUUCUACAAUAGCCUUACUCAACAGCAGCUUUGAAGGUCUUCAGUCAGCAAGCUCAGCAAGAAAUGAACAAAUGCCCUUUGGUCCCACACAUACAGAUGUUUUGAAUCAACAAGAACAUCCAUCACACACAUCCUUAGAGUUAUCAUCCUCAACCUCACCAUCACCAAACACAUUACUAAUGCAAUCAUCCAUUCUACAACCAGAGGAAACUUCUUCACAGAAUAUAGACCAAAUUCAAACCAGAAAUCAUUCCCAACCAUCUUCUCAUCCAAUGAUUACCAGAUCGAAAUCUGGAAUCUUCAAACCAAAGGUCUAUACAGUCACCUUAGCCAACAAAGAACCCAGUACAGUUCAAGAAGCUCUUAGUAGUCAGAAUUGGCAUCAAGCCAUGGUAGAUGAGUAUGAAGCUUUGAUGAAGAAUAAGACUUGGUCACUGGUACCAUUUUCAAAUGCAUACAAAGUAGUUGACAACAAAUGGGUGUUUAGACUCAAGCAAAAUACUGAUGGAAGCAUAGCCAAACACAAGGCCAGAUUGGUUGCCAAAGGUUUUCAGCAAACUGAAGGUGUGGAUUACUUUGAGACAUUUAGCCCAGUUGUAAAAGCUUCAACAGUGAGGAUUGUUUUGAGUUUAGCUGUGAUGCAUAAAUGGAAAAUAAGGCAAGUGGAUGUGAAUAAUGCCUUUUUGAAUGGAGAAUUGACAGAGGAUGUCUAUAUGUAUCAGCCUGAAGGUUUUAUUGAUCAACAAAAACCUAAUCAUGUAUGCAAGCUGAAGAAGGCCUUGUAUGGCUUAAAGCAAGCUCCUAGAGCUUGGUAUGACAAGCUUAAGAAUUGUCUGAUUGCUAAUUGGAAAUUUCAGAAUUCAAAGGCUGAUACCUCUCUUUUCUUCAAAGAAGUGCAGGGCUCAAUGAUACUCAUCUUAAUCUAUGUAGAUGACAUUCUAAUGACAGGACCUGACAAUGGUGAACUGGAGAAAUUCAUCUCAAAAUUCAGUAAGACUUUUGCUUUAAAAGACUUGGGAAUUCUGUCAUAUUUUCUAGGAAUAGAAGUGUCCUAUGCUGAAGAUUGCAUCUAUCUAUCUCAGAAGAAAUAUAUCUUGGAUUUGUUAUCCAAAGCUAAUAUGCAAAAUUGUAAAGGCUGUGACACUCCCAUAGUUACUGGAUCAAAGCUUCAGAAAGAAGUCACAGGCUGUUUGGGUCAAUAUAUUGAGGAUGCAACAAGCUAUAGAAGCUUAGUUGGAGGUUUACAAUAUCUAGUAUUAACCAUACCAGAGAUAGCAUUUGCUGUGCAUAAGUUGAGCCAGUAUGUGACAGCUCCAACACUCCAGCAUGUUAUGGCUUGUAAAAGAGUUCUUAGAUACCUCAAGGAGACUGCAGAUUAUGGUUUGAAGUUUUCAGCAGGUGGGGAAAUGAAGAUCACAGGAUUUACAGAUGCAGAUUGGGCAUGUGAUGUUGAUGACAGAAAAUCAAUAGGAGCCUAUUGCAUUUAUUUUGGAAGCAAUCUAAUUUCCUGGUCAUCCAAGAAGCAGGCUGUGGUUACACGAUCCAGUGCAGAGAGUGAAUAUCGUGCUCUUGCUUCUGCAAGUGCAGAGAUAACAUGGAUCCAGUCGUUAUUCAAUGAACUUAGCAUUAAGUGUACUUCAUUACCAACUAUCUGGUGUGACAAUAUAAGUGCAACAGAGUUGGCCAAGAAUCCAGUUUAUCAUUCAAGGACUAAACACAUUGAACUGGAUAUGCACUUUAUUAGAGACAAGGUUUUGGCAAAGGAGUUAGAGAUUAACUAUAUUCCCAGCGAGGAGCAAAUUGCUGAUGCUUUGACAAAGCCUCUGACAUUUAUUCAUUUCAACUAUUUCAGAGCCAAACUCAAUGUGCAACCAUGCCCCUUGAGUUUGAGGGGGACUGUCAAGGAAGCUCAUAAUGCAUGGAAGGAUGCAGCACACGUGUGAGAUGAAUAUAGUCAGCUGAAUCAAUUGAAGAGUGGAGUGCCAGCUCAGCUGAAGUUAGUUAGACACGUUAAGAUCAAGUUUUAGUUAGUUCUUCAUUUUCUGUUAAGCUGAAAAACAGCUGAGUAUAAAUACAAGCAUAUUGUAAUCAUUUUGAAGUUAAGUAAAAAUAAAAUAAAGCAUUUGAUUCCAGAAGUUCUUUUACAAAUUUUCUUAGCACUUUAGAUACAUUUUCUCAGUAACCAAACAGUCUGUUCAUUCAAGCUUUUAAGCUUUCAAACAAGUACUUCUAGCAUAGCCGCCGCUACUUGAGCCAUACAGAGCCGCAUGUGCCUCGGUGAAGUUUGUUGACAUAGGCUCGUAGUAUUCAGCUGUAACAACAUGAACCUAAUUCAAGUUUCGUUGCAUCGAUUUCAAAAGGUACGAAUUGUCUGGUGGUAAAUAACGAAAUCUUGCGGUCAGGAUCAGCUGGGAUUGCUGGCGGCCAGAGUUUUUUGCCUCUAAUUGUGUAGCAGCUCGGCACUCGUCAAAGAAUAAACCCGUAUUGGACAUAUCGGUGCUCGUGUUCGGAGCUUUCCAAGCAAAGUCUAGGCCCUGAAAGCCAUAAAGCCUAGCUAUUCUUAUUGAAGAGUCGAUGAAAGAUUUCCUGUGAGAAGAAUUUCUCACCAUUGAAGAAUAUAUAGAAUAGUUUGUAUAUCUUCCUUGUCUAAUGGAGAGAAGUGUAGUGGUUGAUGGGUUCUUUUGUUUCACAGUGCCUGUAAAUUUGGGGAAUAUUUGAUUUCCAUCAAACGGUGAUGAUAAAGAUAGCUGGUAAGUGGUGGAAUUGAUAUCAGCGUAAGAGCAGAUAAGGUGAGUGAAGAGAUCAUAAUUUAUGCCCGAAAUGGUGGACACUUCGCUUGGAUCCAAGUAGCCGACCCUGAUCCACGGUUUUGCUUUCGCGGGAUGAAAUUCUGAAUAGAACAACAUGUGGAAGAUGAUGCUGAUAAUUAUGGAUGCCAUUUGAGAGGCUUAUGCUUCUUAAUUACCACUUCGAUGGGAAUGGAAAUGAAUGCACACUAAUAGAAAUUAAAUAAACACAAGUUUCACAGUUCAUUAAGCUCUCAUGUGUACUAUUAACGUAUAGGUUCAUUUCGUUGCCCAAAAAAAUCUUAUGUGCUCCUGAUAGGGACACAUACAUUGGAUGAUAAGAUGAUGAUAGGCGAUGCGACCAUUGCCCAAGAACUAAGAUUUUCUUCUAUCGCGUGGGUGACUUUUCAUGAAGAAAAAUGAUGUUUUGAUUGACAUAUGGUUAAACCGAUGCCAUAUUUCGGGCUACAAAUAUCAGUAUUGUUUUAUUAAAUAAUUAAAAAAAUUAAUUUUACGUGCAUGUUGAAGGUAAUAUUGCAGUCUUUUGAGCCUGUGUUGAAUUUCAUUCGUGUGCGUUCAUUUAUUAUCUAUCCUCUUUUUUCUCUGUGUGUCUGCUAGCUCUAGUCAUCUUAAAAGAAUAACAUGUUUAAUUAAUGCAUGUAAAUGCACCGCAAAAGUAGUUAAGAAAGACUUGAUCAAAGAUCAGACAUUUUCUCUCUACUCAAAAAGUAGUUAUUGGACUAAUUAAGAUUCUAAUCCCUUUAAGAAAUAUUGAAAAAGGGUUACUGUCACUACUUCAGUCCUUGUUGUUACAUAUAUAUAUAUAUAUAUAUAUAUAUAUAAAUUUAAAGAAGCAUCACAUAAAUCCUUCCUAAUUAUAUUUUGUUUCAUUCAAGUUGUUGACUUAAUUUGUCUGCUUGGAAAAAUUAGUAAAAAGGUAAAAAUAAAAAAAUGUAAAUUCUACUUAUUAGACUAAAUAUAUAGUAUAAAUUUGCAGCAACCAGCAAAAGUUUGGAAUAUGAAAAAUCCUAUUAAUUUUUAAAAAAUCUCCGAAAGUUUGAAAACUAAUAUUUUAAGGUCCUUUUACAAUAACCAUAAUUAACAUGAAUUUACUAAAUUAGGCAAACCCGAAUUACUACCAUAUAAUAAAAUUUUAUAACAGAAAUAAGAAAACAAAACAAAUAGCAUCAAAUCUUAUAUCUAAAAAAAAAUCUUGAAAUAAAUAGAAAAAAUAAGAAAAUAACUAAAACUUGCAAAAUGACCAUGAAAGAAAUGAAAUUUCCGACUGAACCAAAGGGCCAAUACACAUAGCAUUAUUGGACUAGAUCUAUCAUGGUGCAAACUUCAAAACAGUAUAUUAUAUUUUCUAAAUGGACACAUAUAGGUUAAGUUAUGAUAUUAAAAAAUAUCCUAUUCAUCUUACACAACCAUUCUAUGUCACUAUAUCUAUACACUAAUAAUAUAACCCAAACAUUUAUGGAGCAUAACUCACAGACCUCCACUAAUUACACUAAAGUUUACUCUCAUUUUAUAAGAGAGAGAAAUGUUCUCGUUCUCCAUUUAUGGGGGAUUAAACCAAAUGGUCUGUUUUUGAUUUUCUGGUAAGUUGUGUAACGUUGGAGCUUUUUGGCACUUCUUUGACGAAAAGUCGUUCUCUUCGACAACCCAAAAUUCGGGCCAAUGGGCAAUUAUGAAAGUCCAUUGGAUGCAUUGGACCAAACUAAAAGUCCAUAUAUAUAUGUAUAUAUAUAUAUAUAUUCAAUAAAUGAAAUGAAAAAAUGCAAUUGGCUUGCAGUUGCAAAGCUUCUUUGUUUAUUAUUAUAUAAUAUAAUAUAAUAUAAUUUUAUAUCAUUUUGAAUAUCAAAAUUUUAUUUCAAAAUUUAUUUAACACUAGUGUUUAAUAUAAGAUACAAUACUACCAAAAUUCUAUUCAAUAGUUUAUUUAAAAUAGUAUUGACUAUUAAAAAUAAGAAUUUACACUAAUAUUAAAUAUUAAAUUCAACAAUUAGUAACAUUAUUUAAAAUAAUUAUAGUAUUUAAAUGGUUAUUUAUCUUUAUUAAAUAAGAUUUAACAUAAUCCUCUGCGACAUUUUACUAAAUAAAUACAGUACUAUAUAUAAUCCAAUCUAAUCUUAAACAAUAAUCUAUUCUAUUCCUACCUUCCAAAUAUAAACACAAUAGAUAAUGAGAGCAUGAGCUAUGAGAUUAUAAAUCAUGGAUCAAGGGAGUAGAGAUACAGACCUUGAGAUCAUAGAUCGUAGACUAUUAGAGACUAAAGACCGUGGACAAAUCCGAGUACAUUAAAAAAAGGGGAAUUUUAGUCAAAUGUAGAUUGAUAUUAAGGAAUUCAGCAAGCAAGCUACAAGAAUAUCCAAAAGCGUGUAAUUUAUGUUUAAGGAAACAAGUGGAGAUAGAGAUGAAAUUGUAAAUUCAUCCCAAUCUUAAGUGGCUUAAUUCAAGAUGUAUGUUACCUACAAGCACAAUAAUAUGUACACGUUAUGUAUACAUGCAUCACAUACGUGCGUCGAUCAUCGAUGUAAAAGUAACAGUAAAUUUCUAGUAAAACAAACAUCAUUACUUUUAGUAUAAGAUGUAAAAAAUAUCAAUUAAUAACCAUUAGAAAAUAAAAAUUUAUGUAAUUGAUGCAGAUAAAUGGAAUCAAGUAGUAACAUUUCCUUCUCAUUGAAGAGAAAAGAUUAAAAAAAAGAAAAGGGGGGGGGGGGGGGGGGGGGAGGAGCGCAAACAUGACAAUUAUUUUUAUCCGCACGUGCCAUGAUAAUCGAUAAUCCGAUAUACCAACCGCGUCUAAUUGUCUGAAUUCUCAAGCUUAUCAAGCUUGCUCAAUCGCACCGCAGACACUGACCAUGGGAGAUUAAUCACCACUCGCAGUAUUAGGCGCGUGAAGGACACAUUCGCCAAUAAUUUAUAGCGGACAGUAGCAUUCCCGAUGCUGCGCGGAGAAAAAUAGUUGGGCUUGCGAAAGUUAAAUUGACUUGACUCGACAGAGUGAAGAAUGGUGGUGGUUGCUGUUAAGCAGUCGGUACUUCUGGCGACUGCUUGGCUUACACGCAGUUCCCGGGGGUGUCAUUUGACUGUGAAAGAGAAUUUUGGCUUUAUUGAUAUCUUGUUGGAUUUGGAAUUUUGGAUGGCUUCGUGUAGACCAUAAGACACGAUAUCGUUCAUAACACGUUAGCAUUCUUUCUCACGGGAGAAAAACUCGGGUGGGAGCAGAUGUACCAUCUCAACUGCCGUUUAUAAAUGGCUGUCAAAUAAUUAAUCAAAAUUUUAUUAUUUACGGUUAUAAUUGGAAUGAUAAAAAAUCAAUUCGAUGUUAUUCUUUGUGGCUCUGCUUAGAAUACUAAAAAAUCAAAUCGACUUAUUUAUUUUUAUAUUGAUCAUUACAAGUCUCUUGAAUUUUUUACCUACUUCAUUAACUUGUUAUUUUGAGUUGUACGUAACAUGGCUUUUUUUGUUUUUUACUUUACUUUGGUUUUCUUUAUAACCCAUAAAAAUUUUCUUGUUAAGACUGUGUGAACCAAUUGAAACUUCAGAUUCAUACUAGAACUAUGAUGAUUUGAUAAGAGCUUCAAAUUAAAUCCACAGAUUCUAUGAAAAGAAAAGAAAAGAAAAAGUCUUUUAUUGGUAAAAGAAGAAAGCUCUUCGGCACUGAUCCGAAGAAAAAUCAUUCUCCAUACAAUGAGCAAAACAAAGUCCAAUUCGCAUUACAUAGAAGUAAAACCGAAGCAUUGGACUAAAAGCAUACAUUAGUCUUAUUUUUCGUUACUGAUAACAUUUUUUUUCCCUUAUAUUAUCACCUUAAUUAAGAAAAAUAAUAAUUUGUUUAACUAAUUACAAAAAAGGAUGGCUAUAUACAAUAUUCUUGUGUUGGAUGGCCUUAAAAGUCAAUUCUUUUGAAACAGGAAAACUGGUAUCGUUUUUCAAAACACAAAAAUAUUAUGUUAAGAAAAUGAAUGGUCUUUAAGAGUUAUGACAAUGAUAUCAAUAAAAUUACAAAAUCUUAAGAGUUUAUAGAUGUAGUUAGUGAUAUUACAUUACAUUAAUUAAUACAAUGCAAAUUGUUUACUAAUAGAGCCUCAGGAGAGUGAUUCAUUAUUUAGUUGGCCAAUUAAACAACUGCAGCAGUCACUAGCAGCUUGCCAAGAGCUAGCAUAGAUCAAUUGUUCAUCUACCAACCAAUUUUGAAAUUGUUACAUCAUUACUUGAACAUAUUUCCAAUCCAAUCGUGGCUUUGUUUUGUUCAUCUUCAUAAGCUUUGUUUGAGAAACUUGCAGGCUUCUUUGGAGUCAUUAUAUCAGCUGUAUUUUCAUUUUCGAUCAACGAAGAAAUUUCUAGUAUAGAAGGUCUAUUGUUUGGGUUCUCCUGAACACAUAGCAAAGCUACUUGCAGACAUGUCAAUAAUUUCCAUGAGGAAUGCGUAUCAUCUAGUGAUGGAUCCAUUAACUCCGUGCCUUUCCCAUCCUUCCACAACUCGUAUGCCUGAAAACAUCAAAUAUGUUAUUGACUAACAUUCAAUUAAUUAGCACUGUAAUGUUUUGAUUCAGUGAAUAUUAAAAAGGGGGUUAUGAAGAAACUUACAUACUCUACAAGGCUUAGAUUUUCAUUUUGACCAUAUCGAAUGAAAAGUCUUCGCCCACUUAUAAUUUGCAGAAGCAAAACCCCAAAACUGUAGACAUCAGAUUUAGUGGAGUAGAUGCCUCUUCCGACAUAUUCAGGAGGGAUAUAGCCUCUGUAGUAUCAAGUAAUUAUAAAUGUCAGUGUUUGACAUAAAAGAUUAAGUUGAUUGGUAAAGGUUCAACAAUAAUAUUAAAGGCAUGUCAGACAAUAAUAGACAAAUAUACACUUACUGUGUUCCAACAAUUCGAUUUGUGUUUGCUUCAAGAUCAUCUUUCACAAAAAUUCUAGCCAAGCCAAAAUAUGAUAUUUUAGGUGUCAAAUCUUCAUCCAACAAAAUAUUACUAACUUUUAAGUCUCGAUGAAUAAUUGUUAAUCUAGAAUAUUCUUGGAGAUAGAGAAGCCCCUGAAUAAUUCCUUAAAUGAUAUAAAUACGUUUUUUCAAAUCCAAAAUAAGCCUUCGGAUGGGAUCUGCAUCAAAUGUAAACUUAGUUGGACGGUCAGCACCAUUAGCAUUUGGAGACAGAGAAAUGCAAAUUGAGGCACAAAAAUUAGAAAUUAAGCAGUUAAGCACACACCAAAAAGGAAAUAGUCUAAGCUUCGUUUUGGCAUAUACUCAUAGAUGAGCAUAUAUUCUUGCGUGUCGAUGCAAAAACCCAAAACUCUGAUCAAAUUUAUGUGUUGAAGCUUUGCAGUAAGCAUAACCUCAUUCUUGAACUCCUCAAAUCCUUGUGUGGAUGUCUUCGAGAGUUUCUUCACUACUAUUAUUUGUCCAUCAGGUAAUGCACCCUGCAAGCACCCCCCAAAAUAUAUGUUUUUUUAAAAAUCAGUGUGUUCACACACACACACACGUAGCUUGCACUAAUUAAUUAAUAAGCUAAGAGAUAACCAAGCUACCGAUACAUAACCUUGUAAACAGGACCAUAUCCACCCUCCCCGAGCUUAUUUUCGAUUGAAAAUCUAUCCGUGGCCACCUCAAUAUCAGCCAAGCUAUAUUCUCUCAGAUCAGGAUCAUUGCUGUUAAAAUCUCCAGCAUCUGCUUGACUAUUUUCGCUGUCCUUUGAUGCUUUGGCUGAGUCAAUUACGGUCCAAUUAAUAUCAACCAAGAGAAAGAAAGCUAAUUUAAGUGAAUUGCCCACUUCUUCAUCUGUGUUAAAUGGAAUAGAAGUAAAAAUAUUCCUAAUCCCGUGUAGAAGAAGUUACCUUUUAAUUUGAGGUUUUUCAUCCAGCAGUAGUAAUACAGUAAAAAACCAAUUAGAAGAAUACAAGCUGCCGUUAUAGGGAAAACAAUUGCCCAUAAUAGUCGCUUAUUUUGUCGAUUCUUAUUUUCCUCUUGAGCUGAAAAGUCAAAUCACUUUGUGUUAGUUAAACAUUUGAUGGUCAAAUAAAGAUCUUAAUUGAAGUCAUUAUGCAGAGAACUGAUCAAAUGGAUAGCAGGCAGUGACUGAGGCUUUGCAUUUGCUUACCUGCAGCUUGAGAAAGCAUCCAAUAAUGAUCAUAGGAAACUAGCCACACAAAGUAACCACGUAGUUUCUUCUCCUUGGCAUAUGAAACCUUCACUCUAACGGCUUCGACAUCAUCAAAACCAAACCAAAUCUUCCCAAUCGAGAAGUAAUUCAUCACAUAAGUUGAAUUGUACAUAACUUGAACGUUAGGACCAUAGUGCUUGAUGCGAUUCUUGAUUUCCUUAUAAGUCACAAGGCCGCUAGAAUACAAAGCUGGUCCUGUUGCUGCUGCACCAAUACCGUUGUCCUCAGGUUUCACAAGCGUCCAUGCAUAGCCAUAGAAAGGUAAACAUAAAACCAAUUUAUCAGCCGAUAACCCUUCCUCAAUCCAUUCCGUGAUUCCGUAUUCAGUAUUGGAGAUACUAUUUGGAUCAUACAGAGCCGCGUGAGCACCAGUAAAAUUUGACCACAUAGGUUUUGUGUAUUCAGUAGUCAAAACAUGAACCCAAUUCAAGUAUUGACUUAUCGAGUCGACUGGGUAAGCUCCUGCUCUUGAGAAUGGUGAAUAUGCGACCAUUGCCGUCAAAAUCAACUGUGAUUGGCUCGAGUUAUUUCUUGCUUCUAAAUCUACGGCUGCUCGCCACUCUUUAAAGAGAAUGCCAAUAUUGUACUUAUCCCAGCUUGUGUUUGCCUGAGGCCAAGAGAGAUCUAAGCCUUGAAAGCCAUAAAGUCUUCCUAUUUUUAUUGAGGAGUCAAUGAAGGAUUUCCUAGAAGAAGGAUUGCUCGCCAUGGAAGAAUAAGUUGAAUAGUUUGCAUCAUUUCCUCCGAUGGAAAGAAGUGUAGUGAUUGAUGGGUUCUUUAUUUUGACAGUGUCAGUGAAGUUAGAGAAUUGUUUUUCAUCAGAAGGUGAUAAAGAAAGCUCAUAGGAAGUUGAAUUCGUUGAAACAAAAACAAACGUUAUGCCUUUGAUCGUGCAUUUCCAAAUAAACACAUAUUUUAGGUAAUUCCGAAAUUUACCACGAUCUCCCAUGAAUCCGAACUUGCAGCUUGUUAUGGAGCUUCAACAGAGUUGCUGCUGCUUCGGUCUAGCUUCUGAAUUCCGCUUUCUUUUCCUUCAGCUCCAGAUUCGGCUUUUCUCAGUAAGUUACUGUACACACACGGGAGAGAAACGGGAGAGAGAGAGAUGCACUGCACUCAUGCCAGAGAUUUCUUGAACAGUCAACUUCCAAUGGGCUGAAGUUACUUAAAUACAGUGGUUGAGCGCAGGGAACCCUCAUGUGUUAGUACAAAAUUACCCAUCCCAUUAUGGGCUUAAAUAACACAAUUAAGGAUAUACUUGUCCAUAAUAUACUACUGUACAGGGUAUGUCAAAAUUAGACUCAUUAACACCAUAUUUGAUCACUUAAUAAAUGAGUCUGUCAAAAUUGCUCAACAAUAUUUGACUUUAGUCACGUAUUAAUUCGGUAAAAUAUAGAAAAUAAUUAGAAUGAUUUAUGUCAGUCCACAUAAUGUGAGAAAUAAAUCUAACAGAAUUGACAUUAGCAAAACCACAUAUAAGGUGAGUGAAAAGAGCAGAAUUUACAUCUGAAACGGGGAACCCGUUGCCUGAAUCCCAGUAACCAGCUCUGAUUAAAGUUUGUGUUCCUGCAGGAAGCGAUUCUGAAAAUAUAAAAAUGUGGAGGACAAGAAUGAUAAUUUUGGAUGCCAUUGUGGGAACCUAGCUGCUUUGAGGCAUACCUAGUAAGUGAUUACAUAUAUAUGUACACACACAAUGUAAUGGAGAAAAUAUCCGAUAGCGAUUGAGAUUAGUUAUUGGACUAUAAUACAAACCUGAGGCAACUUUCAGCUCAUGAGCUUAUCUCAUAGGUCUUUAUACGAUAUCAAAGUCAAGUUACGAACGAGUGAUUCUAUACUACCUUUUAAUUUAACAAGGAGAAAGAUAAGAGAUCAACCUACACGUGACAGGGUGAUAGAAAAAAUUUAUCACAUUAGCUAAGAUUAAUUACUAUGUUAAUGAUAUAAGCUCAAAACAACACUCAACUCAAUAACAAGUUGUAAUUUAAUAAAGUUAGGUCAACUCGAUAUUUUAUAGAGUAUGUCGUGAGUGAGGAGGAGUUUAAGCAACAAAUCGAGCUCAUGAGUGAGGACACGUUUGAUUUUCACAAGAUUUUGCGUUUUGUGCACGUUGGUCAUGGACUGAAUCAACUUAGAAAAUAUUUUCACAAGAUUUUGCCUUCCAAUUGCAUGGAUGGAGUUAUAGAGGAAUACAUCGAAAAGUUCGUCUUCUUGCCAUGAUGAUAAGUGAAAAGAUUGAGGUUCUUAAAUUAAGCUAUGACCUUUUACCUCCACUUAGCUUGACUUUUGAAGCUGAAGACUCGUUCUUUUGUAUUGACUUUGUUGGUAUUUAAAUGACCUCGGAGUCUUGGACGUGUUUCUGAAGCAAUGUCAUGGUCUAUGAGUAGAUUUUUUUUUUUGGGUAAGAAAGGGAAAGUCUGUCGUUGGGAAAACAUCCUGACAACGGGAUGGUGGGAGGGAAAAAAAAAAAAAAAUUAUACACUUAGGGUCUGUUUGGAAAAAUGAUUAUAGGGUAUUAUAAUACUAUUCAUAUUGACUUAAUAUCAAUACUAUUCACAUCGAGUUUAGCUUAAUGUGGUAGUUGCCGCAUUAACGUUUUGCUUUUGUUUUUUUUUUUUUACUUUUGCUUUUUAAUAAUAAUAAAUAAUUAUAACUUUUUAAUUUAAUAUAUUAUUAUAUAAUAUCAAUUAUUAUUUUUUAUUUUUACCUCAAAAUUAUUAAAAUAAAUUAAUAAUUUUAUAAUUUAUUAUUCAUAUUUUAAUUUUUAUUAUAUUAAAAAUAUAACUAAAUAAUGUAUUAUUUAAUUAUAUAAUAAUUAAUAUAUAAAAUUAAUUAAUAUUUAAUAAGUUAAUAUAACUAACAAUAAGUACUUAAAUAAUAUAUAAAAAUUGAUUAUUAUUUAGAAAUUUAAUAUAACUAACAAUAAAUAUUUAUAUAUGAAUAAAUUUAAAUAAUAUUAAUUUAAAAUUAAUAUCAACAAAAAUAAUAACGUAAAAUAUCAUUAUGUUAUGAUAUUAUUUAGAGAUUAUUUGAUUAAAUUAUUUACUUCGAUCUUUAUUUCACAUGUUAUAUAUUUAGAAAAUACUGAAAAAUAAAUGUUAUGCUGCCGAAAAUAUAAGGCUAUAAGUUUCGAUCUUUACAAAAAAUUGUGAUGCUUUUUAACAUUUAUACUAAAAAAUAAUGUUAAAUUUCUAAAAUUUAAGACUUAUAUAUUUAGUAGUUUUCUAGGUACUAUAAAUAUUAUUUCCUAAAUAUAUAAUUUAAGUUAAUCACAAAAAAUUAAUACAAUAUAGUGUAGCAUCAAACGUUGUAUAACAUUAUUAUAAUAUAGUGCUAAUACAAUACAGCAUAAUGCAAUACACAUCCAUUAAAAUAAUAUAACAUAGUGUGCUAAACUCACCAUUAAUUACUUCCUAAUGUUAAAAUUCAGUAGUAUUGUAAUUUUAAUAAAAAAUUGAGACCCUUUUAUCAUUUAGAUGUAAUAUACUUACAUUGUUCCCACAACUUGUUUUGUAUUCGCUUCGAGACUCUUUUGCAAAAAUCCUAACCAUACCAAAAUCUGAAAUUUUAGGUUUCAUAUCUUGACCUAACAAAAUAUUACUAGCUUUCAAAUCUCGAUGGAUAAUAGUCAGUCUUGAGUAUUCUUUGAGGUAUAAAAACCUUUGAGUCAUCCCUUCAAUGAUAUGAACACGUUUUUUCCAAUCCAAAAUAAACCUUCUGAUGGGAUCUACAACAGAUAUAUAGUUUUAGACAAUAAGUGAUAUGCAAAUGAAUUAUAUACACAAUUAAUAUUAACUUGAUUUCAGAACAAACCAAAAAGGUAGCAAUCCAAGCUUUGUUUGGCAUGUACUCGUAGACUAGCAUUCGUUCCUCACUGUCAAUGCAAAAACCUAAAACUCUAAUAAGAUUUACAUGUUGGAGUUUUGCAGUAAGUAUAAUCUCAUUCUUAAACUCCUCAAAUCCCUGUGUGGAUGCUUUCGAAAGUUUCUUCAUUGCUAUCACCUCUCCGCAGGGUAGUAUACCCUGCAACCAAAAAACAAAUGUUCAUAUAAAGCUUGCACUAAUUAAAUAAGUUGAGAAAUGUUUGCCAAACAAUAUGUUUCCCUCCAAAGUUGAGGGCACCAUUUUAAGUCCUUUAAGUCCCCAUAGACGCAUGAAUCUCCUCUCAGAAAAUAUGGAUAUGGGUAGACAUAUCUUCCUAAAUAUUAGUAGAAGUAGUUAUAUCUCUCUAGUGCGAGGUCAGAGGUCUCAUGUCUAAUAGGUAUAGAUUUUUAAAUUAUAUGUUUUGGGCCUCUGAAUUUUACUCUAAGUGUAUGAAUUCAAAGUUCCGACAGAAUCCAAAUUGUAACAUUUGUGGAUUUUGUGUGUGUGUGUGUGUUAACUUGUAAACAGGACCAUAUCCACCUUCCCCUAGCUUAUUUCUAACUGAAAAUCCCUCGGUGGCCGCCUCAAUAUCAGCCAAACUAUAUACUCUGAGGUUAGGAACAUUUCUGUUAAAGUCUCCAGCUUCUGCUUCAUCAUUUGCUCUCGUGUUUGACGCUUUAGCAGAGUCCUCUGUUCCUAACAUCAACCAAGAGUAAAUAUUAGAUAAUUAAUUAAAUUUCAGUCUCAGUUACAUGUAUAUGAGUGAAAUACAUACUUAAUUAUAAUUAAUAACUGAAACUUGUUACCUUCAAUUAAGUUGAGCCUUUUCAUCCUGUUGUAUUUAUAUGCACAAAAGCCUAGAAGGAGAGUCAAAGCUGCCGCAGCAGUCGAAAUGAGGACCAAGGACAGACGCCGGUUAUUACUAUGUUCAUCUUUGUCAGCUGAAGCAGAAGUAAUCCUGUCUUUUUGUGCUGGAAAUAUGUAUAGUUCACCAAUUAAUAAUAACUAGCUAGAGAUGCCAUAACAAUCAUUAUUAAUCAGAGAGAACAAUUAUUGCAUAGAUAAAUACCUGCAGCUUGAGAAAGCACCCAAUUAUGAUCAUCAUAAUCCACUCGCCACACAUAGUAACCAAGCAAUCUCUUCUCUUUGGCAUAGGCGAUCUUAGCUCUAACAGCCUCCACAUCAUCAAAACCAAACCAAACCGCCCCAGUGGAGAAGUAAUUCACCACAUAAGUUGAAUUGUACAUAACUUGAACAUUAGGAGCAUAGUUCUUGAUGUGAUUCUUGAUAGUCCUAUAGGUCACAAGGCCAUCAUUAGUCAAAGCUGGUCCUGCUGCUGCUGCUCCAAUACCAUUGUCUUCAGGUUUCACAAGCCUCCAUGCAUAGCCAUAGAAAGGCAAAGACAUAGCCAACUUAUCAGCCGAUAGCCCUCUCUCAAUCCAUGCCUUUAAAACCUGAUCGGUACUUUUAGCAAAGCCGCCGCUACUUGAGCCAUGGAGAGCCGCAGGUGGCGCAGUGAAGUUUGUUGACAAAGGCUCGUAGUAGUGUUCAGUAGCAACAUGAACCCAAUUCAAGUUUCGUUGCAUCGAAUUCACAAGGUACGAAUUGUCUGGUGGUGAAUAAUGAAACCUUGCGGUCAGGAUCAGCUGGGAUUGCUGGCGGUUAGAGCUUUUUGCCUCUAAUUUUGUGGCAGCAGCUCGCCACUCGUCGAAAAGUAAACCAAUAUUGAGCAUAUCGGUGCUUGUGUUAGGAGAUGUCCAAGCAAAGUCUAGGCCCUUAAAGCCAUAAAGCCUAGCUAUUCUUAUUGAAGAGUCGAUGAAAGAUUUCCUGUGAGAAGAAUUUCUCACCAUUGAAGAAUAUAUAGAAUAGUUUGUAUUUCUUCCUUGUCCAAUGGAGAGAAGUGCAGUGAUUGAUGGGUUCUUUUGUUUCAUUUGUUUCACAGUGCCUGUAAAUUUGGGGAAUAUUUGAUUUCCAUCAAAUGGUGAUGAUAAAGAUAGCUGGUAUGUGGUGGAAUUGAUAUCAGCAGAAGAGCAAAUAAGGUGAGUGAAGAGAUCAUAAUUUAUGCCCGAAAUGGCGGAAACAUCGCCUGAAUACAAGUAACCGACCCUGAUCCACGGUUUUGCUUUCGCGGGAUGAAAUUCUGAAUAGAAAAACAUGUGGAAGAUGAUGCUGAUAAUUAUGGAUGCCAUUUGAGAGGCUUAAGCUUCUUAAUUAUUACCACUUCGAAGGGAAUGGAAAUGAAUGCACACUAAGAGAAAUUAAAUAAACACAAGUUUCACAGUUCAUUAAGUUCUUAUGUGUACUAUUAACGUAUAGGUUCAUUUCGUUGCCCAAAAAAAAUCUUAUGUACUCCUGAUAGGGACACACACAUUGCAUGUUAAGAUGAUGAUAGGCGAUGCGACCAUUGCCUAAGAACUAAGAUUUUCUUCUAUCGCCUGGGUGACUUUUCAUGAAGAAAAAUAAUGUUUUGAUUGACAUUUGGUUAAACUGAUGACAUAUUUCGGGCUACAAAUAUCAGUAUUGUUUUAUUAAAUAAUAAAAAUAAUAAUUUUACGUGCAUGUUGAAGGUUAUAUUGCAGUCUUUUGAGCCUGUGUUGAAUUUCAUUCGUGUGCGUUCAUUUAUUAUCCAUCCCCUUUUUUCUCUGAGUCUGCUAGCCGUAGUCAUCUUAAAAGGAUAACAUGUUUAAUGCGUGUAAAUGCACCUCAUAAGUAGUUAAGAAAGAUUUGACCAAACCAGAUAAUUUUCCUCUUAACACAGAAGUAGUUAUCGGACUAAUUAAGAUUCUAAUCCAUUUAAGAAAUAUUCAAAAAGGGUUAUUGUCACUACUUUAGUCCUUGUUGUUUUAUUAAAGAAAAAAAAAAGAUAUUUAAAGAAGCAUCACAUAAAUCCUUCCUAAUUACAUUUUGUUUCAUUCAAGUUCUUGACUUAAUUUGACUGCUUGGAAAAAUUAGUAAAAAGGUAAAAAUGAAAAAAAAAAUGUAAAUUCCAGUUAUUAGACUAAAUAUAUAUAAAUUUGCAACAAGUAGCAAAAGUUUAGAAUAUGAAAAACCCUAUUUUGUUUACGAAAUAAAGGAAAUUCGAAUCAUUUUCAAAAAAAAAAUCUCUAAAAGUUUGAAAACUAAGAUUUUAAGGUCCUUCUAGACUAACCAUAAAUAACAUGAAUUUACCAAAUUAAGCAAACUCGAAUUAUUAUUACACAAUAAAAUUUUACUAAUGGAAAUAAGAAAACAAAAUAAAUAACACUCAAAUUCGAUGUCUAAAAAACAAAGAUAAAAAUCAUGAGAGCAAUAGAAAAAAAAUAAAAUAAACUAAAACUUGCAAAAUGACCAUGAAAGAAAUAAAUUUUUUUGCUGAACCAAGGGGCCGAUACAUAUAGCCUUAUUGUACUAGAUUCAUCUCACUGCAAGUUUCAAAACAAUAUAUUAUAUGUCUUAAACAAACUCUUGUAAAUUAAGUUAUGACCUUAAAAAAUAUCCUACUCAUCUUACAUAAAUAUCCUAUGUCACUAUAUAGCUAUACAAUAAUAAUAUAAUCCAAACACUUAUGGAGCAUAACUCACGCACCUCCAUUAAUAACCGUGAAAUUUACUCACAUUUUAUAAGAGAGAGGAAUGUUCUCAUUUAUUGGGGAUUAAACCAAAUAGUCUAUCUUCGAUAUUUCUGCUAGGUUGUGUCAGGUUGGGCUUUUUAGAAUUUCUUUGACGAAAAGUCAUUCUCUUCAACAGCCAAAUCUUGGGCCAGUGGGCAAUUAUGAAAGUCCAUUGGAUGCAUUGGACCAAACUAAACGUACAAUUUUUUUUUUCUUACAAAAAAAAAAUUAGAGUUGGACUAUUGACACCCCUCUCAUCUCCUCAUAAAACCCCCUUUUUAGUUAUAUUUAUUUUAUUUUAGAAAAUGCCCUUUUUUAGAUACACGUUUCUAAGUUUUUAAUUUUCAUUUGAUUUGUUUUAUUGUUAAAACUCAAAGUAUUAUUGUGUUAUUUUUUAAUUAUUUUCAAUUUUAUUAUUAAUCUACAUACAAAUUAAAAAUUUAUAUGGGUGAUAAGUUUUUUAGUGUUAAUCAUUGGUUGAAAUAACACAUAUUUCAAAUUAUAAUUUCAAAGCAAUUUUAAGUAUAAAAAUAUUUAAUCAAUAAGAAAUCAAAAGAGAAUAAUAGAUUAUUCUAAAUUUGUACAAUUUAUUUUAGUUAAAUAGGAAGUAAAAUAUAAAUUUUUUUAAAAAAUGAUUGAUUAUGAAUUAAGUAAUUUGCUGGGAAAAAAAAUCUAUAUAUGUUUAAUUUUCAAUUGUCUUUAAUUGUAAUUUUAUUUAAAGUGGUGUUUUGUAAGAAUAAUGUAGGGGUGCCAAUAGCUCCACUCAAAAAAUUAUAUCUAUAUAUUCUCUUCAACAACCUAAAACUGGGCCAAUGGGCAAUUAUGAAGUCCAUUGGAUGUAUUGCACCAAACUAAAAGUCCAAUUUUUUUUAUUACUACAAUAUAUAUAUAUAUAUAUAGUAGUUUUCUAAUUAGGGAUUCCUGACUUUAAUAAAGUCAUGGAUCAGCUAAAAGACAAAUAUACAGUGCAUUGGAGUCUGUGUUUAUUUUGUCUUUUAGCUAAUUCCUGAUUUUAUUAAAGUCAGGGAUCCCUGAUUGGAAAACUACUAUAUAUAUAUAUAAACAAAUGUUUUAAUUUAGAAUUUUAAAGUGCGGGAUAGUAUAUAUAUAUAUAUAUAUAAACAAAUGUUUUAAUUUAGAAUUUUAAAGUGCGGGAUAGUCUGGAAUAUGCAGUUUUAAAAACUUAAAACUGUAAGCCUUUAAAACCAUACAAUUUUAAAUUUUUCUCAAAUUUUCUCGUACUUUAAAAUUUCAUACUAAAAAACUACUACAUAUAUCAAUAAAUGAAAUGACACAAUACAGUUGGCUUGCCGUUGCAAAGCCUCUUUGUUUGUUAUUAUUUAUUGGCUUAUUGCAAUAAAGACUAAAGAGAGCUUUGAGCCAUGCAGCAUGGGAAGCUACAUUAAAAAAUAAAAGAAUUUAAAGCUUCAAGGGCAUAAAGCGUGCCCACCCAAUUAAAUUUUUCUUUAAAAAAGAAAAAAAAAGGCUGCAAUUGCAAUGACUUGAAUUUAUCAUCAAUUCUGGCUUAAUUUGCCCCCGUCAUUUUUUCAAGGAGAAUGUCCAACUCAAUUGUGACGGCUACUGCUUCAAUUUUAAUUUUAUUUUUCUCAAGAAUAGUCAUUUUCAUCCACCAUAUUCCUGCAUCCUGAUGCGUCCUUAUUGCUUAUAUUAUUAUAGACCACUUUUGGAAGCAUAACAAAUUUUGCACACAUGGUAUCCAUCUUGCGGACCCAAAUGUUGAUGAUAUACUUGCAUGCUGCAAAAUAAGCCCUUUUAAUAACUUAUCAUCUGGUAAAUGAUAGUUUAUUUAUUUAUUACAUAACAAAUAUGUUAUGCCAUAUGCCACCUAUUAGUGAAAGAUGUUUAAAUAACUACUCUUGUAGUAAACUCCUGAAUGAUGGCAAGUUAGAUUUAUACUUAAUGCACUAACUUCGAUAUUAUUUUUUUUUUACAUGGUAAUUAUUUUCUUCUCGCUAGGAAGUUGCAAUGAUUGAUAAUAAGGGAGCAUUUUGCUUUAUAUACAAUCCUUAAUAGAAGAUUUUCUAGAGAUGUUUAUUAUUAUUAUUAUUAUUAUUAAUCCCGCGUUGGUCAGGAUUUGAUUACUAUAAUAUUGACGAUUCGAUUUCUAACAAUUUUGUUUAUUAUAAAAUUAAAACAAAUGAGUAGUCAUCUAGAAAAUCAUAAUCUCUUUAAAGGCAUCAAAAGGCAAUGGCAAUGUAAAGUGAAUGUGCAUGAAUCUAUUAGUAACAUGUUUGCACGUGUAUUAAUCUUAAAAUAGUCAGUCUUGAAUAUUCCUGGAGGUAUAAAAGCCCUUGAGUUAUCCCUUCAAUGAUAUGAACACGUUUUUUCCAAUCCAAAAUAAGUCUUCUGAUGGGAUCUACAACAAAUAUAUAGUUUUGGACAAUAAGUGAUAUGCAAAUGAAUUUUAUACACAAUUAAUAUUAACUUGAUUUCAGAACAAACCAAAAAGGUAGCAAUCCAAGCUUUUGUUUGGCAUGUAUUCGUAGACCAGCAUCCGUUCCUCACUGUCAAUGCAAAAACCUAAAACUCUAAUAAGAUUUACAUGUUGGAGUUUUGCAGUAAGAAUAACCUCAUUCUUAAACUCCUCAAAUCCCUGUGCGGAUGAUUUCGAAAGUUUCUUCACUGCUAUCACCACUCCACAGGGUAAUACACCCUGCAACCCAAAAAAAAAACCACGUUCAUAUAAAGCUUUCACUAAUUAGAGACGCUGAGAAAUGUUAGCCAAACAAUAUGCUACCCCCCAAAGUUGAGGGCACCAUUUUAAGUCCUUUAAGUCCCCAUGGACGCAAAAUGUAAAUCUCCUCUCACAGAAUAUGGAUAUGGGUAGAGGUAUCUUCCUCAAAUGUUAGUCGAAGUAGUUAUAUCCCUCUAGUGUGAGGUUAGAGGUCUCAUCUCUAAUAGGCAUAGAGUUUUAAAUUAUAUGUUUUGGGCCUCUGAAUUCUACGACGAGUGUACAAAUUCAAACUUCCGAUAGGAUCCAAAUUGCAACAUUGUGGAUUGUAACAAAUUAAAAUAUAGGUACACACACACACACAUGUUACCUUGUAAACAGGACCAUAUCCACCCUCCCCAAGGUUAUUUCUAAUUGAAAAUCCCUCGGUGGCCGCCUCAAUAUCAGCCAAACUAUAUACUCUGAGAUUAGGAACAUUUCUGUUAAAGUCUCCAGCUUCUGUUUCAUUAUUUUCUCUCGUGUUUGAUGCUUUAGCAGAAUCCUCUGUUCCUAACAUCAACCAAGAGUAAAUAUUAGAUAAUUAAUUGUAUGUCAGCCUAAGUUUUAUAUAUAUAUGAAAUGCAUGCUUAAUUAUAAUUGGUAGCUGAAGCUUGUUACCUUCUAUUAACUUGAGCCUUUUCAUCUGGUUGUAUUUAUAUGCACAACAACUUAGAAGGAGAGUCAAAGCUGCCGCUGCAGUCGAAAUGAGUACCAAGGACAGAUGGCGGUUAUUACUAUGUUCAUCUUUGUCAGCUGAAGCAGAAGUAAUGCUGUCUUUUUGUGCAGGAAAUAUGUAUAGUUCACCAAUUAAUAAUAACUAGCUAGAGAUGCCAUAAAAAUCAAUAUUUAUUGGAGAGAACAAUUAUUGCAUAUAUAAAUACCUGCAGCUUGAGAAAGCACCCAAUUAUGAUCAUCACAAUCAACUCGCCACACAUAGUAACCAAGCAAUCUCUUCUCUUUGGCAUAGGCAAUCUUAGUUCUAACAGCCUCCACGUCAUCAAAGCCAAACCAAAUCGUCCGAAUCGAGCAGUAAUUCACCUCAUAAGUUGAAUUGUACAUAACUUGGACAUCAGGACCAUAGUCCUUGAUGUGAUUCUUGAUUUCCUUAUAAGUCGCAAGGCCGCUAUCAUACAAAGCUGGUCCUGUUGCUGCUGCACCAAUACCAUUGUCUUCAGGUUUCACAAGCCUCCAUGCAUAGCCAUAGAAAGGCAAACACAUAACCAACUUAUCUGCCGAUAAUCCUCUCUCAAUCCAUGCCUUUAAAACCUGAUCGGUACAUCUAGCAAAGCCGCCGCUACUUGAGCCAUAGAGAGCCGCAGGUGGCGCCGUGAAGUUUGUUGACAUAGGCUCGCAGUAGCUAGCAGUAACCGCAUGAACCCAAUUCAAGUUUCGUUGUAUCGAAUUCAAAAGAUAUGAAUUCGCUGGUGGUGAAUAACGAAAUCUUGCGGUCAAAAUCAGCGGGGAUUGCUGGCGACUAGAGUUUUUUGCCUCUAAUUUUGUAGCAGCAAUUCGCCACUCGUCAAAAAGUAAACCAAUAUUGAACAUAUCGGUGCUUGUUUUAGGAGCUGUCCAAGAAAAGUCUAGGCCCUGAAAGCCAUAAAGCCUAGCUAUUCUUAUUGAAGAGUCGAUGAAAGAUUUUCUGUGAGAAGGAUUUCUCACCAUUGAAGAAUAAAUAGAAUAGUUUGUAUCCUUUCCUUGUCCAAUGGAGAGAAGUAUAGUGAUUGAUGGGUUCUUUUUUUUCACGGUGUCUGCGAAUUUGGCGAUUUGAUUUUCAUCGGAUGGUAAUGAUAAAGAUAGCUGGUAAGUGGUGGAAUUGAUAUCAGCAGAAGAGCAAAUAAGGUGAGUGAAGAGAUCAUAAUUUAUGCCCGAAAUGGUGGACACGUCGCUUAGAUCCAAGUGACCGACCCUAAUCCACGGUUUUGCUUUCGCGGGAUGAAGUUCUGAAUAGCAACGUGUGGAAGAUGAUGCUGAUAAUUAUGGAUGCCAUUUGAGACUUUGUUAGGAAUGGAAAUGGAUCCGCAGAAGAGAAAUUAGAUAAACACUAGUUUCACAGUUCAUUUAAGUUCUUAUGUAAACUAUUAACGUAGAGGUUCAUUUCGUUCAGAAAAAAAUCUUAUGCGCUCCUGGAUAGGCACAUACAUUGCAUGUUAAGAUGAUGAUAGGCGAUGCGACCAUUGCCUAAGAACUAAGAUUUUCUUCCGUCGCUUGGGUUGGCUGACUUUCCAUGAAGAAAAAUGAUGUUUUGAUUGACAUUUGGUUUAACUGAUGACAAAUUUCAGGCUAUAAAUAUCAGUAUUGUUUUAUUAAAUAAUAAAAUAUAAUAAUUUUACAUGUACGUUGAAAGUUAAUAACUUAAUAUUGCAGUCUUUUGAGACUGUGUUGACGUUUAUUCGGGUGCAUUCGUUUAUUAUAUAUUCCCGUUUUUCUCCCUGUGUGUUUGCUACAGUGCUCUUAAAAGAAUAACAUGUUUUUUUUCGACAAUAAAAGAAUAACAUGUUUAAAGCAUGUAAAUGCACCUCAGAAGUAGUUAAGAAAGACUUGAUAAAAAACCAGACAUUUUCUCUCUACUCAAAAAGUAGUUAAGACUGUAUGAACCAAUUAAAACGUCAGAUUCAUACUAUAACUAUGAUGAUUCAAUAAGACCUUCAAACUAAAUCCACAGAUUCCAUGAGUAAGAAACAAUGGAUCACAUUUUUUUAAGUUUAUGCUUUGAGUAAAAUAAAAGUAGAAACAUGAAUUUGAAAGAAGCAAUUUAGUUAUAAAAAAUUGUCAAGUAAUUAAUUGUUUGGCAUUUAUUUUAUGGGUCCCAACCCAUGUGAUCCGUAAAAUGAGACACCUUAUGUGAUUGGGUGCGCCAUGGUGCGCUAACCUCAUAUAAGCUUCUCUCUUCUUACGGAUAUAACUGUAUAUGGGUGGCAUUAUGUAGUGCCCCACAUGGGCUCUUUAAAAUUAUUUUAUGUGCAUUUUAAACAUUCCCUCGUUAUUGAUUUGAAACACUAAAAAUGCCUCUCUUAAAUUUUAAAAAUAUAUAAAAAAAAUUGCGUGUUUAAAGAAUGCUUGAUGUCUCUAGCCUAACAGUUAGCACACCUAUUGUAUACACUUUUACUUUUUUCUUCUCUAAACUUUCACUCCUCUUUUCUCUGAUUCUUCACACUUCACUGAUCUUUUAUCUCUAAAAAAAUUAAACUGUCUCUAGAAGCUUAUUACUAAUUUUCUGAUCUAAUUAUUUACAUAAGUAUUCUUGAUUGAUUAUCACUUCUUUAAUUUUUUGAGGGGGAUUUCUCUUGGAUGAAAGAAUUAAGGUUAUGUUCUAAGAAAAUUUUAACUCCCAUGUUAUAGUUUUGAUAAUGAGAUUAUCCUUAAAUUUUCAAUAUAUGAAAAUACUUCGAAACAACUAUUAAUUCGUUGAAUGAAACAUCCUAAUGAACUUAGAUUUUGGUACUUAUUAUUUAUUGAACUUUUUCUUUUAAAUUACAUUACUAUUUGAAGUGUGGCGGUAUAUGGUCUCUAGUCCAAAUGACGAAAUCAAAUCACCAUGUGCAUUAGUGUUUUGUUUGUGUGGUUGGAGGGGGGGGGGGGGGGGCGGUGUUUUUUAUUGGUGCAGGAAGAAAGCUCUUCAGGACUACUCGGAAAAAUAUAUAUAUAUAUAUGAGCAACACAUAGUCCAUUUCGCAUUGCAUAGAAGUAAAACCGAAGCAUUACACAAAAAGCACACGUUAUUUAUAUUUUUAGUUAUUGAUAAGAAAAUUUUUUCCCUCUUAUUAUCAUCUUAAUUAAGAAAAAUAGUAAUUCGUUUAACUGUUUGCGAAAAAUGAUGGCAAUAUACAAUAAUAUUGUGUUGAUGACCUUGAAAGCUAAUUCUUUUGAAACAGGAAAACUGGUAUCGUAUUCAAAACACAUAAAAGACGUAUCCAAGCUUUUAAUGUGAUCUAAAGAUCUCAUAGCUACAUUCGAAAUUAAUAAAUGAUCCCUAAGAGUUACGAAACUGAUAUCAAUGAAAUUACAAACUCUUAAGAGUUUAUAGAACAUUAAUUGAUCCAAAUCCAAUACAAACUGCUUACUAGUACAGCCUCAAGAGAGCCAUUUAUUUUUCAGUAGGCAAAUUAAGCAACUGCAGCAGUCACUAGCAGCUUGCCAAGAGCUAGCAUAGAUCAAUUGUUCAUCUUCAUAAGCUUUCUUUGAGAAAGUUUCAAGCUUCUUUGGAGUCAUUAUAUCGGCUGUGUUCUCGUUUUUGAGCAUCGAAUAAACUUCCAGCAUAGAAGGUCUACCGUUUGGGUUCUCCUGAACACAUAACAAAGCUAUUUGCAGACAUGUCAAUAAUUUCCAUGAGGAAUGCGCAUCAUCUAGUGAUGGAUCCAUUAACUUUAUGCCUUUCCCAUCCUUCCACAACUUGUAGGACUGAAAACAUCAAAUAUGUUAUUGAGUUACAUUCAAUUAAAUAGCACUAUAAAGUUUUGACCAAUUGUGCAUUAUAAAGGGGGUUAUACAGAAACUUACAUAGUGUACAAGGCUUAAAUUUUCAUUAUGACCAUAUUAAAUAAAAAAUCUCCUUCCAUUUAUAAUUUGCAAAAGUAAAAUCUCAAAACUGUAGACAUCAUAUUUAGUAGAGUAGAUGCCUCUUCUACAUACCCAGGAGGGAUGUAGCCAUUGUGGUACCGAUUAAUUACAAACGUCAUUGAAAUUGUUUGACCUAAAAGAUUAAGUUGAUUGGUAAAUGUUUAACAAUAGUAUUAAAGAUAAGUCGAAGAAAAUAGACAUAUAUAUACUUACUGUGUUCCAACAAUUCGAUUUGUGUUUGCUUCAAGAUCAUCUUUCACAAAAAUUCUAACGAAGUCAAAAUCUGAUAUUUUUGGUUUCAAAUCUUCAUCCAACAAAAUGUUACUAGCUUUCAAGUCUUAAUGAAUAACUAUUAAUCUAGAAUAUUCUUGAAGAUAGAAAAGCCCUUGAGUAAUUCCUUAAAUGAUAUGAAUGCAUUUUUUCCAAUCCAAAAUAAACCUUCGGAUGGGAUCUACAUCAAAUAUAAGUAUAGUUGGACGGUCUGUAGCAUUAGCAUUUAGAAAUGAGAAAUGCAAAUAAAGGAUUUCGUAAAUGAAGAAUUGCUCGCUGGAAGAAUAAGUUGAAUAAUCUGCAUUUCCUCCUCCGAUGGAAAGAAGGGUAGUGAUUGUUAGGUUCUUUGUUUUCAUAGUGUGUGUGAAGUUGAAGAAUUGUUCCUCAUCAGAAGAUGACAAAGAAAGUUUGUAGGACGUUGGAUCGACAUAAGCGAAACCACAAAUAAGGUGAGUGAAGAGAGCACAUUAUUUAUAUCUAAAAUGGGGAAGCCAGGCCUGGUUCCCAAAUACUAGCUCUGAUUAAAGUUUUUGCUUUUGCAGGAAGCGAUUCUGAAAAUAUAAAAAUCUGGAGGACCUAAGUGACAAAUUUGGAUGCCAUUUUGGAAAGCCAGCUGCCUGAAACAUGCCCAGUCUGUAUGUGUUUUUAUACACACACACAGAAAUUAUCCUAUAUUGACCGAGAUUAGUUAUGGUCCUAAAUAAUAUAUGUUUUAAGCAACCCUUAACCCAUGAGUUAAAGUUUAUAAACAGUAUCAGAGUCAGGUUAUGGACAAAUGCGCUUAUAUUACCAGACUAAAAUAUCAGCGUGCAUUUGAUGGAAUGAUAGGAAAAAUAUCCCACCUUAGUUAAGAUUAGUUACUAAGUUAAUAAUAUAAGAUUAAGGCAAUCUUCCACUCAUAUAACGCAAGAGUAUGAAUCACAAUUUAAUAAAACUAGGUCAAUUCGAUUUUUUAUAAAGAUAUAUGAGCUACAACUUGAGGUCGCUCACGAGUGGGGACGAGUUAGAUUAAGGCAAUCUUCAACUCAUAUAAUGUUGAUCAUGGACCGAAUCAACAUAGGAAACAAAAGUCGAGGAAGUUGAAUCUCCUUGCCUUCAAGUUGCAUGGAUGGGAGUCAUACAACGAAAAGGUUGUCUUCGUUCAAUGACGAUCGGCUUGAAGUUCUUAAAUUAAGCUACGGCGUUUGCCUCCACUUAGCUUGACUUCUGAAGCUGGAGACUCUUCCUUUUGUAUUGGCUUCGUUGGUACUUAAAUUACCUCGGAGUCUCGGAUGUGUUUCUGAAGCCAUGUCAUUGUCUACGAGUAGAAUUUUUUUUUUUUUUUUUUUUUUUGGGGGGAAGAAAGAGGAAGUCUAUCGGAAAAGUAGUAAAAUGAUAUUUUUUGUAAAGAUAUAGUAGGAAAAUGAUAGGGAGCAAUACUUCUUGUAGUCAUUUGAUAUUUGUCAAAUUUUAAAGUAGUGAAAUGAUAAUAACCCAAAAAAAAAAACAAAACGUUUUUCAAUCAAAAACAAAAAUAAAGAAAUAAAUAGACAAUCCCAUGUAUAAAAAGCUAACCGGGAAUGGUGAAGACGACACUGACAUCCUCCGUUUCUCUAUUAAGCUACUUCAAGUGUUUAAGGUUUUUGAUAAUUAUAGAAAUUAAGAAAUAACAUGAAGAAGAAUGAUCAAUUAGGGGAAGUGAUUGAAGUUGAUGUGGGUUUGGACGGUGGAUGAUGAAAGCUGACUUUGUUUUGUUAUGUAAAAUCAACGGUGCCCAAAAGGCUGUUCUGACGCAGAUGCUUCACUUCCUUGCAUACUGCUGUAGAAAAAAAUGGUUUUUUUCUAUCUAAAGGUUAAUAGUUUAGUUUGGUGAAAAAGAAUUUUAAGUACAGUAAAAUUUUUAUAAAUUAAUAAUUUUCUAUCAUAUAAAAUUUAUUAAUUUAAAAGAAGUAUUAAUUAAUCUAUAUUAAUAAUUUAUCAAUUUAUAAAGUGUAUAUACAAUUCGAUAAACAUACAUUUUAAUCAAUUAAAAUUCAUUGUAUUUUACCAAUCUAAUAAAUUAAAAAUGAAUUAAUCUACUAAAUAUAAAUUAAAUUAAUAAAAAAAUUUAUAAUUCUUACAAUUUCAAAAUUCAACCCUUAAACUUCUAGAAGUGAUACGCAUAGCAUUACUCAAUUUAAAUUCAACCCUUAAAAUCAUGGCAAGAGAAUAGUGAAGAAAAAAGAAAAGAAAAGGAAAAAACAAACUCACAAACACUUAGUUAUCGACCUCUAUGGCCUAUGCCACUGGCCUGUAGAACUAACUCCCUCAGAAAUGAUUUCAAGUUCCUGUAAUUUUCUGUAUAAAAUGAGAGCAUUUUCCUCUUUAAAGCAGGGGCAGUAACAGUGUCACAAUAGAAAGCAUUCUGAUGGUAAGAUUAAGUAGUAUUGUGAUUUUAAUUGGGGGGAAAAUGUCCCAUACGCUUAUUUCCUUAUGUGAUUUAGAUUCAAGUCAAGACGACCCUCCAUUUUAGUAUAAAAGUCUAUACAAAUGUACGUUUUACUCAAUGUUUACGUAGAAACAAAUGAUUUGCUGAUUUAGUACCACUCUUGUUUACUGGGUGGGAUUUGGCUCCUCCAAAUUUGUAGCCAAUAUUUUACUUUGAUGAGAAAAUCAAAUAACGUUUCAACAAAUAAUUUUUCUUUUCUACGUACUUUCUUAAAACGUAUGGAGUGAGUAAAGUACAAAUUGAUUUUUUAGCCCUUUGACUCUUCCAUAUUCAAACUCAAAUUAGUGGUCUGUUAAAUAUUGCUACUUAAAAUCAUUCAGCCAAAUAUUGUAAAAACUAUAAUUUCACAAAGUCAAAGUUUCAUUGAUUAUUGAAUUGUAGAGUGUGCUAUCAUUUCCUAGCUAAAAAUUUGUUUAGUUCUAUUAAGUUUCAAUCAUUUUUUAUUUUAUUUAAUUAAUUAAAGUGAAUUUAUUAUGUAUAAAUGCUAUUUAUGUGAAAUUUUAAAAUCCAGUGCUAAAUUGAAUUGUACUAAAUUUUUAUAAUUUUUUGUCACACCUGCAUUUCUAACAGUUUAGUAUAAAUAUUGAGAGCAAAUAGUAUAUAGGAUUAAAAGAGAUUGAUUUCGAGUGCUACAAGAUUUUUAGGAUUGCAUGCGCAAGGGUUUAAAAACAAAGUGUGCAUUUAAUUACACUAAACGUAGGUGCAUUUUUAUGAUGAAAUAAAAACUGGUUGUAUAAAUGGCUCCAUAAUUAGUGUACUUAAUAUCCAUCUAGCUAUCACUUCCGAAAAUGAUAUCAGAAGCCGAACACAUUUCCAACUGUAUUUUAGAUAAUAGUUCAAUCCCAAUUUCGUCAACUUGUUUUGAGAAAGCAGGCUUCUUGGGAGAAUUUAUAUUUCGUCAACUUGUUUCGUCAAUUUGUGCAUAUAAAUGUCUAUCAUUUGGAUUCUCCUGGACACACAACAAAGCUAUAUCCAGACGUCUCAUUAAUUUACAAGUGAAAUUUGUAUAAUCUCGUGAUGAAUCCACAAACUCCAUAUAUAUUUUUUUUUUUACCACGAGGUAUCAUGGGGAGGGCCCCAACUGUGGGAGGCACCUUUAAGUCCGUACCACAACUCAGACUAGAAGUCCCCGCUCGAACCGAGAGGCACAGGUUCUCCCAACAAAGGCGACUUCCCUACGACUUGAACUGGGGAGCAAACCCAGUCAAGCCAUUUAAGGGGACUCCAUUGCCAGUGGAGCCAACACUUUGUUGGUUAAACUGGAUAUUUUAUCUUGCUACAAACUCCAUAUUUUCACAACUCAUAUGCCUGAAAUUAUCAAGUAUUAUCUUGCUACAUAUUUUAUACUACUUAGUUAAGUGCAUAUAUAUAUAUAUAUAGACACAUACACACACACACACUAAAGGUUACUAUAGCCAAAGAAAUUUACAUGCUCUAGAAGACUUAAAUUUCCAUCGAUGCCACAUAGGCACAUAACAUAAAAAGACUUUUCCCAGUUAUCAUUCGUAAAAGUAAGACUUCAAAACUAAAAAUGUUUGAUUCGGUAGAGUAAACAUCUCUAUGAGUGUAUUUAGGAGGAAUAUAACCUCUACAUUUGAAAAUAACCAACACUCACUACUACAAAAAUGACUUUUACUGACACUUUGUUUCUGACACUUUGAAAAAAGUGUCAGUAAUUACCUAACUAUGCACAAUUUUCCGCUUUUAACAAAUAAAUGUCACAAAUUAUUAAUACUAAUGUAUCAGUAAAUUAAAUAUUAGAGAUCACUGAUACUUCAGCAUCAGAGAUCUAAAAAGAAUCAUUAAAAUUUGUUUUGAUUUUAACUCGAACCUGGGAUUUCUAAAACUCAAAACUUUUACGUUUAGAUUGCAAACCACUGGACCCCAUAAAAUUGAGUUGGAAUUACAAUGUUAUAUAAAAUAUUAACAUAUAAAAAACCAAACCCUAAUUCCCCUUUUCCAUUGUGCAAUAGAGCCCAUGCCGCAGCUGCUGCGUAAUUUCCUUGCCUUUCUUGACUUCUUCUUCUCUAUCGUGAAAGAUGGAGAAUGACCAGGCCCAAACGCCCACGCCCACAGCCGCGCCCAACCCCCACGGCUGCGCCCACCCCCACGCCGUUGCCACUAUCACUUCCGUUCAAGUGGUUCGACACUGCAGGUACUAAAUUAAGAAUUUAAAACAUGUAAAACGAAAGUAAAACAUAUCCCAAACUUAGCAAUUGUCCCCAUCUCCCUGUCUUUUAUACACACAAAUCUCUAACCCAAACUCAAACCCAAAACUGUCUCUUGCCUUUCUCUUUCUCUUUCCUUUUUCUCUUCUCGAUCUCUUCCUUUUUUUUCUGUCCAUUCACAAACUCGUUCAUUUAACUUAAAUAGAUAAUAUAAAGCUAAAACCCUAAGUGAGGCUUUUAUUCCCUUUUUCCUUUUUUUUCCCAAAUUGAAAAACGGACCAAAACCGUAAUCGAGGCUUCUUUUAUCAAUUUUUUUUCUUUUUAUGGUCAAAUUUCACUUUUUUUUUGUUCAAUAUUCAAAACCCAUUUGCUUGAAUUUGAAUAAAAUUAUUGAGAAAUUAGUUAAUUUUCUUGCUAUGGAAGGGAUACCACACCUUAUACGUAGACCUGUGAAGGAGAUUUUCAAUGACUUUAAGGGCAAACAGGUUGCCUUGAUUAAGGCUUUAACUGCUGGUAAUGGCUUAAUAUUUUAUUUUCUUUGUCAAAUUAAUUAAUAAUUUUUUUUUAUUUUAGCUUAUCAUUAUUAGGGUUUUUUGUUAAUUUUAAUUUUCUGGGUUGUUGCAGAUGUUGAGAAAUUCUGCCAGUGGUGCAGUCUUGGUGGGAUUUCUUUUCCAUAUCUAUUUUUUGUUUAUUUAAUUGUAAUUUGAAUUUUUUUCUUUUUUUUCCUAUAUUUCUAUAUUAUAUAGAUUGAAUGGCUGUGUAUUUCAUAAUUAUUAAGUGUUAUUUAUUGCUCUGUUUCAUGUAAAGAUAGGCAAAUUAUGUUAUAGAAACCAACAUGUUUAUUUUUUUAUUUUUUUUAGUUGGAAGAUUUUUAAUAGAGACAAUGACUAUGAUAUGAAUUAACUAAGUUCAUGAUUUGUCUUUAAUUCAAGAAGAAAAUGCUUGUUUUUAGGUAGUUUUGCUUGUUGUAGCACUUGAAGACUUACAUUUUCUUUGUUCAUUUGCACGGUUAGUUUCGCUCUUAUUCAGAAAUUUCUGUGUUUCCUCACUUGCAUGGUCAUUAAUUCAUUCCAUGAUUUUUCUUCUGUAAACACACUUUUAUUUUCCUUUCACUAGUUUGAAGGAAUUUAUUUUUUUAAAAUAAAAAAUUCUAAAGAUUGAAAUGAAUUGAAAUUGUUGCUAUAAUGUACUUUCUUUGCUGCUGAAGUUCAAGGAAUGUCUAUUUAAAUGAACUAGAACUUGAAAAAUCUUGAAGUGUUGUUGUACCCAUAGACUUCAUUUUUUUUCCUGCACAUUACACUUAUUUUGUUCAUCUUCUUACCUUCAAUUUGUCGUAGAGGUUAACAAUGAUUGACGAGAAAUGGAGGUUUGCAUUUACUGCGGCUGAAUCUCAUGAACAAGAAGUUGGCAAACUGAGGUCUGUAUUUUUUCCUCAAAUUCAUAGUUGAAUUCAUAGUAAGCUCAAAGCAAUUGAUUGAGGGAGAAAAUAAAUUGAGUUUUAUUUAUUAGUAUAAUUUUUGUUAUUUAGUGCUUUACACUCUUCAUGACAACUUCUGCGAUCUUGUCCUAUUACCUUAAGGUACUACUGGAUAUUUGAGAAAAAAUUAAAAAUUAUUAAGAUUAUCUUUCUUUGAUGAUAGAAUUACAAUAUGUCUUCUCACUUAUUAUAGUUCAUCCAAUUUUAUUUUUGUUGCACAGUCUGUGGAAAUCAGAGUACCACAUUUAAGAGUUUUUAUAAAAUGUCUCCUUUACCUUUCCUAUUAUUUAAACUAAUUUCAUGUGUAUUUCUUUAGUUAAUGAUUGAUUUUCAAGUAGUUGAAGGAAAGUAACUUGUAGAACCUCCUUCUAAAAUUGGUCUGGAACCUUUGUGUGCAAUGGUUAGUGAAAUCAUAAUCCGUGGCUUGUGUUAAUAUGCAUCGAUUGUGUGAAAACUAUUGUUUACUAUUUUCUGUGGCUGGUUAUUAACAUGAUUCACAGAUAAACAACAAUAGACUCAUACCCAUAUGCUUGCUUGUUUUCAACAAGCAUUUUUUUUUUGUAGGUUUUUUUUUUGUGCGUCUCUCUUUGAAGAAUAAUAUGAUUAUCUUACACGAAAUGGGGAAAUUCCAUUAUCUUGCUGCAAGUUUUUUCCUAGUUCUAUAGUUCUACCGUUUUGUAUCACCUUGGAUGACAUGUCGAGUGAAUCCUGGAACAUCAUUUUAUCUUGUUUGUACCUAUAAUACGUUGUGUUCAAUGUUCUUGAAAUUUUUGGGCAUGGCUGCAAACAAAUUUAGCAGUUUUUAAUAGCCAACUAUAGAGUCAAUUUAAAAUUUGUCUAGGUGGUGAGUUUCUAUGGUUUUGUAAUUGGGGUGAAAGGUAGCAAAUACUAAUCUUGUCUAAAGAGCAUUUGUGUAAGAUUACUUGUGAGUAUAGUGGGGCAGCAUAUAUUAGUAUUUUUAUGAAAUAAGCAGAAAAAGGGAUCCCUUUCUAUUGUCAGCAAUAAAAAGAAUUUUCAAAAAUGUAAACACCAAGCGUUCUAGUUGUAUUGUUAUUUGCAAAGAUCUUUUCAAUGUAUUUGUAGAUCCCAACAUACCUUGAUGCAUGAUCAAUUAGUCUGAAGAAUGUUGAGGAUUAUGUCAUUUUGAGCUGUUUAUCAGGUAGUUUGAGGUUAGAUUUGUUUUUUGGAGUAUUAGCUUGGAAUCUGAGUGCUUGCCUAAUUUGGAGAUUGGUGUGUGAUACUUCAAUAGCCUUUUUUUGUGGACUCCCUUUUGACAUUUUGUAAUUAUUGUUCUUAUUAAUACUAAUUUCUCUGUUUCCUAUAAAAAAUAAAUAAAUAAUGAAGGAUAGGUUUUUAUAUGGUAAGGAAUGAAUAAAUAUUAUAAGCAUUUAUUGGAAAAUAAAACUAUGCAGCUUAUUUAGUUGUUUUCCUAUUUAGUGAUAAAUUAAAAUUUUUGGCUUAAUUAUAUUCGGAUAUAUAAACACCAAGUUUUCAGUGUUAAGAUGGAAAACCAACGUCUUUAAAAUUUAUGAAUUGUUAAUACUGAAUCUUUUUUCAGUUUCAGUUAAAAAACAAAAAGGCCCUUCUUUUUUCUAUCUUCAAAUUUUGUGUGAUAGAAGUAUACUGUUGGGCCUUUCUUAUCAACUUUAGCUUUUGGGAUUAUUGUUGGUUUAACUUUAGAAUUAUUUGACCCAGAGAUUUUAUGUUCCAUUAAAUAAUAACACUCAAUACACUGGAUUUAGUUCAUGUUUAUUAAAUUUGGAUUUUUAUGUGAGACGGUACAAGUAUUGGGGAUUAGUGGUCUCUCAACAUUAUGAUCGAAAACCAGCCCUCACUGCCAAUUUGUAUUUUAAGCCCAAUAUUCAGUCCUUGAUCACUAUCAAACUUCCAUAAUCAUUUCUUCUUCAUAUUCUUAUAAAUCAGCCUCAAACUCUAAAGAAAAACCUAAGCCAUUCUCUGUAAGGGGUAAGCGUCUGUUCUUGUUCGGAUGAAGGUGCCAAGUUUUAUUUUGCUCUUUAACGUUAACAAGUCAAUUCCCCAUGAUGUGUUAGGUGAUUUGUUUGUUUCAUGCUGUUUAUUUCCUCGUCUUUUUUUUCUUCUAUCUACUGUUCCUUUAUGAAUUUGCCUCUAGGCAUUUUUGCAGUUGCUUACUAUGAAAUACAAUGGGCUUAUGCUAUAUUUUGUAAAAAUAACUAUGUAAUUCAAUCUCCAAAUUAGUUAAUCUUCUUAGUUGGCUUUGUCUUUGACUGUUUUUUAUAUCAAUUAAUUUGUUUCGUUGUGUACAGGUUAAUUUCUAUUGUUGGAGCCAUGAGUCUGCUGAACACAUUUUUCCUAACAGAGGUUUGGGAUAUGGACUUGCCCAAUUUUUGUCUGUUUUGUUUCUAGGUUAUUAUGUAAAAAUUUUAUAAUGGUUUGCUUUGCUUUGGGUUAUGAUGUAAAAACUUUGUAGUGGUUUGCCUCAAAUGUUUCUGUUAUUAUGUCUUUGGUCUUAUCCUAAGAUACGCUAUAUUCUUAUUCCUCAAUUUUUACCCCUGGAUUGUUUAAUGAGUUUCUAAUUUUGGAUGUAUACUAAUAAAUCUCCAUUUAUCUUUCUUAAUCCUUAGGAUUUUUUUUUUAUUUUUUUUAUUCUUCUUAAGUUGAGUUGUGUAUAGAUCUGUAGGAAAAUCCACUCAAAUUCAAUUCUUAGCAGAUAAAUAUUCCUACCUAUUACAAUUAGCUUGCACUAAGAGAGCUAUGUAUUGUUUUUGCCCCAUUCUUUGUUAGUCUCUUUGAACACUGAAAUUGGCCUGAUUGUUUUUUCUCCCAAAAAUUCAAGAAUUAUUUUUUGUGGUAUACUAAUUGAUUUUAUGUACUUGUAGGUGGGAAAAGAAAAAUGAAGCCGCUUGUGGAUGUUCAAUGACAUUAUGUGCUUCUUUUUGUUGGUUAAUAUUUGUUGAAUCUUAACAUAGUACUUGGUUGUUAAGAGCUUGUCCAAGACUUAAUUUAGUAUUUAUAUUUUUCUUUUCCAAACAAUGAUGUAGUUGAAUGAUAUGAAUUUGAGUGAUGUAUUUGAGAUGUCUCUUAUGCAAUUGUGUUGCGAGAUUUUGUAUAUUUAAUAUAUUUUGAGUUUUCUUUCAGUUGUAAAACAAAUAGGAAAAUAUAAUUAAAAUCAAAGUAUACUAUUAACCAAAAGAAUCAUAACAUCACUAAAUACUGACACUAAAUGUUUAAAAUAACAGUAAUAAUUUUUUAUGUUAUUGAGUCAGUGUGCUCUUGAUACUGUAGUCUCAUAAAUUACUGACAUAUAAAUAGUAUCAUUAAAUACUAACGCUAUCGUGUCAUUAUUUUAGUGAUACCAUAAUGACAUGAAUUACUGACACAAAAAUCGCUGACACUAAAAAUUAGUGUCAGUGUGUUCUGUCUGGAGAAUUAUUGACACAAUUAAUAAGUGUCAGGAAAAGUAAUUACUGACACUAAUUUAGCGUCAGUAAAGCCCAUUUUUCUAGUAGUGACUAUUUCAGUAUGUCUCUCUCUCUCUCUCUCUCUCUCUCUCUCUCUCUCUCUCUCUCUCUCUCUCUCUCUCUCUCUCUAUAUAUAUAUAUAUAUAUAUAUAUAUAUAUAUAUAUAUAUAUAUAUAUAUAUAUAUAUAUAUAAUCAGCUUCAGGUCUGGAAUUUAAAUUUGUAAAGAGUCUACAAUAUCGUAAAUUGCAUUCAUCACUGUUUUACAAUGGUCUAAAUUUUAUUAUAAAUGACUGUCAAAAAAUUAAUACAUGGUUAUCAUUUAUGAUUAUAAUUAGAACAUUAAAAUUCAAGUCGACUCAUUUGUCUUUACAUUGAUGUAUUCUUUGCGAUUAUACUUAGAAUGUUAAACAAUUAAGUUGAAACGACCCGCCCCAAAUCUCCAGGACAAGUCUAUCUAAUCUCGCCUAACCGAAUUAAUAAUAGUUCUAAUAUCUAAGAAUUCUACCAAAACUUCGGCAGAGUCUCUUAUAUAAUUAUUACAUCCCCAAACUUGUAAUUUAUAAAAUUAACACUCCAAAAAAUAAUACAAUAUUUAAUCAACCUCUACAACCAACUUCCUCAAUUUAAACACCAGUAUCCUUCAAACAUAUAAUGUCAAGAAUACAAUAAUUUAUCCUUAAUCGCAAAUAAGUAAUAAAUUAUACAAUUCAAAAUAUCCCAACAAAGCAUCUAUGAUUUUUAACACCAUCAUGUGGCUAUAGUUUCAAAUCUAACUAUCGUUGUUGGAUCGACUGAUGUACCUGCAAAUCUCCUAGGGAGGGGGGGAAAUAUAAUAAAAAUAUGGUGAGUAUAAAACUCAGUGAGCUCAGUGAGUGGUGGGGGUGGGCAAAAUCGGGUUCGGGUCAACGCGAUCGGGUUUCGGGUUGUUCGGGUUAGACAAGAACCAAUUCGAACAUAACCCGAAUUAUUGACCCAACCCGAACCGACCCGAACUGGAUCGGGUUGGAUUUAAAACGGGUUGGAUUGAGUUCGGGUCAAUUCGGGUUAGUUCGGGUCAGCGUGUGUGUGUGCUGUGCAGCUCGUGUGUGUUCUGUUCUGUUCUGUCAUUCUGCAUUUCUGUGUGCGUGCUGUGCAAGUGUGCAGCUUGUGACUUGUGUUGUGUGUGUGCAACAGCGUAUGUGUGUGUGGGUGCGGCUGUGUGCUUUGCAGCUUCUAACAAGUUGUGUGUGUGUGUUGUGCAGCAGCCAAGCAGCGUGUGUGUGUGUGUGUGUACAGUGUUAGCUUAGCUUAGGUUUUUUUUUUUUUUUUGAGAACCCGAUCGGGUAUUCGGAUCGGGUCGGGUUUGACCCAAACCGAUCACAACCCGAUCGGGUUUGUAAAUUUCAAACCGCUCGGGUUUCGAUCCCGACCCGAUCCGACCCGAACCCGAAAUUUAUCGGGUCGGGUCGGGUCGGAUCGGGUAAAAUGCCCACCCCUAGUGAGUGGAUAGUAGUUUAGGAAAAAUAAUUUAUUUAAAAUGAUUUAAUCUUUUCUAAAUCAAUUUCAUCAAAAUAUCAUAAGAACUUACAUAAACUUAUUUAAUUCAAAUCAUGCACUGAAAUAACAAUAUUACAUAAAUCUGCAUAAAAUCAAUGAAAUCAUAAUACUUAUUGUUAGCCUAUAUGGCUAUAAAUAUUGAUUUUGAUGAUAACAAACCACAUGUGUUAGUUAAACAAAGAUUUAUAAAUUGUGCUUUUAUAAUAAGAAAAUGAUUUUAUGGAAUUAAAGUGUUUUGGACCAAAAUAAAAGUAUUUUAUAAUCUUUGAUAUUGUUUUGAAUUUCGGAUUUGGACCUAUUUAAAUAUUUUUGGGCCAUUCUAUAAUUUCACAUAGUUUGGGCGAUAUUCUAAUUUCAAAAAUUUUUGGGAUUGACAAAGUAUUAUUUAGAAAUUCUAAAAUUGGACCUAUUUGAACACUUUCAUAACAUUUUAGGCCAUAAUAUAAUUUUAUAAAGUUUUGGGGUCGAAUUAUAAUUUUGGAAAACAUUUCACUGUAGCAAGCAGAUAUCUGGAUCCUAACAAAUGGUAGACCGGAUUUGGGCAGAAAGCUUCUGGAACUUAAACGGCUAUCCGGAUUUCACAAGCGGUAUACCAGAUGUUCAAAAAUUUAAAUUUUGGCUAUAACGGUAACAUUACGCGGCUAACCGGAUGUCCAUAAAUGGUAAGUUAGUUAUCACCUAAAUGUGCAUAACGGCUAGUUUUUGAGUUCAAACUAUAUAAACCCAAAUCCAAUUCAUUUUCAAGCUCUUUUGCAAACAAAAUCAAAAAGCACACAACAUUCAUUGAGCUCUCAUUUCGCAAAUCAUAAAACCUUGAAUCAUAUUUUGUUCUUCAAUUUGUAUAUCUACUCUUUAAGAGAGUUUUUAUUGUAAUCUUCAAUUCCUCAUCUUAAUUGUGAGUGUUUAAGUGUGUGAGACACUUGAGUGAAGAGAUUGAGAGAUAAUCUCUUUGUUGUAAAGGUUCAUUGACACCUUAAAGUCAAUUGUAACCAUUUGAAGCCUUAGAAGGCUUGCAUAGUGAAAUCAUCAAGCUUGGAUUGCUUGGAGGCGUGGACGUAGCCGGGGAUUGUCGAACCACGUAAAAAUUCGUGUGUUUGUUUCUUUUCUCCCUUACUCAUUUGUUAUUGUACUUUUAUUGAACUUAUUGCUUUCGAAUUUAUUAAGGCGUUAGAUUGGAUUGUUGUGUGGUUUUGUUAGGAUAAUUUUUAAAAAUACCAAUUCACCCCCCUCUUGGGUUGCACACUUGUAUUUCACCUAUAAUAUCAAAUACUGAAUACCAAAAACUAUCACCAAACAAGUACCCGGGGGAAUAAUCUCAUCAUAUUCGGACCUCGACGGACGGGCAAUCAGGGAACCAUCAUACCCCGGAGCUACAACGGAUAGACGGGGAAAUGUCAUCUCAUAUCUCAUGUAUCUCAACAUCUGUAUCUUUGUAAUCAUCAUACUGCAUGCAUAAGCCUCCAAAAGGAAAAAGCGCCCAAACACACAGCCAAAAGCCUCUAUGUGUGUUCAGACGGGCCUCAAAGACCUCUCAUCUCAUAUCAUCUGUAUCAUUGUGUUCAUCUUAUAUUAUCUGUAUCUCUGUGUCUUAAGGGGAAUGAUAUUGUCCAAUGAUUUUCCAAACAACCUUUUAUAAACAUGUACAUAAACAUAUAAUCACAUCUGAAAUCUCAUUUCCUUUUAUUCAACAUAUCUCAAAUCCACUCAAUUCUAAUAUCAUGCAUUUACUCAAAAAAAAAAUGAUAAUAGAAUCAUUAAUCAAACUCAUUUUCAAUACUAAUAAAUAUCAGCACGUAAAAUAAAAAUCAAUUUUCUAGAAAAUCAUUAAAUCGAAGCAUCAAAUACUUAUCAUCAAAACAUGUUGUACUGUAUAGUAAAAUCAUAGUAUACUAUGAAAAUAGGUUUUGUAUAUUCCACUCACAGUGACAAUGUCCAGACUCGGGAUCACCAACGUCCGCAGGUUAAUUCUCGCUCGCGGGUCCUCCUAAUUACAUAAACGACAUAAUUAUUAUCCAUAUCAUGAAAUACGACUAACAGUACGAAAUAAAGCUCAAAACCAAACUCCCGGAUACAUAAAAUUUCAAAAUUACCCUUAUGUCCAAAAAUUACCCAAAUGCCCCUGACACCGAAAUUUACCAAAUUACCAUCAGAAUCAUAAUUUAUCGAAUCAUCCUCAAUAUCUUAAAUUACCAAAUUGUCCUUAAUUCGGAUAACAAAAUUAAUCACAAGUUUUGAAUUUACAAAAUUACCUUCGAAGUACAAAAUUACCAAAAUGUCCUUAAUAACUUAAAUUACCGAAUUACCCUCGAAAUCUCAAAUUACUUCUCUGUCCUAAUCACAAAUUACCAAAUUAUCCACCAUUUUCAUAAAUUACAAAUUUACCCCAAAGUUUUAUGAAAUUACCGAAUUACCCUUGCCGGUCAACGGUGACCUGACUUCAGUCAAUGAUGACGGGAAGCUCAGGUCUAAUAGUUCAGACCUCGGUGAAUCCAACGAUGCUGGCGGUGACCUCCCACGCGCGGCGAUGGUGGCAGAUCGAAGCUCCAAAAUUCGUGAGUUUCCCGGUGUUCGUUCGCGGCCAAGACAGCAUCCCCGGUGAUCGUGGUCAGUUGGAAAGUGAUAAGUGUGAGUUGAGAAACAAGAUCCAGGCAGUGGCGUGGCUAAAAAUCCGACGGGAUCGACGGCGACAGAAACGGGUUGAGUCGCGGCUUUUCGAGCUUCAAACGGCGGCGUUUCGGUCGGCUUUUCUUUGAUUUGUUAUUUUGAGUUGUAUGAAAUAUAGCUUUACUUAUGUUUUUUUUUAUCAUUAAUAGGAAUUUUCUUGUUAAAACUAUAUGAAUUGAUUGAAACUUCAAAUUCAUACUACAACCAUGAUGAUUUAAUAAAACAUUCAAACUAAAUCCACAUAUUCCAUGAGUAAGAACCCUGAGAGCACAUUUAUUCAAGUUUAUGCUUUAAGUAAAAUAAAAGUAGAAAUGAGAAUUUUAAAGAAGAAAUUUAGUUAUAAAUAAUUGUCAAAUAAUUAAUUGUUCAGCAUUUAUUUUAUAGGUCCCACUGUUGGGACUCCAUGUGAUCUGCUAACUGGCAGGCCUUUUGUGGUUAGGCGAACCACAGUAUGCCUGCCCCAUAUAAGUUCCUCUCUUCUCAUAGAUAUAACUAGUGCUAUGUCAUGUCCAACAAGGGCUCUUCGAAACUUUUUAUGUGAAUUUUAAACAUUACCCCAUUACGCUUUUGAAACACCAAAACUACCUCAAAUUUUAAAAAUAUAAAAAAAAAUACAUAUUAAAAGAAUGUUUUAUGUCUUUAGCUUAACAGUUAGCACACGUAUUGUACUCUUGACAUUUUUCUUCUGUAAAUCUUCACUUCUUUUUUCUUUGAUUCUUCACACUCCACUGCUCUUUUAUCUCUAAAAAAUUAAAUUGUCCGUAGAAGCUUACUAUUUAAUUUACUGAUCUAAUUAUUUAGCUCUAAAUAUUUAGAUACGUUUUCUUAAUUAAUUAUCUCUUCUUUAAUUUUUUUGGUAAUUUCUCUUAGAUGAAAGAAUUAAGGUUAUGUCCUAGGAAAAUAUUAACUCUCAUAUUAUAGUGUUGAUAAUGAGGUUAUCCUUGAAUUUUUAACACAUGAAAACACAUCGAGGUAACUAUAAAUUCAUUGAAGGAAAUAUUUUAAUAAAUUUAGAUUUUGGUACAUAUUAUUUGUUGAAUUUUUUUUCUUUCCAAAUUGAACGUAGCCCUUAUGAUAUUCAGUUCGUGAUGGUGCCACUAAAUGUAAAGUGUCGAACUAGAUCAUAUUUCUCCCUUAUGCAAACUCCAUCGUUUAUUUAUAUUUCAAUUUUGUGGCCUAUUGUCGAGUUUUCUAGUUUCACAGAGGGCAUCUUGGAUUUCUCUACGUGGUCCAUAGUCUCUAGUCCAAAUGAAGAAAUCGAAUUCACCAUGUACAUUAGUGUUUUUUUUCUUUUUUCUUUUUGGGCGGGGGGGGAAUUUUUUUAUUGGCACAGGAAGAAAGCUCUUCGGCACUACUCGGAAGAAGAAUAUGAGCAACACAUGGUCCAAUUCGCAUUGUAUGGAAGUAAAACCGAAGCAUUAGACCAAAAGCAAACCUUAUUCAUAUUUUUAGUUACUGAUAACAAUUUCUUUCCCCUCUUAUUAUCAUCUUAAUUAAGAAAUAUAGUAAUUCGUUAACUUUUUGGGAAAUUAAAAAGGAUGGCAAUAUACAAUAUUCUUGUGUUGAUGACCUUAAAAGCUAAUUCCCUUGAAACAGGAAAACUGGUAUCGUUUUUCAAAGCACAUAAAUGAUAUAUCCCAGCUUUCAAUGUGAUCGAAAGAUUUCAUAGCCACACUCGAAAUUAAUAAAUGAUCCCUAAGAAUUCGUUAACUUCAAGAGUUUAUAGAACAUUAAUUGAUCCAAAUCCAAUACAAACUGCUUACUAGUACAGCUGCAAGAGAGCCAUUUUUUUUCAGUAGGCAUAUUAAACAACUGCAGCAGUCACUAGAAAGCUAGUAUAGACCAAUUGUUCAUCUACCAACCAAUUGUGAAAUUGUUACAUCAUUACUUGAACAUAUUUCCCAUCCAAUCGUGGCUUUAUUUUGUUCGUCUUCAUAAGCUUUGUUUAAGAAAUCGGAGUCCAUUCGAUGAGUCUAUCAGCAUUCUUUAACUAAUUAUUAGAUUAAAUGUAUAAAUUUAAAACUAGUAAAAGUUUAGACUAUGAAAGAACCUUGAUUCAUUCAAGAAAUAAUUAAAAUUUUAAUCCUUUUCAAACUGGUUAAUAUUAACCUUAUCAUUAUGCGAAAACACAAUUUAAAAGAAAAAUAAAAUAAAAUAAAAAUCUCACAAAGUUGGUGUGUGGAAUAGUCAAUACGUUGUCCUUGAUUUUUUAUUUUUUAUUUUUUACAAACCCUUAAAGAGUCUAUAGAUGUAGUUAGUGAUAUUACAUUACAUUAAUUGAUCCAAAUCCAAUACAAACUGCUUACCAGUACAGCCUCAAGAGAGUCAUUUAUUAUUCAAUUGGCAAAUUAAACAACUGCAGUAGUCACUAGCAGCUUGCCAAGAGCUAUAGCGUAGAUCAAUUGUUCAUCUACCAACCAAUUGUGAAAUUGUUACAUCAUUACUUGAACAAAUUUCCAAUCCAAUCGUGGCUUUCCUUUGUUCAUCUUCGUAAGCUUGCUUUGAGAAAGUUGCAGGCUUCUUUGGAGUCAUUAUAUCAGCCGUGCUCUCAUUUUCGAGCAUCGAAGAAACUUCCAGCAUAGAAGGUCUAUCGUCUGGGUUCUCCUGAACACACAACAGAGCUAUUUGCAGACAUGUUAGCAAUUUCCACGAGGAAUGCGUAUCAUCUAGUGAUGUAUCCAUUAACCCCAUGCCUUUCCCAUCUUUCCACAGCUCAUAAGCCUGUAAAUAUCGAAUAUGUUAUUGAGUUACAUUCAAUUAAUUAGCACUAUAAAGUUUUGAUCCAGUGUGCAUUAUAAAGGGGGUUAUGAAGAAACUUACAUACUGUACAAGGCUUAAAUUUUCAUUCUGGCCAGAUUGAACGAACAAUCUUCUUCCACUUAUAAUUUGCAAAAGUAAAACCCCAAAACUGUAGACAUCAGAUUUGGUGGAGUAGAUGCCUCUCGUCACAUACUCAGGAGGGAUAUAGCCACUGUUGUACCAAGUACUUACAAAUAUCAGUUAAAUUGUUUGACCUAAAAGGUUAAGCUGAUUGGUAAAGGCUCAACAAUAGUAUUAAAGACAAGUCGAAAAAUAGACGUAUAUACACUUACUGUGUUCCAACAAUUCGACUGGUGUUUGCUUCAAGGUCGUCUUUCACAAAAAUUCUAGCUAAGCCAAAAUCUGAUAUUUUAGGCUUCAUAUUUUCAUCCAAUAAAACAUUACUAGCUUUCAAGUCUCGAUGAAUAAUUGUUAAUCUAGAAUAUUCUUGAAGAUAAAGAAGCCCUUGAGUUAUUCCUUGAAUGAUAUGAAUGCGUUUUUUCCAAUCCAAAAUAAACCUUCGGAUGGGAUCUACAUCAAAUAUAAGUAUAGUUGGACGGUCAGUAGCACUAGCAUUUGGAGAUGAGAAAGCAAAUGGAGGCACAUAAAUUAAGAAUUAAGCAGAAGCACAUACCAAAAAGGAAAUAGUCUAAGCUUUGUUUUGGCAUGUACUCGUAGAUCAGCAUUUGUUCUUCUCUGUCAAUGCAAAAACCUAAAACCUUAAUAAGAUUUACAUGUUGGAGUUUUGCAGUAAGCAUAACCUCAUUCUUGAACUCCUCAAAUCCUUGUUUGGAUGUCUUUGAGAGUUUCUUCACUGCUAUUACCUGUCCAUCAGGUAAUACACCCUGCAAACACCCCCAAAACAUUAAAAAGGAAAAAAAAAUGCAAUGUUCAUAUACAUAUGUGUGUGUGUGUAUUUCGCUAAUUAAUUAAUAAGAUGAGAGAUAGCCAAGCUAUCGAUAUAUAACCUUGUAAACAGGGCCAUAUCCACCCUCCCCGAGCUUAUUUUCAAUUGAAAAUCUAUCCGUGGCCACCUCAAUAUCAGCCAAGCUAUAUUCUCUAAGAUCAGGAUCAUUGCUGUUAAAAUCUCCAGCAUGUGCUUGACUGUUUGCUCCGUCCUUUGAUGACUUGGCUGAGUCAAUUACUAUUCCAAUUAAUAUCAACCAAGGAAAAAAAAGAAAAAGAAAAAGAAAAAAGCUAAUUUAAGUAAAUUGCCCACUUCUUCAGCUGUGCUAAAUAGAAUAGAAGUAAAAAUAAUCCUAAACCCCUGUAGAAGAAGUUACCUUUUAAUUUGAGGUUUUUCAUCCAGCAGUAGUAAUACAGCCAAAAACCUAGUAGAAGAAUACAAGCUGCAGUGGUAGUCAAAACAACUACCCAUAACAGUCGCUUAUUUUGACCACUCUUGUCAUCCUCUUCAGCUGAAAAGUCAAUCACUUUGCGUUGGUUAACCAUUGAUGCUGAAAUAAAGAUCUUAAUUCAAGUCAUUAUCCAGAAAAGUGAUCAACGGAUUGCAGUGAGUGCGGAAUUCCAUUUGCUUACCUGCAGCUUGAGAAAGCAUCCAAUCAUGAUCAUAGGAAACUAGCCACACAUGGUAUCCGCGUAGCUUCUUCUCCUUGGCAUAUGCAACCUUCACUCUAAUGGCCUCCACAUCAUCAAAACCAAACCAAAUCUUCCCAAUCGAGCAGUAGUUCACCACAUAAGUUGAAUUGUAAAUAACUUGGACAUUAGGACCAUAUCUCUUGAUGUGAUUCUUGAUUUCCCUAUAACUCACAAGACCAUCUUCACUCAAAGCUGGUCCCGUUGCUGCUGCACCAAUACCAUUGUCCUCAGGUUUCACAAGCGUCCAUGCAUAGCCAUAGAAAGGCAAACAUAAAACCAAUUUAUCAGCCGAUAACCCUUCGUCAAUCCAUUCCGUGAUUCCGUAUUCAGUAUUAGAGACACUAUUUGGAUCAUACAGAGCCGCAUGAGCACCAGUAAAAUUUGUCCACGUAGGGACUGAGUAAUCAGUAGUGAAAACAUGGACCCAAUUCAAGUAUUGUCUUAUCGAGUCGACUGGAUAAGCUGCUGCUGGUGAGUAUGGUGAAUAUGCAACCGUUGCCGUCAAAAUCAACUGUGAUUGGCUCGAGUUAUUUCUUGCUUCUAAAGCUACGGCAGCUCGCCAUUCUUUAAAGAGAAUGCCAAUAUUGUACUUAUCCCAGCUUGUGUUUGCAAAAUACCAAGACAGAUCUAAGCCUUGAAAGCCAUAGAGCCUUGCUAUUUUUAUUGAGGAGUCAAUAAAGGAUUUCCUGGAAGAAGGAUUGCCCGCCAUGGAAGAAUAAGUUGAAUAGUUUGGAUAAUUUCCUGCUCCGAUGGAAAGAAGUGUAGUGAUUGAUGGGUUCUUUAUUUUGACUGUGUCUGUGAAGUUGGAGAAUUGUUUUUCAUCCGAAGGUAAUAAAGAAAGCUCAUAGGAAGUUGAGUUGACACCAGCAAAACCACACAUCAGGUGAGUGAAGAGAGCAGAAUUUACAUCUGAAACUGGGAACCCAUCGCGUGAAUCCCAGUAACCAGCUCUGAUUAAAGUUUGUGCUCUUGCAGGAAGCGAUUCUGAAAAUAUAAAAAUGUGGAGGACAAGAAUGAUAAUUUUGGAUGCCAUUGUGGGAACCUGGCUGCUUGAGGCAUACCUAGUAUGUGAUUAUAUAUUUGUACACACACACACAAAAUGUAAUGGAGAAAUUAUCCUAUACCGAUUGAGAUUAGUUAUUGCACUAAUAAUGCAAACUUGAGUCAACUUUCAACUUAUGAGCUUAGUCCAUAAGUUUUUAUACGAUAUCAAAUUCAAGUUAUGAAUGAGGGACCCUAUAAUACCUUCCAACCUAACUUAAUAAUUAAUCUUAGCCAAUGUGACAUACUUGUUCUAUCACUUUAUCACGUCCAAGUCGAUCUUUUAGCUUUGUCUCUUUUUCAUGAUAAUAAGUGAUAAGAUUGAAGUUCUUAAAUUAAGCUAUGACUUUUUACCUCCGCUUAGCUUGACUUCUGAAGUUGGAGACUCGUUCUUUUGUAUUGUCUUUGUUGGUAUUUAAAUGAACUCGGAGUCCUCGACGAGUUUCUGAAGCGAAGUCAUUAUUCCUCUAUGACUCCAUCCAUGCAAUUGGAAGGCAAAAUCUUGUGAAAAUAUUUUCUAAGUUGAUUCAGUCCAUGAUCAACGUGCACAAAACGCAAAAUCUUGCGAAAAUCAAACCCGUCCUCACUCAUGACCUCACUUUAUUAAAUUACAGCUUGUCAUUGAAUUGAGUGUUGCCUUAAUUAAGCCAUCAAAUUAAUAAAGUGAUGGUCAUUAAGAAAUACACUUAGUUACUUCCUGAUGGUAAGAUUCAAUAAUAUUCUAAUUUAAAAAAAAAAAAAAAGAUCCAUAUACCUUUUUCUUGUGUAAUUUAAUUUUCAGUCCAGUCCACCCUCCCAUUUUAUCAUAAAAGUGUAUACAAACAUACGUUUUACUCAAUGUUUACUUAGAAACAAAUGGCGCGCGUACGAUUGCCGAUCUAGUACCACUCUCGUAUGCUUGGUGGGAUUCGGCUUCACCAAAUUUGUAGCAUAUAUUUUACUUUAAUGAGAAAAUCAAAUAAUUAUUGAACAAAUAAUUUUUUUUUCAAUAUACUUUCUUAAAAUGUAUGGAGUUGGUAAAGUGCAAAUUCAUUUUUUAGCCCUUUGACUCCUCCAAAAUCAAAACUAAAAUUAAUGGUCAGUUAAAUAAUGUUACUUGAAAAUCAUUUCCUAGCUAGAAUUUGUUUAAUUCUAUUAAUUUACAAUCGUUUUUCAUUUUACUUAAUUAAUUAAAGUGAAUUUAUUAUGUAUACAUUCUACAUACAUAAAGUUUUAAUAUUCAGUGUUGAAUUGAAUUGUACUAAAUUUUUUAUAAUUUUUUGUCAGACCUGCGUUUUUAACAGUUUAAUAGUAAUAUUGAUAGCACAUAAUAUACAGGAUUAAGAGAGAUCGAUUUCGACUGCUACAAGAUUUUUAGGAUUGCAUGCACAAGGGUUUAAAAACAAAGUGUACACUUAAUUACACCAAACGAGGGUGCAUUUUUAUGAUGAAAUAAAAACUACGUGCAGGGUUGUAAAAGUGGCUCCAUAAUUAGCGUACAUUAACAUUCAUCUAGCUACCACUUCCGAAAAUGAUACAUCAUAAGCCGAACAUUUUUCCAAUUUUGUUGUAGAUAAUAGUUCAAUCCCAAUUUCAUCAACUUGUUUUGAGAAAGCAGGCUUCUUGGGAGUAUUUGUAUUUGUGGUUUCAUUCUUGAGCAUUGAGGAAACUUCCAGCAUUGAAGGUCUAUCGUUUGGAUUCUCCUGGACACACAACAAAGCUAUUUCCACACAUCUCAUUAAUUUACAAGGGGAAUUUCUAUCAUCUAGGAAUGAAUCCACAAACUCCACGCCUUUGCCAACUUUCCACAACUCAUAUGCCUGAAAUUAUCAAGUACCAUCUUGUUACAUAAUUUAUACUUCUUAAUUAAGUGCGCAUAUGUGUACUCAGGGUUACUAUAGCCGAAGAAACUUACGUGCUCUAGAAUGCUUAAAUUUUCAUUGAUGCCACAUAACACUGAAAGCCUCUUUCCACUUAUGAUUUGUAGAAGUAAAACUCCGAAACUAAAAACGUCUGAUUUGGUAGAGUAUACACCUUGUCUGGCGUACUCAGGAGGAAUACAGCCUCUGCGUUCAAAAUAACCAAGUAUAUAUGAGUAAGGGAUUUUGCAAUUUAAUAAAUUUGUAAAACCCAUUUUAAAUUGUGGUAAAAGUCCAUUCUGCAUUUUAUUAAAGUGCUGAAUUCCUUAUUCGAAACCCAAUAUAUGUAUAACAAACAGAAGCUUGAGUAAAGGAUAUCAUUUAGAUGUAAUAUACUUACAUUGUUCCCACAACUUGUUCUGUAUUCGCUUCGAGACUCUCUUUUGCAAAAAUCCUAGCCAAACCAAAAUCUGAAAUUUUAGGUUUCAUACCUUCACCUAACAAAAUAUUACUGGCUUUCAAGUCUCGAUGAAUAAUAGUCAGUCUUGAAUAUUCCUGGAGGUAUAAAAGCCCUUGAGUUAUCCCUUCAAUGAUAUGAACACGUUUUUUCCAAUCCAAAAUAAGUCUUCUGAUGGGAUCUACAACAAAUAUAUAGUUUUGGACAAUAAGUGAUAUGCAAAUGAAUUUUAUACACAAUUAAUAUUAACUUGAUUUCAGAACAAACCAAAAAGGUAGCAAUCCAAGCUUUUGUAUGGCAUGUAUUCGUAGACCAGCAUCUGUUCCUCACUGUCAAUGCAAAAACCUAAAACUCUAAUAAGAUUUACAUGUUGGAGUUUUGCAGUAAGCAUAACCUCAUUCUUAAACUCCUCAAAUCCCUGUGCGGAUGAUUUCGAAAGUUUCUUCACUGCUAUCACCCCUCCACAGGGUAAUACACCCUGCAACCCAAAAAAAAAAACCACGUUCAUAUAAAGCUUUCACUAAUUAGAGAAGCUGAGAAAUGUUAGCCAAACAAUAUGCUACCCCCCAAAGUUGAGGGCACCAUUUUAAGUCCUUUAAGUCCCCAUGGACGCAAAAUGUAAAUCUCCUCUCACAGAAUAUGGAUAUGGGUAGAGGUAUCUUCCUAAAAUAUUAGUCGAAGUAGUUAUAUCCCUCUAGUGUGAGGUUAGAGGUCUCAUCUCUAAUAGGCAUAGAUUUUUAAAUUAUAUGUUUUGGGCCUCUGAAUUCUAUGACGAGUGUACAAAUUCAAACUUCCGAUAGGAUCCAAAUUGCAACAUUGUGGAUUGUAACAAAUUAAAAUAUAGGUAUACACACACACACACACAUAUGUUACCUUGUAAACAGGACCAUAUCCACCCUCCCCAAGCUUAUUUCUAAUUGAAAAUCCCUCGGUGGCCGCCUCAAUAUCAGCCAAACUAUAUACUCUGAGAUUAGGAACAUUUAUGUUAAAGUCUCCAGCUUCUGUUUCAUUAUUUGCUCUCGUGUUUGAUGCUUUAGCAGAAUCCUCUGUUCCUAACAUCAACCAAGAGUAAAUAUUAGAUAAUUAAUUGUAUGUCAGCCUCAGUGAUAUAUAUGUGUGUGUGUGUGUGUGUGUGUGUGUGUGUGUGUGUGUGUUUGUGUUUGUGUGUGUGAAUGAAAUGCAUGCUUAAUGAUAAUUGAUAGCUGAAGCUUGUUACCUUCUAUUAACUUGAGCCUUUUCCUCUGGUUGUAUUUAUAUGCACAACAGCCUAGAAGGAGAGUCAAAGCUGCCGCUGCAGUGGAAAUGAGUGCAAUGGACAGACACCGGUUGUUACUAUGUUCAUCUUUUUCAGCUGAAGCAGAAGUAAUCCUGUCUUUUUGUGCUGGAAAUAUGUAUAGUUCACCAAUUAAUAAUAACAAGCUUGAGAUACCAUAACAAUCAUUAUUAAUCAGAGAGAACAAUUAUUGCAUAUAUAAAUACCUGCAGCUUGAGAAAGCACCCAAUUAUGAUCAUCAAAAGGAACUCGCCACACAUAGUAACCAAGCAAUCUCUUCUCUUUGGCAUAGGCGAUCUUAGCUCUAACAGCCUCCACAUCAUCAAAACCAAACCAAACCGUCCCAGUGGAGAAGUAAUUCACCACAUAAGUUGAAUUGUACAUAACUUGAACAUUAGGAGCAUAGUUCUUGAUGUGAUUCUUGAUAGUCCUAUAGGUCACAAGGCCAUCAUUAGUCAAAGCUGGUCCUGCUGCUGCUGCUCCAAUACCAUUGUCUUCAGGUUUCACAAGCCUCCAUGCAUAGCCAUAGAAAGGCAAAGACAUAGCCAACUUAUCAGCCGAUAGCCCUCUCUCAAUCCAUGCCUUUAAAACCUGAUCGGUACUUUUAGCAAAGCCGCCGCUACUUGAGCCAUGGAGAGCCGCAGGUGGCGCAGUGAAGUUUGUUGACAAAGGCUUGUAGUAGUUAGCAGUAACUGCAUGAACCCAAUUCAAGUUUCGUUGCAUCGAAUUCAAAAGAUAUGAAUUCGCUGGUGGUGAAUAACGAAAUCUUGCGGUCAAAAUCAGCGGGGAUUGCUGGCGACUAGAGUUUAUUGCCUCUAAUUUUGUAGCAGCAAUUCGCCACUCGUCAAAAAGUAAACCAAUAUUGAACAUAUCGGUGCUUGUGUUGGGAGCUGUCCAAGCAAAAUCUAGGCCCUGAAAGCCAUAAAGCCUAGCUAUUCUUAUUGAAGAGUCGAUGAAAGAUUUUCUGUGAGAAGAAUUUCUCACCAUUGAAGAAUAUAUAGAAUAGUUUGUAUGUCUUCCUUCUCCAAUGGAGAGAAGCAUAGUGAUUGAUAGGUUCUGUUUCUUCACAGUGUCUGCGAAUUUGGCGAUUUGAUUUUCAUCGGAUGGUAAUGAUAAAGAUAGCUGGUAAGUGGUAGAAUUGAUAUCAGCAGAAGAGCAAAUAAGGUGAGUGAAGAGAUCAUAAUUUAUGCCCGAAAUGGUGGACACUUCGCUUAGAUUCAAGUAACCGACCCUAAUCCACGGUUUUGCUUUCGCUGGAUGAAGUUCUGAAUAGAGCAACGUGUGCAAGAUGAUGCUGAUAAUUAUGGAUGCCAUUUAAGACUUUGUUAGGAAUGGAAAUGAAUGCACACUAAGAGAAAUUAAAUAAACACUAGUUUCACAGUUCAUUUAGGUUCUUAUUAAACUAUUAACGCAUAGGUUCAUUUCGUUCCAAAAAAAAUCUUAUGUGCUCCUGAUAGGGACACAUACAUUGCAUGUUAAGAUGAUGAUAGGCGAUGCGACCAUUUCCUAAGAACUAAGAUUUUCUUCUAUCGCGUGGCUGACUUUUCAUGAAGAAAAAUGAUGCUUUGGUUGUCAUUUGGUUAAACUGAUGACAAAUUUCGGGUUACAAAUAUCAGUAUUGUUUUAUUAAACAAUAAAAGACAAAAAAUCAAUAUUUAUUAGAGAGAACAAUUAUUGCAUAUAUAAACACCUGCAGCUUGAGAAAGCAUCCAAUAUUGAUCAUAGGAAACUAGCCACACAUGGUAACCACGUAGCUUCUUCUCCUUGGCAUAUGCAACCUUCACUCUAAUGGCCUCCACAUCAUCAAAACCAAACCAAAUCUUCCCAAUCGAGCAGUAAUUCACCACAUAAGUUGAAUUGUAAAUAACUUGGACAUUAGGACCAUAGCUCUUGAUGUGAUUCUUGAUUUCCCUAUAACUCACAAGACCAUUUUCACUCAAAGCUGGUCCCGUUGCUGCUGCACCAAUACCAUUGUCCUCAGGUUUCACAAGCGUCCAUGCAUAGCCAUAGAAAGGCAAACAUAAAACCAAUUUAUCAGCCGAUAACCCUUCCUCAAUCCAUUUCGUGAUUCCGUAUUCAGUAUUAGAGACACUAUUUGGAUCAUACAGAGCCGCAUGAGCACCAGUAAAAUUUGUCCACGUAGGGACUGAGUAAUCAGUAGUGAAAACAUGGACCCAAUUCAAGUACUGUCUUAUCGAGUCGACUGGAUAAGCUGCUGCUGUUGAGAAUGGUGAAUAUGCAACCGUUGCCGUCAAAAUCAACUGUGAUUGGCUCGAGUUAUUUCUUGCUUCUAAAGCUACGGCAGCUCGUCAUUCUUUAAAGAGAAUGCCAAUAUUGUACUUAUCCCAGCUUGUGUUUGCAAAAUACCAAGACAGAUCUAAGCCUUGAAAGCCAUAGAGCCUUGCUAUUUUUAUUGAGGAGUCAAUAAAGGAUUUCCUGGAAGAAGGAUUGCCCGCCAUGGAAGAAUAAGUUGAAUAGUUUGGAUAAUUUCCUGCUCCGAUGGAAAGAAGUGUAGUGAUUGAUGGGUUCUUUAUUUUGACUGUGUCUGUGAAGUUGGAGAAUUGUUUUUCAUCCGAAGGUAAUAAAGAAAGCUCAUAGGAAGUUGAGUUGACACCAGCAAAACCACACAUAAGGUGAGUGAAGAGAGCAGAAUUUACAUCUGAAACAGGGAACCCAUCGCCUGAAUCCCAAUAACCAGCUCUGAUUAAAGUUUGUGCUCUUGCAGGAAGCGAUUCUGAAAAUAUAAAAAUGUGGAGGACAAGAAUGAUAAUUUUGGAUGCCAUUGU
rnacentral:lncRNA from 1 species